rnacentral:lncRNA from 1 species
AAAAAUAAAACUCCUACAUGUAUAUUAUUAUGUUUUACAUAUGCAUUGUUUAAAUUAUGUGUAUCACUCUUGCCAACCAAAAAAAUAAAUUGUGUAGCACAGGCAUACACUUUUUACCUAUAUAGCUUUAUGAUCAAUAUAAUUAUGUGCUGAUGGUGUAUCUAGCAAACUAUUCUAUAUAUUUUGAGGUCAAUGAGGACCACUUAAGUUUUAAAAUAAAUAUAAGGUCUUUAAGAUAAUUUUCUAAAAUCCAAAUAAUUUGAUCCAUUAAAAUAUUUUAAGAAAUCCAAAUAACCAGAAAGGUUAAAAAAAUAAAUAACCAGAAAGGUGCAUAAUUAUAUGUAUUUUACAAACAUAAUCUGAAUAAAUACAUGUAUACAUAAAAAUGAAAUUUAGUAAUAUUUAUACAUGGAGGUUGAGUAGCUCAACUUACUACUAGAAAAACACGAAUUAGAGUCGGAAUUUAGGGAGGAAAAAAAUUUGUAACUAAUUGUGACGGUUUUAAAGACGGAUAUUCAUAUACACCACAAAAAUUGAGAGGACAAACAUUAGUGACAUAAUGGAUUAAUUAUCCGUCACAAAAAUUCCGUCACUAAAUCCCUCAAAAAAUUGAUUAGUUAAAUGUUUGUUAUGGAAAUGAUCCUUCUCAAAUGUUUCCCUCACUAAAACCAUCACUAAUGUCAACUGCAUAGUUAAAGAACAAUUGAAGGCUUACAAGGAGUUGAUCGUGCAUCGCAAUAAGAUUAACGUUUGUUUAGGGAGCAAAUGACUAAAUUUAUGAAAAUGUUUUCUCAAGGUCAUCUAAUUUAUGAAAAUAUUUUGAUUUUGGUUUUUCAAGAACAAUGUGCUACUUCUAAUACCAUUAAAUUUUUUGAAAAGUGUUUGUUAAGAAACUUAUUUUGAGAGUUUCCUUAUGACUUUUAUGUAUUUUAAGAGUGUUGAACAAUGGUUGUAAAUUUAUUGAAAGUAUCCUUGACGUUUAUGUUUUAUGGUGAUGAAUGCAUGUGAUGCUCAUGAAGACAAUUUAUAAAGUGUUUUUUUAUUGUGUAUUUAUAAUUUCCAACAAGUUUCAUAUGGUUUAAUAUAGUAAAUGCAUUUGCAAUAAUAAUAUAAUUAAUGAAAGCUGGCAAGAAAUUAAACAUUAGAUGAGGAAUGCAAAUUUUUGUUUGAAUUUUCUCACUAAUUAGUGACGAAAAUAAAUUGUCAUAAAAUCAUAAGUGUAGUCUGUGAGGGAAUUCAGUUUCGUCACAAUUAGGGACAUAAUAUACCCUCACAAUCUGUGAGGGAAUACCAAUCAGUCAUUAAUUAGUGAUAAAUAUUGGUGAAAAGGAUGGAAUGGUCCCUCACAAUUAGCGACGGAUUUUAUCCAUAUCCAUUAGCGACGGAAACCAAAAUCCCUCACCAAUAUUUAGCAAGGUCAAAAUUCGGAACGGAUUACCGGUCGUCACAAAAUUCGUUUGUGAGAAUUAUAGUAGUUUAUUGACGGAUUUCUACCCUCUCUAAAAUUGAUUUUUCUAGUAGUGUGACAAAGAGAAAAAGAAAAAAAAAAUUGAUAUAACGACCAAUAGUUUUUAAUAUUACAGAAAUGAUAACUAAACACAUAAAUUUAGCCACAAAUACGACACCAGGGGUAAAAUCGUAAUUUCCAUUAAAAAACAUGUGCAUAAUUGGUUUUCCAACAGAAACUGAGGGGUAUUUUCGUGAAUUUUCAUUCAAUUUCUUUCUCUCUCUAAACUUUCUCGUUGUCUUCUCCGAUCCACCUUAUGUUCUCACCACCACUGCAUUUUCUCCAAUCCACCCACUGUUCCACCACCAUACCCUCUUCUUGUUUUAUAGAUCAGGUCCCAAGGAAAGAAAUUUGCAUAGGAGAGAGAUCUGUAAAAGAGAGAGAUGUAGAGAAGAGUGAGAACAGGAGAGAGAUGGCAGAGGACGACUGCCGAUCGUUGUGGGUUUGCGGAGAAGAGAGAAAUUGAGAUUUGAUUUGCAAAUGAGUAUGGGUGGUCGUCGACGGAGUUGAAGAGAUGGAUGGAGUCGACGACGGUGGCUGGUGGCCGGAAGGGGUGUGUUCGAGAGUUGCAGAGACGGCACAAGAGAUGAUGACUUGCAAAGAUGGUGUUGGGAUGGUAGUUCGCAGAUGAAAAGAAGACGGUCUGAGUUGCAGGGAAAAGAUUAAAAUAAAAUAGAAAGCAUAAAUGAAUAAGGAUGUCGUACGGUGUCGUAUUCUUGUCCAAAAACUUGUGUCCAGUUAUCAUUCCUGUUAAUAUUAAGUGAGACUUAAUUUUUUUUUUUUAAUAUAUGAAGUCUAUUUUAUCUGCAUAUGAUGCCUUUAUUAGAAGAUGUGUUAGGGGUCUGCUACAAUAACUUAACUAAGAAGAUGAUGAAGAAGAAUGCACAUAUAACUUUCAAAGCAUGUGUGAGACACACUAACCUUUAGGUUCGGCUCGUUCCCACCAAUUAUGUCAACAAAAUGCAAAAUGGUAUAACGGUGAAUCCCCUUCAGGAUACUUUAAAAUCUUUGACAUGACUUGCACAUUCAUACUAAGCGUAUCGAACAAUGUUAAUUUACAAAACAAAGUUUUGUCGAUUUCUCUCGUGCACUAGAGAAAAGAAAGAAUGAUAUAGUAUUAUUUUAGGCAGUAUUUUGACUCACAAGAAUGUGACAUUCUAUUCUAUUUUUUUGAAUGAUUUUCCUACUCCAAAGUAUAUCUAUUUAUAGAGAAACUUAUGUUUUUUUUUUUUUUUGUGAAGAGAUACAACUCUUCAACAGAGAUUUUGCAAUGACAAGAUGCAGUGAUUAUAUUGGUCAAAUAGUCAAGCAAUACAUCUUUUCACUUAAAUGUCUCUAUUCAAUCAUUGCAACUUUUCAAAUUUAUAUUUUGGAAAUUCCUUUCACAACCUUUUUAUUUGUAAAAUCUAAAGAAAAAUACUUUUUGUUGGUGUGUCUAAAACGAUAGUUGCUUAUAAAGGACUCUUAUUAUGUUUAAUUCUCGUUUUUCAUCUUCGUAAUAUAUUAAAUAAAUCAACGUAGAAUUAAACAUAAUAAAAGUAUUUUAUACUUAUAAACAUAUUUUUUUGAAGGAACUUUUUCAAAAUUUGUGUUGGAUCACAAUCUCACAAAACCGGUUCCACUUAUGUCUUAUCCCUUUCAAUGCCAGACUUUUACUGACUUAUUAUUCAUACAUAAUAUCAAAAUUAAGAGGUUUAUUUUUUUAUAUAAGAAAAUAAUGGUUCACACACACUUUUUUAUAUGUUGAAUAAAUUAUUUCUAAAAAAAUAUAUUAAAUUAAUUAACAUGGAUAUAUAACCAUUGUUUAGUUAGGUCAAAUGUUUAUUUGUUAGAAUCACUAAUGCAUUCAACGAUGUUUGUUCAAUUGGUAAAAGUUGACUCAUAUUUUAUGUUCUAUAUACGUGAGUUCAAUUUUCGCAUUUGUAUAUAUUUUGAUCUAGUUCCCCUCUUUUUGUAUAUAUUUUUCUCAUUUUUUAAUAAAAUUUUAGAGUUUGGCGGUAUAUGAUGGAGGUUUCUCGGGAUACCAACCUAGUUGGUUUGUCGAUGUUUCCUUUUGAUAUAUGUCCUCUCUUCUUAUCUAGUAUAAAUAAAAAAAAAUCUCUCGUAUUUGUGGUUAUAACCUUGUUAGCUGAUAAAAAAUUUAAGAAAAUGUAUCCACUCUCAACAUUUCAUAAGAAAAUGUAUCCACGCAGCCAUGCGAGUGUGCUUUGCGAUCUUAUCUGUUCCUGUAAUUGUGACAUGGUGUUGUAAUUGAACAGUGUGAGAUUAAUUUUUCUCUUCAACCAUGUAACAUCUACGCACAGCUAAAUUCUUGCGGUAGAUAAAGGACCAUAAUAAACAAAUAAAUUCCAUACAACAAAUAUUUUAGUGCACAUAUAAUUUUCAACACUAGAGACCGGUGAGUAGGUAUAAAUAUUCAAAAUAUAAUUAAAAAUAUAAUUAUAUAUGUAUUUGUAAAACCUCUCAACAAAGUUUUUCCAGGUAAUUACAUAGCAGAUACAUCAUACAUGUGCUCCGUUCCAAAGUUUUUCCAGGUUGUUAUAUGGAAUGCGAAGUUCAACAAGAUUCCAUGGAGAAAAAUUUGAUGGUAGAGAAUUUAAUGGAUACGCAUUCCAUUCAAAGCUUCUCAAAUUGUUAGGCAAAAAAUCAAGACCCCCACAAAGAUGCACAUAAUUAAUUCCCUUAACAUCUUGAUUGUGGCCUUCGAAAACAGGUAAUCUUCGGUUUGACAUAUUUGUAAAUGCUUUAGAGCUCAAAUUUAUGCAGGUAAAUUUGAGCCAUUUCUAUGCAUAUGCUUUCAAGUGCACUACUCCCCUAAUAAAUGAAAAUUAGAAUCAAUGUUAAUACUUUGUGGUAAGUUGCAGUUAAAAACACACACAUACAUACAUGUUUUUUGGAAUGCAAAGCUAUAUAUCAUUCAUACAUUAUUGUUUGUCAACACAUCACAAAUUUCGCUAGCAUUCCACAAUCUACUGCGUUUUCCAGGGUUUUUGAUAGAUUCUUCCCGAACAAUUUGCCUAUCCAUUUCUUGUAUCAAGUCAUGUAUCUCUAUGUGACUGUUUAAAGUAAUAGUUACAAGAGCCUUGUCUAACAAGUUUCUUAUCCCAAUAUCUGCAAAGAAACCAUAGGCAUUUAAUAUUUUUGUUACACUGCUGCUGCUAGAAAUAUAUUUUUCUCUGUAUCAUCUAAUUCAUCAUAACUUAAUCUCAACACCUUUUGAAUUUCAGCAUUGGAAAUUUCCUUCAGUUUAUUUAGAGCACUAUCCCAUUCUUUUUUACUUUUUGUACGAAGAAAUGAACCCAGAACUUUCAAAGCCAAAUGGUUGCCUUUUGCAUAAGAAACUACAUUGUUUGAUAUUUCCUACAAACAUUUUUGUAAGAAAUAAAUUAAAGGGAUAAAAUUUCAGUCAUACAUGAGAGUUUCAGUCCAGGACCUCCAACUACUGAUUUCUUCACACACACGCGCGCGCACGUACAAGUUUUGAUAUAUGAAACAUUUUUUAUUUGCAUAUGAGGUUUUACUAGCAUUACUUUUGGAUCAACACACACACACACACAAGUUUGAUAUAUGAAACCUUUUUUAUUUGCAUAACUCUGAUUAUAGGAUACAUGUAUGGUAAUAAGAAGGCAAGUUGAAUGCGAGUUUUGCCGCUCUUUCCCAAACCCUCUUGUAAAAAUACCUACAUAUUAUCCCUAUUUAUGACAAUGAAUCUUGACUCAAUUUAUAAUGAGUUGACUCCUACCAAAUAAGGGUAUGAAUUCAAUUCUUGUUGCCAAUGUGAGGACAUCUUUAAAGGAGGAUAUGUAAAUUCCUAUGCUAGUGAUCUCUAAUCCUUGAUGUCUGCUCUAGCUCUAGUGAGCCUCCAAAAUCUAAUUCACAUAAACUUUUCUUUAUAAAUAAAAGAUUUUACUUUUUUUUUUUUUUUUUUUUUUUUUUUUUUUACUAUCUCAUCUUAAAUUUUGUUGUAGGCCUCAAAUAUAGAAGAUAAAAAGAGUUUGGUUUUGUUUAUGUAACAUGUUUGUCGAAAGUUAAAACUCACUAAGAAAUUACAUCCCUUCGACUAAGUUGGAAGAUAUCCCUUACCAUCUCAUCCAUAUAGAUGAACUAAAACUAAUUUAUAAGACUAAAUUAUCAUAUUAUAAAUUUGAAGGAUUAAAUUAUCCAACCCUUUUAAUUUUUCAAAGAUCGAAAUAUAUGCCAUUUGAGAGAGAUAAAUGUAAAUAUUUUUGUAAGUGUUCUUUGAAUUCUAAGGUCUUCGUUAUCUUGAACUUAGAUACCAUCUCUCCGGUCUAAAUUUUAAUUAAAAAAUAAUUAAAAUACAUAUUAGAUGAGAUGACACGGGUCUCUUAUAGUUUAACUAAAGUCAUGGUUUCAAAUCCAAUCUUGAACAUGCAGCAACAUUAACACACUUAAAGAGAGCUUGCCGCCCAUUUAAAUCCCACAAGACUCAAGUGAUUAGUCUCCACAAUUACGCACGAGAAGGAUACCUGAUUUGAAAAACAAAUAAUCAAUUGGGCCUAAUAGACAAUUCUCGCAUCUCAGCCUUAUUAUCUCUACAAACUUCAAUCCGAAAAAGAUACGACACACAAGAGUUGAAAAUCCAAACGACAGUGUUUGUUGAUUAAAAUGUCCUCAACCAAUAAUUAAAUUAUUGAUAUGCUUAGUUGUCAAUCCAAACAUGUCAUAUAUAGGAACGCAAAAACAAAACUCAUUUUUGGGCAGUUUGAGAUGGGAAGAUAUAUGAUAGAUGCUUAAUAUGGCUUGUUCUCGUGAGCUUAGUUCAGUUGGUAGAGACAACAUAUAAUAUAUGUAAGGUCCAGGUUCAAAUCCCGACCACCAUAAAAGAAUGCUUAAUAUAGGUUAUUAAUACUUGGCUUUUAUAUGUGUUUAUUCCCUGCAAAUAGGGGUCAUUUAAAAAUUGGUCCCUGUAUUCUUUAAUCCUGACAAUUUGUCCUGCCAAAAUUUAAUCAUUUAAUAUUUCGUCUCUCUCCCCACUUAAUCACUACCACGUCACUAAUUACAGGGAUAUUUUUGUAAUUUCAUGUUUGUAAUUUCAGCGACGUGGCAUUAAUUAACUGGGCUGAGGGACCAAUUUUGAAGUGAUUAAAUUUUGGUAGGGCAAAAUGCCAGGAUUAAGGAAUACAGAGACCAUUUUUUAAAUGACCUUUAUUUGCAGGGACUAAAGACACACAUAUGAAAGCCUUAAUACUUUUUGAAGCAAAAUUGAUUUGAAAAGGUUCGAAAGAGAAAAGAACACAACCAAGUUGUUUGGGCUCCACUGGCAAGGAGCUCCUUACAAUGAUGUACCCUGGAAAUACCGAGUUCGACUCCUAGGGGAACAAUGCUUGACUAGUACACAUGUCUCUAUAUACGAGCCGGAUUAGACGUUCAUAUUUAGUGGAUCGGAAACCGGUGCAAAGUACAUUCAAAGAUCUUUAGAUGUAGGUUCAUCAAAGUAUGACCUUCUAUAUCCUCGUUGAUAAUGCAAAUUUAAGAAAUUGGAUUUCAACUGAGUUGUGUGUAAAGUUUCCUAUGGCCUUAAUCUACGUGCAUCCACGGUAUCUCCUCCUCCUCCAGAAUCAAUUCCAAUGUCUUCCAUCUCAUCUUCCUCUCAUGACGAUCUUCACCUUAGAAAUGAAUAUUUUCAACUACUCCCUCUCUUUUUGAUAUGACAAAGGGGGGAAUGAAUUAAGGAGCUAAAUUUAGAAAUUUGAGAAGUAAUAUUUUGUGUACUCUAGAAAUGAAUAUUUAGAAAUGAAAUUUGAGAAGUAAUUUAGAAAUUAAUAUUUUCAACCACACGAUCUAAUGUUUGCUUAUUUCUCCUACUAGUAUUUUAAUUUCUAAAUUAGGAUUAAUUGCUUUUUAUUUUGUUUUAAACCAUUUGAAUAUUCAAGAAAAUCAUUUGUGAUGUAAUUUAUUUAGUAUGAAACUAUGAAUGAUAUAUUAUGGUUCAAGUAAAUCACAAGUUUAGUUACUCAAUUUGCAUUUUAAAACUUUAAUAUGAUAUUGAAUGCUAAAAUUUUAGGGAGAGCUCUUUGUUAAAAAUAUACAAAUAUUGUUACUGAUUUGCUUAAUGAGAAUCAUAAAUUAAAAUCUAAUUCAACAAGUUUGUCAUCAUAAAAAAUAAGAGUUGCUGAGGUAAAAUUCCAAUUUUAUAAUAAACAUUUGAAGAAUAUUUUUAAGACUGAUAUCUAACCUGUACUUUUGAGUGGUUUAAUUUAUAGACAGGUUCUGAUUAUGAUACAAGCAUCUCAUAUUCGCGACAUAAUUUAAUCCAUCUUUGUGACAUGAUGCAUCCCUCUAAAUUGCGAUAGAUUGAUAUUUUGUAACAAAAUCCAUCACUAAUUUGUGGUCAAAAUCAAUAAUUAUAUGUUAUGUUUUCGUUUGGUAUUAGUGAUGGAAGAAUUAAGAGUUUGUUUGAGUUCAAGUGGUUAAUGAGUUCCACAUAUGAUGAAUUGUUUAAGAGAAUCUGAAUUCGAUUUCUGAGUGAAAUAAUUCUAUUAUUAACCAAACUUUACUUAUCUUCUGAUCGAACUCCAAAUUAUCAAGACUAUUUCCAUUGAGAACUAGAGGGUUAACACAACCAAAAAAACUAAGAGUUGUCUAAUAUGAACCUCCUAAAAAAGGUUUAAAGUUGGACAUUUACUAUUUUUAGCAAAAGAUUGAAUUUUAUAAUAAUAAUAGUAAAAGGAAAAAAAUGUGUAAUGUUUUAUCAAAACUUACAAAAAUCGAAUUUUUCUAGAAGUCGAAAUUUUUUGGUGGAAUCUAGAGAUCAAUUUUAGAUUAUGUCCAUCUAAAGUCGAUCAUUUCCGUUUAGAGAUCGACUUUAGAUAGACAUGAAAAACUCAUAUAUGUGAGGAUACAAUUAUGUCGCAAUUGGCUAAAAUUUCUAGAUCUCCUAGCUAAAUAUUUAAUGUCCAACAUCCACGGUUUUGUUUAUGUGGUUACAUUAAUUAGUUUGCGACGAAAUUGUGUUGCUUUAGCGACAAAUCACAUACCCUAUCUAAAUUUAGUUUUUUUUCUUCUUCUAAUGGAGUGGCCAAUAAUAAAUAGUUUCUUUUAAGGGAUAAUAAAUAGUUUCUUCAAAAAAAAAAUAGCCAAACACAAAAGCUAUCGGAAAAAAGCCCAAGGACCCAAAAAGAUCCCCGGUCACACACAAAACCAACAAAAAAUGAAGCCCAUCCCAACACGCCAACAUGAGAAAUAAAGACAAAAAACACCCACAUGACAGAAGAACCUCGAAAUCCUGGAACCACCCAAACCCUCAAAGACAUAUAAGAUCCAUAUGUGUCAAACAACAUUGAACCCUAAAGGUGUCAACGUACAAAGAAUUGGUUGUCUCCCACUCGUAAGGGGAGCCGCGCGAUGCCUAGAGAAUUUACCAAAGAAUCACUCCCAAGAAUGAAAAAUAAUCCAAUCAACAUGUUGCUGCUCAGUCUCGAAGUUACUUCUUGAGAAAGGUCAUUACGAACUUUUCAAAUAUACCACACAUUCGCAUGCCCUAGCUCUCCUCCUAUAUACACCUAAAAGAGAACACACCAACUAAAUGUUAAGAACUCGGACACUGCAUAUCAAAUGCUCAUACACGACUACCAUAUUUGAUGUACUGAUUGUGUACUCUUUUUUUUUAUCCAAAAGUACUAAAAGUAAAUGAAGAAAGAAUAUGAGGAAGUAUACAUAGUACAUUUUUAUUUGUCUAAAAAGUAGUGAAAAUUUAACAUGGUUGGUUAUUAUAAAGUAAAACUAGCAGCCCUAAACACCGUAGUAGCAAACUUAAGCCAAACCCAUGCUGGCCCAUCAACUUAUAUAAUAAUUACCCACGAACGUUAGUGGAAAAACUCGGUUGCAUAUUUUAUUGUCUCCCCUAUAAUUGUUAUAACCUACAAAUACUUAUACGUCACUUAAAUUUGAGCAAUCUCAUCCAUAAAUUCCCACCCCACAAGGCCACAACAACGAUUAAAGAAACAAAUUAAGAGAGAUUAUACAUACAUAUACACUCCUACUUAGGUCCAUUCCACCAAUUAAAGGAAUCACAAACAAGAAGAGAAAAAUAAAAUAGCUAGAGAGAAAUACAUAAAGAUGAGUGAAGAAUGUGGUGGAAACACUAUUGCUACCUCUACUACUCCAUUAAACUGGUGGUAUCUUCAAGCAAAUUCUCUUUCUUCUAAUUGGAAUGAUGUUAAACAUGCAUGGAACAACCAAAUGAAUAAUCCAAAUUCUUCCUCUUCUUGUGAGGAUCAAGAUAUAUCAGUUUCUUCUACAUCUUUCACCAAUGCAUCAAACCAUUCAAGCCUCACUGUUGAAUCCUCUCGAAGAGUAUUCGUCGAGCCGCAUGCACCACCUUCCUCCAACGACUUCAUGGCCGAACAUGCUUCGGAUAACCAACUAUGGAGUCAUGUUUUAUCGUAAGUUUCGUAAAUUGUUAAUUAUUACAAUUGUGCUAUAUGUUAUAAUGAAAACUAGUCUCAAUAUCACGAAAUAAUGUGCGUUAGAAUUUCAGUACAAAGGAAAAAAAAUUCAUAUGCUAUUGACUGAAAACAUGGAUCUGUCCAAUGAUAUUAUUUUGUGACACUUCUUAAUGGAACCCCUUCAUGACAGUAAACAAUUUCCUAAUUAUUAAUAAAUAUCUGAUGUUUUUACUGCUAUAUAUUAUUGAAACUGGCAAAAAAUUUUAUUGCUAUAUAAGAGACAAAUCUUUUACAGUUUUAGGUUAGAAAUUUUGUGAAGUUUAAGGGUGUUUUAAGUUAGGUAUAUAGGGUUAAAGUAUACGAUGGUUUUUUUCAGUGUGAGUAAAUAAUAUUCUUCUAGGCCUUUGCUUUCCACUAUCUAUAACAUGCUAACAGCUGUUAUGUGCACUAUAAUCAGUGUUUUCACACUAUGCAACAAUGAUCUCUUGUUUAUCCAUCCACAUACCAAUAAAAACCCUCUUGGAUUCUGUAAGAUAUAUAAUUAAAAAGUAAAUUUAUUAUAUAUUUUAGUAUAUAUACAGCUAAUUAGCUUUUUGUUUUGAUAAGAAAUGUUUGUAUAUUUUAAUUACAACUAAUUUACUUUCUUAUGUAAAAUAAUUUAUAGAGGUGUUGAUUCAAAUGGAGAGUUACACAACAACCAAGAAAUUGGAGAGAAUUUCUUGGAUGGACUAUCAUCAAAAACCAUGACAAACACUAUGUUUGAUGAACCAGCUUGUGACUAUUUGAAGAAACUUGAUACAACAAGUUGGGAAUAUAAUACUAGUGGUUCAACUUCAUUCAAUACUAAUUUUGAGAAGCACUUAAAUGGGUACAGUGAAGCUCUUAUUGAGAAUAAUGAAAGGUUGACAAAAUUAUCCAAUCUUGUAAGCACUUGGUCUAUUGCCCCACCUGACCCUGAAGUUAGUAGCCACUUUGAUUCACAAACAAAUAACAAUUUGUCUACUAAUUUGAAUAAUUCUAAUUCGUCCAAUAUGGAUCAUAAUCACUACACACAUGAUUCUGACCCUAAUUGUCAUUUCAAACUACCUUUUGGUGAUUCCACAUCAUGUACUAUUAGAGAAGGAGUAGGUAAUAAAAUGUUCCCUAGUUGCCUUGAUAUUCAAGACAUGAAUAAGGUUAAGGAAGAAUAUCAUCAUCAUGCAAGUGAAGUGAUGCAAGGACAUGUAUUUAGAAAAUCACUUAAUCCAAAUGGAUAUCUUGAUGGAUUUAACUCAGUGGGAGAUCACAAUGGCAAAUUUUAUGAAGGGUUGCCAAAUAUUUCACCAUGCACCAAAAAUUUCUCAGAUGUUAUAUCCUUUAAUAGUAGGCUUGGAAGGCCAGUUGUUGGAAUCCAUCCACAAAGGCCUAAUAUGAGAUACUCAAACUUAUCUGAGUCAAAGAAACAAGGGCUUCAAACACCAUCACAUGUGAGUUUUUUCUUCUUCUUUUAUAGACAAAUUUUAUUUGUUAAUUUGUUUUGUUAGCAGCAUACAAAUUUCACUUAAAAUAGUGAUGAUCCAUCUUUAUAUCCUAUAUUUUUGAGAGAUCCAUAUUUUUCUAAAACGGUAAAAUUUAUUAAUAAUUAAGUUUCUGCACUAGACGAACAGAGACCUGUAAAAUAUAUAUGAGACAAAUCCGAAAAAAUAUAUGAAGUAGCGACAAAAAAUUUAAAAAGAAAUUUUUAUAAUGUAUUUGUCUCUAUAAAUUAGACAUGGAAAUUUAAUUAUUUUUGUUUCUAAUUUCUUGGUUGAUUUAACUUUUUUUAGUAUGGCAACUAAUUUCUAUUCAAAAUUUAGAGAAAAAGUCAUGCUAGCUCUGACAUUAUUUUGUCAAAUAAAAUGUGUAUGCAAUUAAUUUAUGCAGAUGAGAACCACUAAUGGAAGAGGAGAGGGAACAACACGUGAAGUAAAGAAGAAAAGAUCUGAAGAAUCAUCAGAAGCAAGUUUGAAAAAGCCUAAGCAAGAUACUUCAACAACAAAUUCAUCUUCAAAGGUACAUAAAUAUAUUUAUUAUAUAUUAUGUAAUAUACGUACCAACAUGAACUAAUUAUGAGUGUAAAAAAGUCAUAUAAAGUGGGGGAAACCUUUUUAUUUUGUGUAUUAAUGUAAAUUAAGAAACUUCUAUUGAUUGUUUAAAAGGUGCAAGCACCUAAAGUCAAGCUAGGAGACAAGAUCACAGCCCUUCAACAAAUUGUGUCUCCAUUUGGAAAGGUUACUACAGAAUGCACUAAUCCCCACACCCUCUUCCCUUUUUCAUUCCUAUCUUUUUUGUAUAAAUAAUUCACAGUGCUUUUACUUUUCUCACUACCUACUUCAUAAUAAUCAAUUUAUUUUAUUUUUCUUUGUUGAAUUUCAGACUGAUACAGCAUCUGUGCUGUUUGAAGCAAUAGGGUACAUAAAGUAUCUUGAAGAACAAGUCCAGGUGUGUAUCAUUAUGGAAAAGUUCCCAUUCAUUAUGCAUUAUAUGUAACUAUAUAGUAUAUAAUAUACAUUAUUGUUGCUUUUCUCCUCCUUUUCAUUUUUAAUUAAUGCCAAGGAAACUUGACUUCUAGGAUUAUUAGUUCUUUAUCAAAAUGAAUAAACUAACAACAAUGCUGUGUUGAGCGAUUACACAUUUUCCAUGAAUAUCUCAUGAGCUUCAUCAACUAUAUAAUAUAAGGAGAUUUUAAAUAACACCUAACUAAAAUCUAAUUAUGAUUAGUAAAAAUAUGUGCCCCUGCCAGUAUGUUAAUCUUAGCUGCAACAAAUUACAAAAUUGUAUACUAUUAGUAGAUUAAAAACAAAACAAAAUGAAAAAUAAAAAUUUUAUAGGGACUAAACAUGUUUAACCAUGUACCAAAAAAAAAACAUAUUUAACCAUAUAUACUUUAAGUGAUUAAAGAUGCAGGUUUUUUUUAUCAUAACCCUUCCAUUCCUAGAAAAUGGCCUAUAUAAUACAUGUUCCGGCCGGAAAGUAAGUAAAGUCUGACAAAUAAUCAUUUUAAGUCAUAAUUUGAAACCAAGUUUCUUCUAAACUAUUGGUAUUAAAGGUGCAGCUUCAAACACAAACAGUUCAACUAUAAGUAAUAUAAUCAUCUUUUUCUUCAUUAUAUACAAUUAACAGUUUAAUUUAUCUUUAAUUAAUUCUUUUUACGUUCAUAAUUAUUAUGCAGUUACUGAGCAACCCUUACUUGAAGGCAAAUUCACACAAGGUAAUUAAGAAAUUAAUCUAUAUAUAGAUAUCUCUAUUAAGUACUUUUCAAAAUUAAAUUAUUCUCUCAAAAUUUCACUCUUAAUUAGAGAUGAUUAACAUAAUAAUUAAUCCAGGAUCCAAGGGGAAGCUACUUCGAUAGAAAAGAUAAGGAGGAUGCAAAGCUAGACCUUCGAAGUAAAGGUCUUUGUUUAGUUCCUACUUCAUGUACCCCUAUAGUUUAUAGAGAGAACAAUGGGCCAGAUUACUGGACACCAGCGUAUAGAGGAUGUAUGUAUAGGUGAUUAAUAACACAUGCAUAUGACUUAUGCCAAAAAUAGUAUGUGGUUGUAUGUACUAUAAUCUUGGAAAUUAUAAGAUCUCGUCAAUAAAUCAUAUAUUAUCCUGAAUGUAACUAUUUAUUUAUUGUCUUGAUGUAAUGCCUGGUUACACGAGUAUACACAUUUUAGUUGACCUUCAAACAAGGGCUAGUACUUAGCAUUAUUGAUUUUUCUUUUUUUAAAGUUCUCUUACUAGAAAGAAUGUGUUUUUCAUACUAAAAAAUUACUUGAGUAAAAAAAACGAUAUUAAUAAAAAGACUCUUAAAGUAAAAAUGUUUCUCUCAGUGAUAUAGACAAAAGAUGCACAUUUUACCAAUUUAGCUCUCCAAUUACAAACAAAUUAUUAACAGUCACAAUUGUUGGAUGAUGUAAAAAUUUGACAUUAACUAAUGUUUUUUUUACGGAUUAAUAAUUUUUUUCUACGAAUAUAUAUUCAAUUUUCAUUUUCUAUAGUUUUAUUCAAAUUGCUAACGAAGGAAAUGAAACACUCAUGUAAUGUAUAUGUGUGAUAGGGAGAAGGUGAUAAGCAAACUAGCUAGGAUGAAUGUAUUUUCAAAAUCAAUGAAAAUAAUGUUUAGGCACUUUCAAAGUUUAUCAAAAAGUUUUAUAUGUUUUAAAAAAAAUGUAAAAGAAGAUUGUGAUGAAAAUAUUCUUUUAUGUUCAUUUGUUGAAGUGAAAAUAAAAAAAAAUAAAAUAAUAUUUAUUAGGUAUAAUUCAGAGUAUAAUUAAUCUCACAUUGAGUCUCUCAUUAGUUGGUUAGUCAAAAGAAUAUGAAAUUCAUUUUAUUUUCUAAUCGAAAAUUAAUUAUAGCGAAGCAAUUAGAUAAUUCACACCUAUAAUACAAUCUUUAAUUUUCUAAUAGGUGUAAAUUCUCUUAUAGGUGUGAAUUAUAGCAAUUAGGUAAUUUUCUAAUACAUACCUAUAAAAUUAUCUAAUCUAAUUGUUAUAAGAAACUUCUAAGGUACACUCAGAAAGUGAGGUGUACCGGUACUCAUGCUUCAUAAUUUUAUAAAUUAACGAUCAUUUUUUAUGAAAUAAAUAGUUAUUUGUUAAUAUUAAUAUUUUAUAGAACAUCAUUUCAUAAGAAAAAACAUCAUUUCAUUGUUUAUAAGAAUUAUAAUAAUUUUUUUUACAUAUUAUCAUAAAAAAUAAUCAAUGUUCUCAAUUAUGAGUGAAAAAAAUUCAAAAAAAAUUAAUUUUAUUUCGUUGACACUUUUGAUAAAUAAGAUUUAAUUAUUAUAAUUAUAGAUGAUAAAAAAUAAUAUUUUUCUUUAAAAAAACAACUCAUUUAACUAUUAAUUUAAAAAAUGAGUAUACCAAUACACUCAAAUAUAUUGGAUGUACCAUAAAAUUUGCAUUGUUAUAAUUAUCUUAUACCGAAGUAAUUAGAUAAUUCACAGGUGUGAAUUUUUUGAUGAUUGUAUUAUAAGUGUGAAUUAUCCAAUUGCUUCGCUAUAAUUAAUCUCCACCUAAAAUUUCACUAAUCAACUUUAGUUGAGUCUCUCUUCUCAAUUACUACCUUCGUCCUAAUUAUAAGACUCUUUUGAAAAAAUAAUGGGAAUUAAGAUAGUGGAUAUUUGUAUUAAAUAUGUUUGUAAUUACUAUUGUUUUUACAAUUUUAUCCUUUAAGAAAUAGGGUUGGCUUAUGUUUUCAACAUUUUAUUUAUUGCUGAUUGAAGAAAAAGAUGUAUAAUAAAUAGGGGCAUGUAUGUAAAGAAAUAAUUAAUGUAGUUGGAAAUAGAAAAGGGGUCUUAUAAAAAGGGACAAAAUUUUUUUCUCAAAAGGGUCUUAUAAUUAGGGACGGAGGUAGUAUGUUUUUUUUUCUUCAUCCAAAAAAACCCUUUUUAAAGUGAAAUAUCAUAGAGUUAUUUAUUUUUUCGCAAAGGACUCACCAAAUAAUGUAUACAUCACCUCAAACCCUAGUCGUCACCCUUUUCUUCUUCUUUUCAGAGGGGUGAUUUAGGGUUAUUUUUGACACAAAAUCACCCCUCCGAAUUGUUUUUUCUUCUAUCAUAAUUAAAUAACUGAUUUCACAUAUUUUCAGUUUUCUUUCGUUUGAUUUGUGAUUACGUCGUCUCUGAACGACUCUGUUUGUUUUGAUUUCCCGUCUUUAUCCGGUGUGUUUUUGAUUUCCCAUCUUAGUGCGGUGUUUAUUUGAUUCAGGUUGAAAGAUUAGCUUUAAGCAAGUGCAGAUCCGAUCAAUGACAAUGACUUUGGCGUCGUCAACGUUGCAGAUUCGGAGACAUGAGUAUUCCGGAGACAUGAAUAUAGUCAUAUUAAUUAUAUUUGUAGGCAUAGGUACUUUGCCGUUUUAUGCUAUUAACAUGGAUGCUGUGAGUUUGUUCACAGAUUCAUCCUUUUUAUUUUUAGCAAAUUUGAAUUUGUAUUGUAUCGAUGUACUCUAUCAAUUUGAAAGAAUGCAUAUUGUUUAUUUUUGUCAAAAAAAUAAUAAUAAUGUAUACAUCACCUUAUACCGUAAGAAGCAUAAAAGACACUCAUUAACAAAAUAUUUGAAUAAGAAAGCAUAGCCUGAACUAUAUAAGCUUUGGAAAGUUAAUGAAAACAAAAUAUAGUUCUCCAAAUCUAAAAACCAAGCUGAUUAAAAUUGUUGAAAUUGAACAUUUGAGUUGACUCUAGUGUUUGUCACGAUCAAUUUGCAAGAGAAGGACCAAAUUUGACAUGUAAAUCAAAAUAUUUGAUAAAAGAAUUAGUGUGCAUGUUCAUCACCUGAUGUACAGAGAAAAAUACUAAAUAAAUUAUAUAUUCAUGGAUGGUCAACUGAGAGUUAGCUAAGUGUGCAUCACAUUAAAAACUUUUGUAAUAUAUUGUAACUUUUUAGGUUAUUGUCACUAAUUCUCAGUACUUUAGAAUAUGUGAAAUUGUAGAUAGAUUCUUCAUAUAUAUAGAAUCUUCAUACAUAAAAGGUUCACACUCCAUUUUAUACUCCUUAAAUAUGGUAUCGUUUUUAAUUUUUUUUGUAUAAUCAGUAGAAUCAUAUUAUUAAUUGACUGUAGAAAAACAAAACCAUAUAUGGUGGAACAGCAUGGAUGGUUUUGAACAUGUCCACUCACUAACAUUGAACGAUUUAGGAUGAUUUAAACAAGUAAAAGAUGGGAUUGAUUCUAGAAGUAGAGAGAAUGACGUAUUGUUAAGUGCCAAUGAGAAAUUGGUCAAAGGGGAGAUGAGCAAAAAAGCCAAUUGCAAGGUUGGUGGUGCACUCAAACAUAGAUCAGUCAUGCUUCUUAUAAUGACAACCAAGACAAACACACCACCCUCACAAAUCCUCACAAUUUUUUUGGAACAAAAGUAGUUUUUUUUUUUCAUAAUCCAAAUAUAUGGAAUUGAUAUAAUGAUAUAAUUCAUUUCAGUAAUUUUGAAAUUGAUAGUAAUUUCAAAUUUUUAGAAACAUCACUCCCUUCUUUUUCUCUUCUCCUCUUUUCAUCUUCUUCGUUCGUCGAUAAGGAGUGGUUUAGAAUUAAUUUUUUUUGGCAUAAAUCACUCAUCUAAUUAAUUUUUCUAUCUUUUUAUAUAAGUGAUUUUUCGUAUAUUUUUUUUUUUUGUGAUUUUGUCAAUUUAGUACGGCCUAUUAUUUUGUUUGCCAUCUUUGCUGCUAUGUUAGUUUGUUUUUUCGUUUUGUUCUGGUGUUUAUUCUAUUUAAUUGAUAUAUUAGAUUUGAUCUGAAAGCAUUGAUAUCUCAAACACUUUAAUUUUAUUGCAUUGAUAGGCUUUAUCAUAUUUGUAUUUAUAUUUUUCUCAUUUUCCUUAUGUUCUGAGAUAGAAUAUCAAUCAUGGCAAUUUGAAUUUUGAAAUGAUAGGAAUUGAUAUUCACUUUGGCAAUUUUGAAAACUACGGAAUUGAAUUUUGAAAUAAUUUAGAUCUAAAAGAGUUGAUAUUUUUUAACCUUUUUUUUUUUUUUUGUUUUUUUACCUAAAAAAAUAUUUUUUUUCUACAUCUUGUUCGUAUAAGGAUAUUAAUUUAUUUUAUAGACUAAUAAAAAGAUUAACAUCCUUCUUCUUCUUCAGCCUACAAACUAGUUCAUCACCACCACCGACAACCUCCAUAACACUGUUAAACGUUUAAAUCCAACAUCAACAAUAGCAAACAACACCAAGAACCAUUUCCUUCCAAUAAACAAACACAAACUAAAAAUUCUUAUUCAUCGUCAACUCAAACUCAUACCACAAUCUCCGUCAUCAUCAUCGCAAUACCAGAAAACAUUUUCCCUUCAAACUAACAAACCCAAACGAAGAAACUUGCAAACUCGCUUUUGUUGCCUAUAAUUGGAUUUGCACCAUAAGAAUUUUGUUUGUGAAUUUAGAUGGUUUUAUGCUUUUAUGUGGUCGAACGUGGCAUUUGAAGCACUUUCCAUUAACAAUGUUGAUAAACUUUUUUGAACAAACAAUGUUGAUAAACUUAAAGUUGGAUGCAAUAAGCUAUUAAGGUUCAUAGUGCAAAUCGUUUUCUUUUGUUGCUAAGUUUUUUUUUGUUUUUAAAUCUUUCUUUUAUUGGAUUUGGUCCCUUGCCAAUUUCAUUUUUUUUGGUUUUCGUCCCUCUCACUUAUUGACUAAUCAACUCAUUUGCCACGUGUCAUUUGCUUGCCACAUCAUCCAUUGUCACGCCAUCAUCUGAUUGCUCUCAUACAUGUUUUUGUAACAAAUGAUGACAGCAUGAAUGAAAAUCAAAACGUUUGCAUCUUACAUAAUUUGUAUAAAAAAAUGUUUUGAGCCUGAAUUAGAAGAAGCCCGAUCUCUUUUUUUACCAUAUCAUUAAAAAUUUAUAAAGACAAUAUUUUAAACUUUUCUAAUUACCUUUUACGCCAUCAAUCACUUUUAUAUUACCAUUUUUGUAUGUGUAUAGAAUUUUUUUAUACAAUUUCGUCAAAUUUAAUGGAAAAUAUAACAUAUAGCACAACUCUUUUAACAAAGGUUAUAAGUUCAAUCCAGCUAUGAAAUGUAGCAAUGUUAAAUAUUUUGAAGAGAAGCAUUGCGAUUCAUUGCUUUUCAUCAUCUCCCAUUUUGAUGAAUGAAUUGGUAGCAAUUCUCUUUUUAAUUCGUUCAUUCAUGGGUGGAGCUGGGCUUUGUUUCUUCCAUGCCUCCUAAUUGGCCUUUUAUGUAACUUUGCUUUUCGGAAAUUGUUUUUCUCCAUUUUGUUUUUGCUUAUUUUAUUUAUAUGUCUACGUGAGGGACGUUAUACCCCCACACCUCUACACUUAUAUCUUACCCAACAAUUUUUAAAAAUUCCAAUUUUACCCCUUUUACUAUAUAAUCUUUUACACAUAAAUUUUUCACCCUCAUUUUCAACAUCUCUUAAUUAAGGAUGAGUUCACCGCCACAUGAUAUUUUUCUUGAUACUUAUUUCCUUUUUUGUUUUUCACUAUCAAACGUUUCCGAAAAUAUUUCGGAAUAUUCAUAUAUACGUUUACAAAAAUAAUAUGAGAACUAGUCUCUCUUCAAAUGAAUGAUGCAACACAACUUAUCUUUCUCCUUUGAUGGAAAAAAUUGUUCUAAUACCAAUUAUUGAAAGAAAAAAUCAAUAAAAAAUCUUUAAACAAGCGGCAACACAACCACAAAAUAUGUAAAAGAGACAAAAACAAAUCACAAGACUGUUUAUCGACACUUCACACCUUCAUUCAUAAUAUCUUAACAAAAUAUUUGUUACAAAAAUAUGCAUACUUUUACUAGGAAUUGCAAACCCUCUUAUACAAUUAUAAUUUUUGCAUAGAUAUAUGCAAACUAAUCUUUCUCAAUUACAAUUUUUGUAAGAAAAACUACAAACUCUUUUAUGACACACAACUACCCAACCUCUUUUUUUUUUUUUCAUUACUCGAUGUGCGAUGUGAAAGAAUAUCAAUUUUAGAGAACAAAUGACUAUAAUUUAUAGGUGGCCUUUAUGAUUUUUCGCACAAAUUUUCAUACUGUGAAAUGUGAAUAGAUGCAUGUGCAGAGAUGGAGUUCAUAAUUUAAAUCUUACGUUAAAAAUAAAACAAGUUUUUAAUGUUAUAGUUUAAAAAUAAAAAAUUGUUUCUUAUAUACAAUAUUUUUAUGAAUAUUUACAUAGUUUUUAAAAAAAAUUAAUAAUGAAUGGUAUAUUCGUGUCCUGUAUGACACAAUGAAACAUAUGCACAUGAAUAAAUUAUACAUUAAGCCUAAUCAUAUGAUCUGAAAAGAUUUUCUCUACAUCUCGUCGAGCUAGCAAGGUAGAUAGAUGUCAACUAAUAUAUAUACAUUAAUUUUUAAUUUGAAUUUUUUUUAACAGCGUUGGAUUGACUUAUAUGUGAUAUUUUAUUUCAUAUUAGGGUAGAGUCUGCUCAUUGGAAACUGAAGCAAAUGUUGGAAAACAGCAAAGAUGACUUGUGCAAAUGUUGGAAGGGUAUGCACAACAUGAAGUUGCAAUUAGGAAAAAUCAUAGCUUCAUUUCAAAAAAGUUUUUAUGAAGUUGAACACGCACACACAAGUCUAUUUUAUGAAAAAUUGCGUGGAUUUGUUUCUAGAGCUGCUUUAACAUGCAUUGUUGUUGAGUUUGAAAGAGUUAGAUAUAUGGAAAUCGACGAAUCGACAUGUGGUUGCAAACUCAGAACAACAUAUGGAUUGCCUUGUGCUUGUGAGUUAGGAAGAUAUAAAAUUAGUGGUAUACCUAUACCAUUAGAUUCAAUUCAUAUUCAAUGGAAGAAAUUAAGCAUGGAAAAGUCAACAAGAGGAAGACACGGAAACUGGAUAAAACGAUUGAAACUAAUAAAACCUUAUUAUAUGACUAAUAGAAUAAAAACACCCCCUUUGAAUUACAAAGUGUGGCUAGAAGGGAACAAAUACAUUAUACAGUAUAAGCAAAGAGUGUGUUAAUUACUUACAUGACCAUACCACAGGGAGCUUUUCUAUACUUGACAUUAAAUUUAAGACAGUACACGUUUACUUAAGCUUAAUUUUACUAUAUUUAGUUAGCAAAAACAGCUUUUCAACUACAGUAGUUGUUUGAAUCCUUUAAAAAAAUACAAGUAAUUGUUUUAACUUUUAAUCACACAAAUAAACUACUCCAAAAUCCAAAUACAUAAACAAGCUUGGCUAAUGUGCUCUUGAUCUUUACAGACAAAGCAACAAUCACCCUUUAAAGUCUAAACAAUCCCAUUACUUAGAGAUACACAUAAGAAAGCACAAAGAAGCCAAAUCCGAUAUAAAAAAUAAAUGUGAUACAUACACAAGUCACAUAUAAAUAAUACUUCAUCAUCAGGGAACAAUAUAUCAGUCUUUUCCAUGUACAACGAUUCAUUAAGCAAUUAAAAUAGCAAUUGCUAAUAAGAGGCGCGGACAUGACCUCAAAAUAACAGAAUUAUCACAACAGACAACAAGUAAGGAUGGAAUAACACAAUUAAGUAAGUAAUGGACAUAGUAUGAAUAACUAAAUGAAUUCUACGAAAACAAUGUAACUAUAUUUCAUUUCCAUUAAUUGCAUAUAUAGAGGUAACCUUGAUCAGUAGUAUAUCUAUGCCCAUUAAUUAGUAUAUCUAUAAAAAAAAAUAGUAGAUCAUGACAAAAGCUACUUCAGAGAGUUAAACAAAAAAUUAAAAAAGUAAUUUUUUUUUGCGCCUGAACUGGAAUUCUUGGCCAAACGAUUCCGGGAAUAAUUAACCGAAAUACUUUGAACGCGUUUUCCGGAAACUACCGGAACACUUCACACAUGGUUUCCGGAAAUCAACCGGAACACUUUGGUUAACACGAUUCCUCGGACGAUUCCAUGAAAGGACGACGGCAAUAUUUCCAGAAAACGGUUUCGUGGAAGGAUUUAUAACACUAACCCAGAAAAUUUUGAAAAACCUAACCGUGAACGAUUCGUGAAUGAUUCCAGAAAAUAAUUCAGAACAAACACAUGGAAUUAGUGGAUGAGACAGAACACAGAAUCAGAAUAAAUGAUGCUUACUUGUUUGUUGGAAGAAGAAUCAGAAGAGGGUUUUCCAGAAAAGGGGAUUGAACGUUGAAGGAGAAGGGUUUAGAGUGUGUGGGGGUGAAAAGUGAAGGGUAAUUUUGGUAGUUUGUGUUAAAUGUUGGGGUAUAGGUAUAAAUGUAGGGGUGUAGGGUAUAACGUCCCUACGUUAACUCAUGUUGAAAAAAUCGAACGUGAGUUAACUCACGUUGGGCAUAAUUAAGGGAAUGAGCAAUUUAUUGCUUUUUUCAAAUAAAAAGUUGCUUAAAAACACAUGAAAAUGACACAAACCGCUGUAGUUAUCUAAGCUUAGGGUUUUUGGUCAUUUUCAUGUGUUUUUAAGCAACUUCUUAUGUGAUUUUUUUUUUUUUUUUAAUGUUUGUAACAGCUAAGUUUAUCAACUAUUAGUCAGCUUAUAGUUUCUUAUAAUAAUAUGAGAUUUCUUUUUGGGCGAGCGUGUUUAGUUUUUUUUUAAUAAAAAUAGAUAAAUAAAAUAACUUUAAUCAUUUAAUAGUGUUUGUUUAGGUUUUUAUUUUAAAUAUUAUUGUUUUACUCUAAAAUGAAAAGCUAUUAGAAUUAACUAUCUUUAAAAAUUUUUUUUUUUUUUCAAAAAUAUAGAGGUAACACAUGAACAAGUUUUUCUAAAAAAAAAAACAAUUAUUUUUAUAGAAGUAAACAAACAGAAAUAAUUUCAGAUUUUUUAAAGAAACCUCUAAAAAGAUCUCUAGAUUUUUAUAAUACAAAAUCUUUUUUCUUUUUAAGUUGAAACAAAACACCCUUAAUCUCUUUUAUUUGAUUUACCCUAGUUACAUCGCAUAAACCUUGAAUUUCACCAUUUCUAGAAAGAAAAAAAAAGGGUUAAAUAUGUUUUUGGUCUCUAUAAAUAUACCAACUUUUCGUUUUAGUCCCUCUAAAAUUUUCCUUCAACUUUUAGUCCCUAAAAAAUUUUCAAUUACUACUUUUGGUCCCUAUUUUUAAUUUAAUUUUUGUAUUUUUUAAUAAAAUUGUACAGAAAUGUGUAAAAUAUUCUAAAAAAAAUAAAGAAAUUAGAAUUUUUUAACAAAACACAAAUUAAAUAUGAAUUUUUAACUGUAAAAAAUAUAAAAAUUCAUAUUAAAUUCAUGAUUUGUUAAAAAAUUCUAAAUUUUUUUUGAAGUGAUUCUUAUAAUAUUUUGAAUUUUUAUGGAAAAUUUUAUUAAAAAAUAUGAAUUCUAGAUAUGAGUUUACUUUAAAAAGAGACCAAAAGUGAAAAUUGAAAAUUUUAUAGGAACUAAAAGUUGAAGGAAAAUUUUAGAGGGACUAAAUGAAAAGUUGACAUAUUUAUAGGGACUAAAAAUAUAUUUAACCCAAAAAAAAAAUACCCUUAAUUUGUUUUCAAAUUUUAACGUGACCACUGCAGCAACUAUAGACAAGGGAAAAUAUGGCGAUACACGCAGACUCCAUCGGUAAGAAACCUAGGUGUUUCUAGAAAGUUUAGUGGAAUAAUGAUAGUCAUAGUUGAGUCUCAUUGUUUACAAAUGCCAUUUGUAAAUUUUAUUUUGAAGGUGAGAAAAACACAAGAAGGGGGUUGAAGUGUGUUAACUUUUUCUUUUCUUUCUCUAUCUGAAACAAGCAGGUCAGAAGCAGGUAGAAUUCUACUUCUGAAGAGAUGUUCAGAACUAAAUGCAGCGGAUACGAAUAGAGAGAAAGAGAGAAAAAAGACACAGACAAUUUAUACAGGUUCCUUCCACAAACUGGAAGUCAGUCAUGUCCCCCUUGCACUUCCAAGGGGAGUUCACUAUGUAAUAUCUGAUUACAAAUGCUCACUACUAAACUUAGUAUGAGACUUCAAAUUGCUCAAGCACAACUGCAAGAGACUUCCUAUGCUCCUGAACACAAUCAAGAGACUUCUAUUGCUCAAGCACAACUGCAAGAGACUUCUAAAUUCAAACAGAAUUACAAUGAAAAAUGUUUGAGGUUGAACACUUGAUAUACAAUCAAUGGUGUUCACAAUACAAAUCACAGACUCUAGAAUUCCUAAGAUAUAAGCUUUGUUAUGAAAUUCUAAGUGAACUUUGAAGUGAAGAGCAAUUUCAACAGAGUUUUAGCUUAACUGAUGCGUAGUAUUGUUCUUUAGUAACUCUGAGUCUUCACUCCUUUAUAUAGAGUUGUGAAAGAGACGUUGAAAUGUCUUCUUAUUCAAAAUAGAGUCGUUUGAAGCUCUUGAUCUAUCACCAAUGAUCUUUUGCCUGAUAUGGUUAUUGUCCUAUGAAGGAUCAAUUUCAAAUGUGUUCCCAAUGUGAAUAAACAUUGUUGCAGGCAGAGCUGUUAUCCUUGUCUUGUAGCAGAGACAAACUCAUAAUAGUGGAGGUAGUGGUUGUACACUUCGUACAAACGUACUAUGUCAACGCUCUUUGAAGAAAAAGCAUCCAAUGCAUUUCAAAAUAGUCGUGCCACAAUUUUCCAGUCUUCUGCAAUCUUUAGGCGAGUUAGAGUCCUUGAAACAGCUUUUGAAAAUUUAAGUUCAAUCUUCUGAUGAACUGCAGCUUCUGGUGAUACACAGCUUCUGAUGAACUUGCUUCUGAUGACGUCAUCACUUCAGAAGCACUUUGUCUUUAGGCGCACUUCAAACUUCAGGAGCAGUUUUCUUCAGACGCUCGAAGCUUCUCUUUUUGUUGAUAUACUUGCUCUUUAUUUGUUCUUUGAAGACCAAUUUAAUAUGACAAUUUUUUUUCUAUAGUCCUGUACACUUGAACAAAUAUUAGCGUAUCCAAUUGACAAUUUUUAAUACUUUAUUAUCAUCAAAACUCUCAAGGGUUAUUAUUGCUAAACAAAUUUUAUUCCAACACAUUUUACAUACAUAAUCAAUCAAACAAUAUGUUACUCGCAUUUCUUUUUACUUUAUAUUUAGUUAUGUUUUUAUUAGCUUAGUUCUCAAAAAUCACAACGGAAGAACGUAGUUUCUUUCUACUUUAUACUUACACUCUUUAAAGAAUGGAAGAACAUCGUUUCUUUCUUGGCAUAAUCGUUUGGAGGAAAAGAGAAUCAUUGUUGAGAUCUAUUAGCCAGUUCAUCAGCUAAUUUGGCAACAAUUUGUAAUAAUAAAAUUGUUGUAUUAAUAAAAACAAAGCAAGGUGAGGACUAAAAAUUACCAAAUAACUGUGUGAAUAUUGGUAAUAAGAUAGGAAAUAAGAGAAGGAGUGAUAAAGAAAGGGGUAAGGGCUACAAGGGUCAGUGGCCCCAAACCAUCAUCUACGAAGGACACAGUAGCCUGUGCAAUAGCAGCAUGUACAAUAGUGACAUAUUUUACCCUCCAAUUCAUCACUCUUUGCUAGCAAGAAAACUUUUAAAUUUUACCACACAUAAUUAAUUUUCCAAUACAAAUUAAAUGAAAGAAAACACACAUAGAAAGAGAUAUUGUUAUAUAUGCAUACGGGUGGACAAGCAUGCAUGUAAAGUAGCAAAAUAAAUUAUUUAAAUAUUCAUAUGACACAAAAUGAUUGAGGAAUAUAACAAGAGAGGGUAGCUAAAUUUUACACACAAGAAAACAAUAGCCAGAAGAUAAAUAGCUAGGUAUAUUGUUUUCUUCUCCUCGUCUCUUCAUUACUCUUGUCUCCUUAGAUCCUUUCCUCUUGCAACCUUUUUGCUCUCAAUCUGUGAGUUUUUUUUUCUACUUUUUCUUCUGACAUGAAAAAAACAACCACAAAAAAAUCAAAUAUAUAUAUAUUUCAGCUCUUUCUAGCUUCUUUAAAUUAUUUUGUUAUAUAGUUUCUUUAAUUUAACUGAUCUCUUUUUUGUUAUCCUUGUUCCAUGAGAGAAGGAAACAUGUUAAUGAAAUUUUUCUUUUAGAAGAAGAAUUAAACAUUUGAUUAUUAAGUUUUUGUUUAAAAAUUUCAGAUUGCAAAAUAUAUAAUUAUGGCGGCUGCUUCUUCAUCUACAUCAUUCUUUGGAAUCAGAGAAGAAAAUCAAAGUCAAAUAACACAUCAUCAUCCUCAUCCUCAAUCAACUACUACUUCUGCUACUUCCUCAGCUCCUUCAACCACAGUUCCUCAAAAGAAAAGAAGGAAUCAACCUGGAACACCAAGCAAGUAGCUUAAUUAUUUUUAUUUUCAUUAUUACUUAAAGCUUCAACAUGCACACACCCUUCUCGAAUUUUUUUUUUUUUUUUUUUUUGUAUUAUUUUCUCAAAAAACAAGCAUAAUGAAACCCUAAAUCAUGAACAUGAGUUAGGGCUCUGAAUUUCUUUUACAAAAAAGCUAUAUAAGAACUAUGUUUAGGGUGCAUGCAGUCUCCUCCAAUUUUAUUCUCAAAAGCAUAUGAGACUUCGGUUUUAAUUUUUGUAAUAAUUUUUCUAACUUCUACUGUUUUUUACUACUAUUACCAUGAGUUUGUGGCUUUUAAAUGGAAAAAAUAACAAUAAAACAUAGUUCUUCAUUUCAUGGUGCAUAUAUAUUCAAUUAUGAAUACUUCUUUUGAUGUUAAAAAAACUAGAAUUUUAUAAUAUUUUUCUUAUACAAAAAAAUAUAUAAUAUUUUGUUGUUUUGGCAUUUUUCAUGGUAAAAAGAUCCAGAUGCAGAAGUGAUAGCACUAUCUCCCAAGACUCUAAUGGCAACAAAUAGAUUUAUAUGUGAGGUUUGCAAUAAAGGGUUUCAAAGGGAGCAAAAUCUUCAACUUCAUAGAAGAGGACACAAUCUUCCUUGGAAGCUAAAGCAAAAGUCCAACAAAGAGCCAAGGAGAAAGGUUUAUUUGUGUCCUGAGCCCACAUGCGUCCAUCACGACCCUUCAAGAGCUUUAGGAGAUCUAACUGGAAUUAAAAAGCAUUUCUCUCGUAAGCACGGUGAGAAGAAGUGGAAAUGUGAAAAAUGCUCAAAGAAAUAUGCUGUUCAAUCUGACUGGAAAGCACAUUCUAAGACUUGUGGUACUAGAGAAUAUAGAUGUGAUUGUGGCACCCUCUUCUCUAGGUAACAAACAUCAUCUUUAUAUUUAUAUCUUCACAUCGAUGUUAGUCUAAUUAUAUUUCAUAAAUAUGAAUUCAUCACUCUAUAUACAUAAUAUAUGCUACACUUUUGCCAAAUGUUAGGGUUAUACUUAUAUGGUUUGGUAUUGAAUAUUAUUUUAUUUUAUAGAAGUUAGUGUUUGAUUAUUUUUUUACUACCAAUUUUAUUAUAAGAAUUCGAUUAUUUUAAUCAUGUUUUUUUUCAUCAUUCAAUUGCAAGGAAAAUGGUCAUAAGUCAUAACAAUCUGAAGUUUUGCAAGAAAGCAAGUAAAAUCCAACCAAACCGUAGAUCAAACUCAUAGACUCCUUAUAUAUCGUUCUCUUUCUUUCCUCUUCGUAUUGAGCUCUAAUUUAUCUAAAUUGAAGUACUCUUUAAACUUCUUUACUAAGGAACCUUUUACAUAUAAAAAGGUGUGUGUAUAUAUAUAAAUAUAAUAAGUUGAAUUUUUUUACAAUAAGUAAAAACACACAAAGGUUAAAUUUGAACAACAGUCUCUUUUAUGUUCUUAUCCCAAAAAAAAGUGAACAAGAGCUUUCACCCUUUCUCUGUUAGUUUGUGUUUGGGUGUUAGUGAAGGUGUAUAUUGUAUGGCGCAGGAGACUGCAUGCACGUGAGUACACUGUUCAAAUGUAGUACAAAAAUUGAAAUGUUUGAAGGAAAAAAAAUCAACUUUGGUUUUAGGGAACCGUGCCCAUAAUCUUUUAACGUUCACGUGUAGUGAAACAACAUAAUAACUUUGUUCUCAUAUGAAAUGGAUUGGAGGAGAUGCUGGGUUUUGUUCUCUUUCUUGUUAGCUAUUUCUAGUUUUCAAAAUUCAAAUACAUUUCCAUGUUCUUUUUAGCAAUGGGUCCAAGGUGACUAAUUUCCAUGUUACUAACAGAAAAUUCUCUUCAUUAAUUGGUCAUGUUUCUCAUAUAGAUUUGCUAGAAAUUAUGUGAUAUAACGAAUUAUCUUGGUAGAAUAUAGACAAGUAUUGAGGUUGCUUGCAUUUAUUAAGUAGGCCCCAUAUUGAAAUUUUUGAGUAUUGACUUUCAUCAUAGUUGCAAACAAUUCUCUCUUUUAUUGAUCAAAGAAAGACCUCAAAUUAGAAGUUUGAUUUAGAAAUUCUUGGUUUGUUUCAAAUUUUGGCAUAAUCCCAUGGGCCCUCUACUUCAAUUGUAGUUUUCUUAAUUUCAACAUACUAUACUAGUUUCAAUUAAUUCCAAUUAAAACAAUUAGGUUACUCAUAUUCAUUACACAAAUAUAUGGGAUUAUAAUAUGAACUUCCAAAGGCGAACAUAACUAUUUUUGGUAAAUUUUAAUACAAUAUUAGAUAUGUUCUCCUUUUUACUAUAUAUGGUAGGGGUCUACAUUAUACCCACCCAAAAAAAUUGACAAUGAUAUAUAUAUGUUGCUUAAUUCUUUGUAAUUAAUUUUGGUGCAGGCGUGACAGUUUCAUCACUCAUAGGGCAUUUUGUGAUGCACUAGCACAAGAGAGUGUAUUAAGACACCAUAACCCUUUUGGGAGUACUCAUCAAUUGUAUGCCACAAACCAUCACAUUAGUUUAGGCCAAAUAUCCCAUCAAUUGCAAAAUCAUCAGAACCAAAUUACAUCAUCCACUAGCAACAAUAACAACCUUUUGCGCCUUGGAUCAGCACCACCAAAAUUUGAACAAAACUUAAUCUCAUCACCACCUUUAAAUCACUCUUCAUCAUUUGGACACUCAAUCCCAUCUUCAUCACCAUUCUUCAAUAUGAGUGAUAUUUCAAAUCAAUCCUUUGAAGAACAACAAUCUCAACAAGGACAAUUCUUAAACAAACAACUACAUGGUCUAAUGCAUCUUCCUGAUCUUCAAGGCAAUACAAAUACAAACAAUUCAAAUUCUUCCAAUCUUUUCAACCUUAUGGUUCAUGAUCAAUUCAACAACAUGAGUAGUACCCAAGGAACAACACUUUACAUUAACAACAAUAGCUCUUUAAGUGAUCAUCAAGUUGGUUUUGUCAAUUCAAUGCAACAUGGUCAAAACAUGUCUAGUCCUCACAUGUCUGCCACUGCAUUGCUUCAAAAAGCUUCUCAGAUUGGUUCAACUAAUUCUACCAACAAUAACAAAGGUAGUAAUAAUGAUCAUAAAUCAGGUGAUAGGGACUUUGUUGUGUCUGAUCACAACAACAUCAAUGCCACUUUUGGAAAUAGAAGUUCAAGUAUUGAAAAUGAUCAUGACAACAACGAUCUUCAUGGAUUGAUAAACUCUAUUGCAAAUGGAAACACAUCAUCCAUAUUUGGCAAUGAAAGCAAUCUUAAUAUGAGAUUUGGUGGAUCUGAUAAGUUAACUUUAGAUUUUCUUGGUGUUGGAGGAAUGGUCAGAAAUAUGAGUGGUGGAUUUUCACAAAGUGAACAACAACGUGACAUGAUGAAUACUAGUAUGGUUUCUUUGAAUCAUGACCUAAAAUCAGCACAUUCAAGUCAACAUUUUGGAAGCUCAAAUAUCUUGCAAUGAAGAUUGGGGUGAGAAAUUUAUUAAUUUAAGGAAAUAUUGCUUGUUAGUUACAUGUGAAUUAUUCAUUAAUUAAGUAGUAAACUUUGUUUCAAACAUUUAUUUAUUUUAUUUUUGUUUUCCUCAAAAGAAGUGCAGUUCAUUGGUAAAAUGAGGUUCCAAUUCUAGAAAUUACUACAAAUUACAAUCCCUUAUUUUAUUUUAACACGUCCCUUUCCUUAUUCUUUGCUCUCUAUGAUGUGAUAGAGAGAUGUAAUAAAUUCACUUUUGAAUUUCAUGUGUGAGCGAACAUGAGAUAAUAAAGUUUAUAGAAAAAAAAAAUUGAUUCAUUAUAGAUUUUCCUCUAAGAAAAUUAUUUCUCAAUCACAGAGGGUAAAAUUCCAUGCUCGAACCAAGAAAAAAUAUUCAACCUAACAAUUUCAGCAUUGUUAGUUGUGCUAGGUUUUACGGACCAGGACAUCAUCGUUGUCUACCAAUUUUUUUUUACAGAUUUGAGGCGAUUUAAUUUGGUUGAUAAACACGAGUAAAUUACUCAAAUGCCCCUUGGCAGUUAACUGCCGAAAUUUUAAAAAAUCGGCUGCAGUUAACUGUCGAGAAAUUUCAAACCUGAAAUUAAAUAAGGAAAUACACCUAUGUUUUCCUUAAUUAAAUUUAAAUCUUUAAUCCUUUUAAGGAAUUAAACAUAAUUAUUUUUAUGAUUUCAUUCAUAUGAUUUUGUUGCUAUAAAUGAAGAAAUAUGAGAGAUGAAUAAUAUCUGUAAUCGGUAGUUAAUAGACCUAAAAUGAUGAUUCAAUAAAAAAAAUGCAACAACAAAAACGUUACAAAUGAUAGAAUAAUUAUAUUUGUAAUUAUUAGUAAUUAAUUUCAUUGAUGUUGUUAUUAUUCAUAAGUUUGACUAACCUAUUAUUACUUUAUACUAAUAUUUUAGAUAUUAUUACUUUAAUUAACAUGAAAAACGCAACAACAAAAAAUAAGGGGGAUUUAUUGGAUUAAGAUUCUAUGGGAUUUUAAAAGAUUUUUUAAUUAUGAAAAAGUCUUGUGGUAUUCAAUCAAAACUUUUUGCAGCCGGUUCUUUAAAAUUUCAACAGUUAACUGUCGAAGGAUAUUUGAGUAAAUUACUCGUAUUUCUCAGUCAAACCAAAAGUGUGAACAGCAAUACUCAAUUUCAAAAACAUGUAUAUGCCACGGUAAAUAAAGCCAGUUGUUGACUUGUUGAUAGUUGUGUUGUUAUUACUUGUGUACAAAUGCUUACCAAACGAGGGUGGGAUGUUGGCACUCUGUUAUGUUAAGAAUCUUCACGUUUUGGCUAUAUUCCAAUGGAAGCGACAGAGCCUCAUUUCCGUUCAAUUUCAUCUUUGUUUUUUUAUAUACGACGUACAAAUACUAACUAACUAAAGGUACAUUAACUUUAAAAUAAAGCAAGAAAUUUUGUAGUAUUGCUUACCUAAUAUAUAUAUACCUUACUUUUAAAAAUACAUAUUAAAAUAUAUGUAAUAAAAAAUUAUAUUAAAUGCUAUAUAAAUGUUAAAUGUUAGAGUCUCACAUUGAAUAUGAGAAUAGUAUAACAAUAUGUUUACAAGUUAUUUAUAAUAGGUUCUUAAUAAUAAUACUAAAUAAAUAUCAAAACUUAUUUAUAUAGAAGUUAUUUUAGUAUUAUUAAGAGCCUAUACUUUUUUUUUGAGCAAAAGAGCCUAUACUUAAUUGAUAAGAAAUUGUUACCAAUAUACCAACUCCAUUAAGUACCAUAAAUUUGAGAAAGAGACCUUGCAUAUUUUUCAGGUGAUUUUGUUGACAUCUUUUUCUCUUAACACUAGGAAGGACCCUUUAGUUUUUCAUUGUAAUAUAAAUAUUCUUGUACAAGUUGACUACCUUUGAAUUUGCAUGUCGUCGUUGAUGGCUAUAUAUAGGGUUAGAUCUAACGUCAUUGUUCAUUUGGUGGAAGAUUUUUAUGAGGAGUGUGUGGUACAUAACAUAUGCAACAUAAAUAACAUAUUAGCAGUAGUCUCUGCAAUGUUCGUUAUUGUAAUUACUGGUAAAAUAGCUGCGACACUUUUGUCGCAUGUAAAUUCCUUCUUCACAUGGAAAUCACCCGUCCGUGAGUGAGUGAAUGAAUGAGUGACUAUUAACCAACCAACCCAGUCAUUUCAUUUCGCCUUCACUCUCUACCCGUUACAGUUUUUCUAACUUUCUUUCUUUAGAUUGAGUAACUUCAAUAAUGCAAUGCAACUAAAGAUUAUUACUUACAACUUCUAUGCUCAAAUAAUUGUUGCAAUGCAAUUAAACACUCACUCAUGCGUGUCCCCGUGAGCCUAAUCCAGUUUGUAGAGACAUUGCAUUAUAUAUAUAGAGGUUGGGGUUCAAACUCAAACACUCUACUUAUUCACCUUAAAAAAAAUGAAUUUAAGUCAAUUGGCUACCUGACUAAAAAAAAACGCACUCAUAUGUUUUAUUUCAUAAGCUGGUUUUAGACCUUUUUAUCUGAAAAACUUAUCUCACAUUGUAGUUGAUAUGUAUGGUUAGACCUUUUGUGAGGUUUGUGUGUCCCCUAGUCUAUCACUCUCUCACAGUUAAACUACUUUGUUUUUGAGAGGUUUGUAUACCUUACUUAAAAACAACUAUCAUUCUCUCAUCAAUUUCAUCAUUAAGCUAUUAAAAUUAACUAAAAAGUACCUAAACUAUUCUCACAUAUAACUAUUAGCCCCUUGGUUGACAAAGUUAAUUUUUUUUAUGAUGGUUUAUGGACUAAAUUGAUAUAUUUUUUAUAGUUUAAAGAUCUUCUAGUUGAUUUUAAUAACUCGAAGGCUAUAUAUGUGAAAAAAUUGAUAGUUUAAGGAACAAGUUGAUUGUUUAUUCUUAAUUUGAUUGAAGUCUACUGGCACACAAAUUUACAAGGAUACGGUGGAUAUGGGGAAGUUAUACCUGAUAUCCCUACAUUUAAUCUUUUACCCCCUACAAAUUGUUGAAAAUGCCAAAUUUACCUUUUAUCAUUUCACUUCACCCUGCAUAAAAUUUUAGCCAACAAUACACUUCCGAGAUUUAAUACUCCAAUUUUCGGAAUAUUCAUAUCAAAUUUUUAUGGUAGAUUAAUUUGUAAACCGGAACAAUUGAGUAAAGAAUUAUUAUCAGAAUUCUUUCUUCUUUCAUCGAGGUUUGAGAGACAAUGAAAGAUGGAAAAUAGAAUACAACAACCUGUAUUAGUUAAUAUAAAAUUAAGUGCAAAGCAAAGAUCAUGAUACCAAACCUCAUCAAUUCUUCUUCCAAUUCAUUUUAUUUAGAUCUAAAAAAAUGAAAGGCCGUAUAUUUCUGGAGUAGAAUUUUAGAUGUAAGGUUGGGAAAUCAAAAAACCUGGCUAAAACUGCAGAAACCUGUUUUCUGAAUUCUUUCUAAAAAAACAGUGUAAAAAAAUGCUUGUCUCUUUAUCUGUAGAUCUAAAAAAAAAUCAUUUCUAAUUCAUCUUGUUUGGAAAUAUGAAUACGAAAAGUUGUAUAUUUUAAUUUUUUUUAUUUUUACAAAAUACCGUUGUUGGGAAUGUGAAUAAUCUAAGAUUAAAUGUAGGGGUGGUAAAAGAUUAAAUGUAGGGGUAUAUGGUAUAAUAUCCUGGAUAUGGUAGGCUUAUAUUACUUAGAACCCAAAUCAUGUUACUUAGGCCCGUCAUCAUGGACUUUUUUCAUGUGGUUUCCAUGCAGGCUAGUUGAAUAUUGCUCUUUAGGCAUCCAUGUUUUGCUCUCAGACAUUUUGAAAUUAUUAUUUUACCUCAAUGAAAAUUAAUUACCAUUUGUUGAUGAACGAUGGUUAGUUUUCAUUCUCUUAUGAACAGUAGUUAAUUGUCGUUCUAGGGCAUUUUAUGUGGUUCAGAUUGCGCAGACAGUUUUUGUGGUCCACGAUACAUAAAAACUUCUAUAAAUUGGUGUGUUUGGUUCAUUUGAAACCACACCACAAAAUCAUGAAUAUUUAUCUAGUAGAUCCGAACACCAAAUUAGCGCAGUUAACUACAACGGGGAAAACUCAAUAUGUUUAGGGUUCAGGUUAAUGCUAUAUCGGUUGACUUGAAGGAACAUAGUUGGACCAAAUUAACAGUCGACUCAACCACAAAGACACAAGAAAGGUGGAAAGUGUUGAGUAUCGUCAUCCAUUCGUUUGACUCAUAUGAAAGCGUCAAGUUCACCCAUAUGAAGUUCAAGAACAACGACAUCGUGAGAACCAUCAAGUUAGACGCUUCAUUGGUCAAAUAUUUUUUAGAUGUUCCGGAAAGUUUGAUUCAGAUUAGGACCUUCAAAGAAAACAGGACUUGCAUGGAUAGACCAAAAGAAAUAAGUAUGUCUUAUUCGUGAUUUUGUAUGUGUUUUAUUAUGUUGUUAAAUUAUGUUAGUGUAUUGUGUUUUAUUAUGUUUAAUGUAUGUUUUUGUUAACUUAUGUCAUUGAAAUUAUGUUAAUGUAUUGUAUUUUAUUAUGUUUAAUGUAUGUUCUUCUGAGCUUUCCUUUGUAACUAAUGAUUAACUACAGUUUCUUCUGAAAACAACAAUUAACUAUUGUUCCUAGAAUGGGAGUUAACUCUUGUUUAACAACGAAAAAUAAUUAAUUAUUAUUUCGGAUAAAAUAGUCAAUUUGAGACGUGUUAAAACAAAGUAUGAGUGUCUAACGAACAAUUUUCAAGAUAGUUUAGUCCUUUUUGGGUUCUACCUUUUUUUUUUAUGAGUAACUUCUACACCUAGUUUCCAUUCUUUUUUGUGUUAAUUGUCCGAUUUCUUAGCAUGUGCGUAACUCACGCAGCGUGACUUAAGUCACACAUGUGUAAAAACUAAGUCAUGUAUUUUUUACACUUGCGCUAAUUAACUAACGCAAGGGUAUUUUCGGCAACACUGCAGGGCGCGAGUGUUUUGUGUUGGGUGAAGAGCAGAAUUCUAAAGUCAUAUAUAUAUAUUAUGGUUUUAAAAGGGUAAUUGCUAAAUCAGAUUCAUAGGAAGCAACUAAGUUAAUAUUGAAAGGGCAUGGUAAAGGGCACCCUUGUUCUCAUAUCAUUUCUCAUAUUUCUAAUUUUCUUGUCUAAUUCAUGAGUUACAAGUUUCAACGUGUCUAACGUGAAGCCAACAAAGUCGUGAAUGCUUUUGCAAGGAAUAUCCAACUUCAAAGUAUUAGCGCAGCUUUAACUUGAUGAACAAACUUAGAGUUUUCUAGGGUUUUAAUUUGAUUUUGUUGAAAUAGAGAGAGAAUGAGAAGAAUGGGUGAAUGAGGAGACAAGAAGUAUUAAAGUUGUGAUUUCAUUUAUAUGUAAAAAUACACAUGAAAGUAGCUUAUAUACAUGGUUUUUUGCUAGGUUACUUGAAGUACAAGUCAUAUAACAAACCCUAAAUACCUUAAGCUAAAAUCUAGUAAAUUUGUAACAAACUAUUAACAAACUAAACUAACUAGAUUUCUAAUGUGAUUAACCAAACAAGCUUGAUUAGAUCACUAACAAACUUGAAUUAUCAACUAACACAAAGUUGCGAUAAUAUAAAAAUAAUAUCAGAACUAGUCUCUCUUCAAAUGAAUGAUGCAUCACAACUUAUCUUUCUCCUUUGAUGGAAAAAUUUGUUCUAAUACCAAUUAUUGAAGGAAAAAAAUCAAUAAAAAAUCUUUAAACAAGCGGGAACACAACCACAAAAUAAGUAAAAGAGAUAAAAACAAAUCACAAGCCUAUUUUUCGAUACUUCACAGUUCACACCUUCAUUCAUAAUAUCUUAACAAAAUAUUUGUUACAAAAAUAUGCAUAGUUUUACUAGGAAUUGCAAACCCUCUUGUACAAUUAUAAUUUUUGCACAGAAAUAUUGCAAACUAAUCUUUCUCAAUUACAAUUUUUGUAAGAAAAACUACAAACUCUUUCAUGACACACAACUACCCAACCUCUUUUUUUUUUUUUUUUUUUUUCAUUACUCGAUGUGCGAUGUGAAAGAAUAUCAAUUUUAGAGAACAAAUGGCUAUAAUUUAUAGGUGGCCUUUAUGAUUUUUGGCACAAAUUUUCAUACUGUGAAAUGUGAAUAGAUGCAUGUGCAGAGAUGGAGUUCAUAAUUUAAAUCUUACGUUAAAAAUAAAACAAGUUUUUAAUGUUAUAGUUUAAAAAUAAAAAAUUGUUUCUUAUAUACAAUAUUUUUAUGAAUAUUUACAUAGUUCUUAAAAAAAUUAAUAAUGAAUGGUAUAUUCGUGUCCUGUAUGACACAAUGAAACAUAUGCACAUGAUUAAAUUAUACAUUAAGCCUAAUCAUAUGAUCUGAAAAGAUUUUCUCUACAUUUCGUCGAGCUAGCAAGGUAGAUAGAUGUCAACUAAUAAGUUGAUGAAAUCGGCUAAAAAAGAUUCCCAGUUGAAGUUUAUUAUUUUUUUGGUGCAACCCAGUUGAAGAUUUUAUUAACUUUGAUGAUGGCUCUGAACUACCAAGUUUUCUAGAACUUGAACAAGUCCUUAAUUUUAGUUGAAUUGCAAUACUAUGUCUAUAUGUAUAGUAUACCGUUUCUGGUUUCAUAGUCUGUUAAUUUUAAGGAAUUUUUUCAAGUGGCUCAAAAAAAACAUAUACAGUACAUUCUUUAGUUUUAUUUACAUCGUUUUCAAUCUCUUUCGCUUUUUUAAAUAUUUACGCAGAAAACAUUUUUUUUUUUUUUUCAAUCAGAAAGAGGCAAAAUUAAGAUUUGCAUUGGUUUUAGUCAUCACCUACUACAUUAAAUUACUAUUUGUGGAAAAUAUUGUUUAUAGCGUGAAACUGUGCUCUGACUGGCUCACAUGCAAACGGACAGUGGCAAUAUUGUUUAAGGAAGUAUUAAUCUUUUUUUUUUUUUUUUUUUUGACAGAAACCAUAUAGUAUUAAUCUAUUAUUACUACUAUAUAUGCAUAAAAAAGGACCAAUUAACCGACAUGCUUUGAGUUAUUUUGUGUUUUUUUUUUUUAUUGUUUCUGAAAAAAUCAACCAACAUGCUUCUUUUUUUGCGCUAACUAAAACUAAUUUAUUUAUGCUACUAAUCAAUUUAUUAAGACUAAAACUUGAGUACAAGUUAGUCUUUUUUUUUGUAGUUGGUGACCUACAAGUGGUACUCUUGUACUCAUUAUACUCAAAGUCAAGGGUACAUGCGUAUGUGUUAUGCUGAAUUCGAAAAUUCAUAGUCAAGACCCAGCAAUAUCAAGAUAUAUACACACAUGUCCUAAAGUGCAUUCUGGAGAAUAAGAACUACAAGUCUAAAGUUUUUCUUUUUGUUAGUAAAGUUAUUUUAGUCCAAGUUUAGACUAUACAACGCUGACUAUGAAAUAUGAAAGGAAAAAAAAACCUUCAAUUUUUGUCAAAAAAAUAAAUUCCAUUGUCUCUAACUAAUUAUUGAAAUUUUAAACAUGUGUUUGGUCUAACGGUAUGGUAGAAAAAAUCACGGCAAAAAUUCACGGUAACUACAAAAUCUAAAAAUUUGUAAUUUCUUUGAAAUUUGAGUUUGUAACUUCGAACGUCAAAUAAUCGUUCAUUAAGUCUCUAAAGCUCACAUGAUCAGACCAGCUUUGAUUGCAAAAUAUGACCAACUAAUUACUAAUAAACAUUUAAUUUUGUUAGCAGAUCAAUUUAUCUGUUUAAUGUUAAAAUAAAUCUGAUCCAAUUCAAUACUUUUGGACAUAGAUUGAAAUGGUUUCCCCCCCCCCCCCCCCCCCUUUUUUUUUUUUUUUUUUGUAAACUAGGUAUCCUCCGCGCGCAACUGCGGAGACUAAUCCCUCGAGCAUUGUGAGACCCAAAUGGACGGCAGACUCUCCCUAAGAGUUUUAACGCUGCUGGAGGUAUUGUAAAUAAUAUUUUGUGUUAUAUUAUUUUUAAGAGUGUAUAUUUCUAUAUAAAAAGAGUGAGUUUUGCCUUCAACCUCGAGGUAAUCGGUUUGAGACCUAGGCACUGAGAACAUGAGUUUUUUCGAUUAGCUCUUUAAAAAAUUAUUUAUAGGAGGAAUAAUUGUUUUUAUGGAAUUUGUCGUGUAAUAAAAAUCUAAAUCGUCUAGUCUACAAUUUUGUAUAGUCUUCAAUUAUGUUGUGAAUUCGGGCUUUGAAACUUCACACCAAUCCAAACUAUGAUGUGUGGAGAAAGUAUCAAUGGCAACCAACAACCAAAUUAACCAUAAGCAAUAACAAUAAUAUAUACCAAGUCUAUAAACCAAGUGCAUAGCAAAAUCACAAUCCAACCAAAUAAUAAACAAGAUAAAAGAGUAAAGAAAAAUAGACAACAACACCAAGAGAUUGUUCACCCAGUUCGGUCCAACCAUGACCUACUCUGGAGGAGAGAUUGAUCUCUUCAAUCCACUAUCAAUGAGUUCUUACAAAGAGAUACAAAUGAGUUACAAGAAAUUAGCUUCAACAAGCUCACAAAAAACAACCCUAAUUUCUACCAAUUUUCCCAAUCUCACCAAUGAACAAGACACUCAUGAUUUUUACUCUCCCAAGGUGUUUACAAUUGUUUCACAACUCUAGAAUCUAACCCCCAAAAGAGAACCAACUCUUAGCCUUUGAUUUCACUUAGGAUCUUCUCUUUUGGUUUCACAAGACUCACCCAAGUUGCUCGCAAAUGACUCUCCACUCAUGUGUUUCCCAACCCCAUGAAUCUUCUCCAAAAGGCACCAACCCUUUUCACAAGAGCCCCCUCUUUUGGUUCUCCAAGAUUCACAUCUUGAAGCUUUGAACCUCACCCAAAGACCCUCAACCUUUAGUAUCUAAAACCCUAAAAGUUUCAUCCUUUGGUUGUUAUGGGAUUCACCAAGCUUACCCAACAAAUGGAUCAGGGAGUGUUUAAAACAUGUUUCAGAUCUGUCAAAAUCGUGUCACAUUUUGCCUUCAGAACCAAACAUGCAUUCGGCAUCAGAAAUCGUGACACGGUUGCCAAAUCGUGUCAUGAUUCUUCACUUUCAUAAAGACUUAAUUUUGAGUCAUAUAUAUACCAACAAAUUCAAAUUAUAUAAAUGGACGGUAUAUUCUUUAGUAAAAGUAUUAUUUCACAAUUUAAUACGUAUUAUUAAAAGAAAUUAGAAACAAUUAUCAAAAAAUUAUGAUAGAUAAUAUAUUAAACUCGUCUAGUGUGUGUGUAUUUUUGAAGGAUAGUGUGUGUGUGUAUUAACAUCAUUCUCUAAUUAUUUUUGUAGGGAAACAAUGUUGGUUAAAUUGAUGUGUACUUUUUUUUGUAAAAAAUAAUCGACGUAUUUUUAAAUGAGAUUUACAUGUAGAGAGAGACAGCGGUAGACAUAGUAGUAGAACAAUUAAAAUUUAAAAGACCACUUUACAAAUUGCACCAAGUGGUCCUCUAAAAAAGAUCACCGACAGUUGCUUCACUUUACCUUCAUAUAUUUUAGAGCAAUGAUAUUUGAACAAUUAUUUAGUACAACAUUUUUUGACAAUCUUCUUUUUCUCUCUUUUUAUUGGUCAAAAAUAAUGAAGAGAAAAAAGAAGAGAUAGAGUAAAAAUAUAAUAUGAAUAUGAGAAAAAAAAUUGUCUAAAAAUUAUCACAAAAUGGUUGUACAAAUAUUAUUUCUCCAUAUUUUAGACACAGGCUAAUCAUUAAUUAAUUUGUGUAAAAAAAAACAAUAAUAUUAUUUUGACAACAUUAUUCAACACCUUAUCUUUCUUUCAAAAAACAUUAUUCAACACCUUAUGUUCAUAUUAUCAUUUGAUUUUCUUAAUUAUGUUUUACAUCAGUCACAUCAAGUGACAUUUUACACGCUUAUCAAUUUUUUUUGUCAAGUAGCCUAGUGUUUAGAACUCAUAUAAUUUAAUUGUGAAGAAAUGAAGUGUCAGAGAUUCGAACUCCAACCCCUGCAUAUAAUAUGCAAUAUCCCUACCAACUGAACUAAGCUCACGAAGAUCGCGGUUAUCAAUUUUUGUAGUUCAAAUAACAUCACUAAAAAAAGCUACGAGGCAGACGCACAAAUUUUCAUUGAGCAGUUGUGUUAAUUAAUUUUAUAACGCAAGGAAAAUGGUGAAGUUUUUGUGAAUAGAGAAAUGAUAUAUAUACAAUCAUUUUCAAACAACUUUUGUAAUAACUUUAUCUCUCAUUUUUAUAUUUUAUUUUUAUUUUUUUCUCUAUUAUUUUGGUUUUCGUUUAUGAUUUUUUGUAAGAAAAUGAUUGUCUAUGUAGUUAUCAAUCACAUUGAUGUUCAAAUAACAUUGCUUUUGUGAAUAAUGCAAAAUAGUUUCUCGGAACAAUCAAUUAUUCAAUUGAUAUUUACGAAAUUAGUUUUUGUAGGGUGUCCCUAUAAAUCACAUAUACUUUAAAACAGUCAUAUGUAUUCACGAUUCGAGAUCUUAUAAAAAAACCAUUCCAGAUCAUGUAUGAAAAUGAAAUAUAUAUUUUUUUUGACUGGUGUAUGAAAAUGAAAUAUUUUCAAAAAUAAAAUAUACUCUCUGCCCAUAUAAUGUCAGCGUAGGUGUCGGUGUUUUUCUACCGACUAUAAGAAAAACUGUAAAAUAAAUAAAACAAUAUAGUAAUUUAAAUUAGUGAUUGUAAAUUAUUGUCUUAAAUGUAUAGUUCAAUAUAAUAGAUUAAAAAUGAUGAAAAAAAUAUUAAUUUAAGAGUAGAAUUGAAAUAACAUAUAUGUUUUCGAUAGUUUAACUAAAUUGAUAAAGACAUUGCAUAAUAAUAUACAAGUGUUUUGAAAUUCCAUUUAUUCAUUACAUGUGAAUUUUUAGAUAUUAAACUAUUUGGAAAAUAAAAUAAAAUAUCAAAUAAUUAAGGUUUAAAUAUGUAAGUAGUCCCUGUAAUUUCGCGUAUUUUUGUUUUCGUUCCUGUAAGUUAUUUUGUUCUAAAACAAACUCUGUAUUUUGCUAACCUUUUGGAAAAGGUCCUUGCCGUCAGCUUCCGUCAACAAAAACGCCAUGGUGGCUAACGGAGCACACGUGGCAGUUCAUGAGUUGGCAAAGUUGAUGAGAUGGAAUGAGAGAUGAUAAGUUGUUAAAAUACAGGGACUAAAAUCAAAAACGUAAAUUGACACAGGGAUGAAAUUAAAAAAACGUUUAAUCUUCUUUUUCCUCUCAAAUUUCAGUCUUCUUCUUCCUCUCAAACUUUCCCCAAUCUAUCCCAUACCUUGCGCCCUUGAACCAAAACUCAUAUCCUUCAACAAUUUAUUCUAAUUCCAUUACUCAAUCAUAUUGUGUGUUUUGAUUGUAAUGUUAAGUUGAAACAUUGUAUGCUACUUAAGUUUGAUUAAUUUAGUGAUGGUUGUUGCGAUUGAUUGCAAAUUCAUUCAUAAAGUUUGUAGAUAAUAAAGGCAAGAAUACAUCUUUUUCAUCCCUCUUUUUUUUCCACAAUUCCCUCUUAUUCUUCCAGAUUGCUACAAUUACCAUACAUAAAUAGUCAGAUCCCCUUUCAUCUUUUCUCACUCACAUUCAAAUUCAAACUCUAAUUUCUCAAAUUUUUGCUUUUGAAUUGUGUAAUUUUGUGUUUUUAUGUAAUUGGUGUAGAGAGUUUAUGUUGUUUUAAUGUGUUGAUUAAGAGUGGGUCUUGUUGUUGUUGAUUGAUGAUUAUUAGUUUUGUUUAAAAAAAUAUAUAUGUUUGUUGUUUUCUUUCUUUUCCUGGGUUUGGUGUUGAUGAUUUAUGAAUAUGGUGAUGAAGAUGAAGAAGACAAUGAAGGAAGAAGAAGAAUAAGAUCUUGAUUUUAAAUUUGAAAUUUUGAUUUUACGUUUUUUAUUUUAGUCCCUGUGGUAAUUUACGCUUUUGAUUUUAGUCCCUGACUUUACACAACUAAUCAUCUCUCAUGCCAUCUCAUCAAAUGUGCCAAGUCAUGACCUGCCACCUGUGCUCCGUUAGCCACAAUGGCGUUUUUGUUGACAGAAGCUGAUGGUAAGGACCAUUUUCAAAAGGUCAAAAAGAUACAAGGUUUAUUUUAUAUAAAAAAAAAAACUUACAAGGACGAAAACAAAAAAUACGCGAACUUAGAGGAACCUUUUACAUAUUUAAGCCAAUAACUAAUAGCACUUAUUUUGGUACAUUUCUCUUUUGCAAAUGUGAAACUUAAUAUUGGAUGGGGUCAAUAAUUUUGAGAAUGAAUAAACCCAUUAUUUAGUCUUUUAAUUUUUUUUUUCCAUCCAUCAGGUUUCUAAACUAUUUACAAACACUAAAUGUCCUUAAGACAUAGCUCAAGUAACAAUAUUGAUAUUGAGAAGUUGGAUAUUUUCAUCCGAGUUUGAACUCGAAUUCUUGCAAUUACGAGUGUGAAUUUCAGGUAAUUUAUAUCAAUUUAUCUGUAAACAAAAGGAGAUAUAUACGCGUAACAAAUAGGUCUAAUGCAAAUUAACAACUUAUUUUUAGUUUAUAAAAUAUAUGAAAUUUAAUCCUUUAGUCCCUAGUAUAUUUUAACAAUGGGCACUAAAGCAACAUAUAUUUCAUAUAUUUUAAAUACUACUACAUCUUUCCUUAUGUAUAAGCUCAUUUGACAUUUUCACAUAUAUUAAAAAAGUUAGUAGUGUCUUGACAAAAAAGAAGCUCCUUAGAGUUUCCUUAUGUAUAUUUUUUUAAACCGAAAAAAUUGUGUACAAAAAAUGACUAUUAUUACUAAAAAAAAUCUUUUGCAUAUAGAUGUGUUCAACAUUUAUUUUGCAAUUCUCAAGACAAAUCAGUGGUACAUCUUAAUAAGUGAUAUAUUUGUUAGGAAAAAAAAUUACUAUAUGUAUCUAGUUAUUUGCAAGACUAAUGAUUCUUAGCAAAUAUGCUUAUAUUGAGAGAACUUUUUUCUAAAGAGAGCUUAUAAUUAGAGACUAAGAUUUUGCCAAAAAAUAAAGAAAAAUUAGAGAAUAAGGUUUAUACUAUACUUUAGAAACUAAUUUGAUGAGAUACGACUAAAUCGAAGAUAUAUUUUUUUAGAAUAGUGUUAGAACCUUAGAAAUUAUAAUCAAUAGAAAUAGAAAUGUUCCUUACAGAUCCAUAAUAGUGACAAUCUUGUCUUUUCUUUUGAGGAAAUAAUAAUAAAGGUGGUGCCAACAUUUCAACAAACCUAGCUAUUUUAAUUAUUCUGUUCUCACAGCCUGCACCUUAGAUCAAAUCCAAAUUGGGUCAUCACCGUUCCAAAAUGCUUAGGGACGUUACUCUAAAUGUCAAUAUGAAUGAGUAAUUCAAAUAGUUAACAUAGCCCGCCAGCCUUAUAUAAUAAUAUCAAUAUAUGUCGACUAAUUAUCGAGAUGCUAAAUUGGAGUACACUUCACAAACAAAAAUCUUUCAUAAGGCGUUUUUUCUCUUAAUACAUUUUUUCUUUUCUUAUGCUAGUAACAUUUACUCUGUAUUGGCCUUCCUAAGAAGAAGUUGGAUAGUAGCAAUGUGUUCGUGAGACUGCUGAUAUCUUAAAAGAAUGUUCUCAUAGAUUCCACUUUUUUAGUAAGCUUUUAUGUGUAUGAGUUUGCAAAUUUAACCCUUUUUAAUUCGGAUAGAUUUAUAAGUCACACCUUCAAGUACAAUCGACAAAAUUUCAGUAAUAAUUACGGUUUAGGGUUUAUGGGUCUAGAUCUACUAAAAAUGAGUGGGUGUAUAAAUUAGUAUAUCCUAGAGUUUAUUAUCUUACGUUCGAUCUUCUUUGCAGAAACUCGUGCAUGUUCGUGAUAUAUAUUUUCGCGAGAAGUACAUUUCCCUAAAACAAAAUCAACCACUGACAUAAACACGUCAAAUGUAAGCCGGUAAAUCCAAGCUUUACUAACACGAGUUAUAUUAUAUCAUUGGCAUCAGCUACUUAAGAACUACUGUAGAAAAUUUACAGCAAGUCAUCGAGGCUUAAUAAAAUGUGUUGAUAUAGUUACAAAGAUAAAUUAAAUAGCAGAGCAUACAUGAAGAGAACAAAUGUAGAGCAACCCCUUAAACAAACCCUCUCAGUAAGGUAUCUUCACAUUACUCUAAGUUCAUAAAAGAUGACUUUAAAAACGAUUAUUUCAAAAUGCAAGUAUUCUCCGACCCCUUUUUCCCGGAUCUAGAUCUAAUAGUGUAAGGAUAUAUAUAAAUCAUUGUCACAUUUUACAACUCAAGAGUUUACCUCAACUCGUUUUGUUUAGGUAAAUUCGACUCGAGAACUCGUAUGACUUUACCUAAAAUUAAAAUUAUAUAAAAUUUAUUAUAUAUGCAUGACAUAUGUAAGUUAAUAUAAUAUUGUAAAUAGGUCAAUAGUGCAAAAUAUGACUUAAUUACAAAGACAAAUUAUACCAUAAUAAAAUGUUAUGCUCAACUUAGCUUCAAAAUACAAAAAUUAACGCACAAAAUCAUAAGUCUCUAAGUUUAAGCCAUCCAUAAAACCAUCCAAAAAAAGAAAGUUUCACAAGUUCCUAAAGUUAUUAAUAAAACUAUCUAAAAAAUAAAGUAGUUAAUUUCUUCAAAACGUCAACAAACACCACCACAACAACCCUAACCAGUGUCACAAUCACCGGCGUUGAAAUAUGAAUUUCCACCGUCUGAAUCACAACCCUAAAUGGUAUGUGCUCCCCUGUUCAUGGUUUGAGAACUUAGAAAAGAAAAAGGGCAAUCCGGUGCACUAAAGCUCCCACAUACGCAGGGUCCGGGAAGGGGUCCCACCAUUUUUUGUGUAUUGUACGCAACCUUACCCUGUUUUUGAUCACAAAAGAAAAAGAAACGUUUCAUUUUAGGAACAACUUGUCACUGUAAAGGUAACUAUUAAUUAAACGUUUCAGUCUUUGGGGUUGUAGAAAAGGAAUUGGAUUUUGAAAAAAAUGGGCACAUAAAAAGGGCCAAUUUUUAGAUGUAAACUCGUAAAACUCAGUAAACUCGGUCGAGUUUACACGAGUUUACCUAGUGUUAACUCGGUCAAACUCGUUAAACCUUCCAAUUUUACCAGAAACCGAGUUUACCUCCGAAUUAACAUGAUUUUGGCACCUACGUAAACUCGAAGAGUUAACACUCAAUUUGCGGAACAUUGCAUAUAUAUUUAAAGAUAUAUGUAUAAUUAUAGAGAAAGUAGAGAAGGGAUAUACCAUUUUAUGUAGGGUUAUUAUGUAUCAAAUCAUAAAGAGUCGAGAGUUGUAUUAUACCAUAAUAUUCUUCCGUAAACUGGUAGUCAUGAUCAUGACGUAUAUUAUUCAAGUAUAUGCAAAAACAUGUCUGUAUCUAGUCUAAAUUUUUGACCAAAUGCAUGUAUUUGCUUAUAUUUUGUUACUACUUACUACUCGCCAAGUAAUGCUCAAUAUCUAAUAUAUAUAUUUCAAGACCAUCAAAGAUAACUCAGUUGAACAAUACAUAAUAUAUGCAAGGUUCGGGGUAUAUUACAUUUUCAAUUAUUCUAAUAAUAAAUUUAAAUGACACUUAAAUUAUACAACUAUUAAAUAGAUCUUAGUACCGUAAAAUUUAUAUUCGAGACUUGCUAGGGAGAACCAUCAACCUCAACAAAAAUUUCUACUUGAAUCUAACGCAAACAAAAGGUCCAACCAUCUAUGAAUCUCCGUUGAUAUCACAAAUGAUGUUUGAUACAAGAGAGACAUAUUAGAACAUAAUCUAUGUACAAUCUACAUUAAAAUAAAAAACAAGUCUACAGUCAUAUAAAUAACACAAUUUCAAAAUCUCAAAAUUAGGUAUGAAAACAAAAUGAUUAGAAAAAUAAAUGAUUCAAUCAUUCCGAGAUUUGUGCAAAAAAAAAAAAAAAAACAUUUUGAAAAUACAAUGUUAGAAACUUAUGAUCAAUAUAUAUUUUUCCUUACACAUCAAAAAUAAUUAAGCUAUAUUCUUGUCUUUUCAUUUUGGGCAAACUAAAAUUAAAAUCAAGGUAGUGUCAAUGUUUCUAUAGUCCUAGCUAUUUGAUUUUCUUCUAAGCUAACAAGAGUCUUCCAAAAUCAAAUUCGCGCUCAAAAUUAAAGCAACUUGGGUGGUAACCAUUCCAAAAUACUUAGGGCCACAUUGCUCUAAAAGUCAAUAAGAAUAAGUAAUAAUUCAAAGAUAGCCAACCUUAUAGUAUAUUUUAAUAUGAAUGUAUGCAUGUUUCCUAGAAGGUGAGUAAGCUAACUAAUCAAGAUACUUUGUUGGAGUUAAAUAUGGUAAAGAAUCCAACUAUAAAAUGGGGACUUGCCCCAGCAUUCUUUCACAAACCAAAACCAACUUCUAAGAAAAAAAUGAGGUCCCUAAUGGCCUCUGCUUCUCUCACUCUUGCAUUAGCCAUCCUCUUUUUGAGUUUCCCAUCUGAAAUUUCAGCAAACAAAUACGCAUAUUCCUCUCCACCACCACCACAUUACUCAUCUCCUCCACCUCCACCGGUUCACACUUACCCUAAACCAGUCUACCACUCUCCACCACCACCAGUUCACACCUACCCUAAACCAGUUUACCACUCUCCACCACCACCAGUUCACAAGUACCCUCACCCUAAACCAGUAUACCACUCUCCACCACCCCCAGUUCACAAGUACCCUCAUCCACACCCAGUCUACCAUUCUCCACCACCCCCAGUUCACAAGUACCCCCAUCCUCACCCAGUGUACCACUCUCCCCCACCACCACCACCAAAGAAGUCCUACAAAUACCCAUCUCCCCCACCACCACCAGUUCACACCUACCCUAAACCAGUCUACCACUCUCCUCCACCCCCAGUUCAUCACACCUACCCUAAACCAGUCUACCACUCUCCUCCACCCCCAGUUCACACCUACCCUCACCCUAAACCAGUCUACCACUCUCCACCACCCCCAGUUCACACUUACCCUAAACCAGUCUACCACUCCCCACCACCACCAGUUCACACCUACGUCCCUCACCCUAAGCCAGUCUACCACUCUCCACCACCACCAGUUCACACCUAUCCCCCACAUGUUCCCCACCCAGUUUACCAUUCUCCUCCUCCUCCAGUUCAUUCCCCACCUCCACCACACUAUUACUACAAAUCACCUCCUCCACCUUACCACAACUAGAUAGCCCAUAAUUGGCAUCACACCAUAUGGUAACUUUUCAUGCAACAUAUAUAUUAUAACUUUUCAUAUUCUCUCUUUAUUAACUAGUUAUCGGUAUGAUUGUCGAGUAUAUACUAACAAGGCUAAUUUGAAAUGAAACUUCAUGUGCAAUGAAACAUUCUUUUACUGGUUAAUAUUUUAUUCUAUGUUUCAUUGAAAUUAAUAUUUUUCUAAUAGUAUUUGGUUAUUAAGGGAUUAGAGUAUAUCAGACAUAAACUGACAGAUCAAUAUAUUUGCAUUUGUGUAGGAUCUAAACAGAAAGUGUGAAAGCAAAGAAAGCCAUGCACAAAGAAGAUCAAGGGGAUUCUUCACAUAUAUUUCGUCAGCAUUUGAUUAAGAUUGUUUAGAGGGCUCCGUUUAUUUGUAUUUAAUUUGUGUUUUUGUUGUAUUAUCCACAGCUGUAAGGCACUGCCCCAAUAUGCAUGUGUCUGCAGUUGUUUUCAUGCAUUGUAAUUUUCAAAGUUCGGCUUUGUAUCAAGCUGACUCACAAACUAAAUAAAUAUAUAUCCCCUAUUAUAGUAAUCUGUCCCUUUCAUCUAUGACUCCUUUUAUAUUACUAUUCUUGUGAUAAAAAUAAUCUGUGUUUAUUUGUUUCUACUAAUUAUUUUUGGUUUACCUUUCUCCGUACAAAUAAAAUUUAGUUUAAAAGUGAAUUUGACAGCACUUUUAAGAGAAACCUAAAAGAAAUAGAAGAAUAAUGCUUCUCAAAAGAUUAAAAAAAGACCACUAUAUUAUAUAUAUGUGAACCAAGGAUCAUGUCUCAAUGUGUGUGUUUUUUCUUUUAACGAGAAAGAUCUAUAAUUAUAAUGUAAACAAGAGUACAAUGAGUACUACAACUCACUACAAAAAGAGGUGCAACACUUCAAACGAAAAAAAUAGCACACACCAUAAGCAAUACAAAAGCAUUAGUCUACAAAGCCAAUAGGGUGGCAUUUAACAUGGGGCAGUAAAAUUUUAUCCCACCAUGGAAAAGUGGAUCCAUUAUGGGCAGGUGGCAGUUUUAACUUGCUGCAGUUAAAAAAAGAAGAAAAAAAAAAUUACUUAUUAUUUUAUUCGGUUUCAACUUGCUAUUUCACCUCCUUGUUGCUGCAAUAAAAAAGGAUCUCCAGUAAAUUUGCUCCAAACCAACCCCAUCGGCCAUCUCUACACCUCAUCUGCGCCAAUCCACCAUUGUGUUUUUCUCUUACCAUCUUCAUGAGGAGCUGUUGAGAGUGAUGCCCAAUUGGCCAUGAAAUAUAUCCAACCAAUUUGCGCUCAAAUUUUCCAUGAAUGCAAAACAGACUCCUUUUGUUUGACACAUGCAUUUAUAUUUGUUUGGAUGGUAUCAUUGUGGAGAUGGUUGGAGAAAAUUUCAUGAAGUGAUUCUUCUAUUAGCUGAGGAAGAAAUUGGAAAAGAAUCAUUAUUUUUUUCUACCCAUUAUUUUAUAUGUAUAUAACUGUGUCGGUUUCUUUUCAAUUUUUUGGUUUGAAUGGAAUUUUAUUAAAUUUGAAAAACCAGUUUAUUUUUCCUCGAAAAAAGAAAUAGUUUAUUUUCUAAUAUAAAAGUGUUAUUCUACCACCUGACCAAAAAAAGUGUUAUUCUACCAAAAAAUAUUUAAUUAAAAGCGUUAAUUAUACCCAAAAAUACAAAAAAAAAAUUGCUUUUAAUUAGUAAAUAUGUUGUGGCUCAUACUCGAAGGUUACUUUAUAAGCCCCCCUCAUAUCUCUCUAGGCCCCCUAAAGUUACAAAAAUAUCCUCAAAUAACACAUUCUGUACAUACCUACGGAAGGUGAAUGUUUUUAAUUUUAUUUUUGCAGCUUCUGUACAUACCUACCGGACAGAGAAUUGAGGCAAAUAUUUAGGAAACUAAUAUGAAAAAAAGCCUGAAACUGAGUCCAUAAAUUCUCCAUUGAUGAAAAGCUUUUAAAACUUUAUAGUUGGAAUCUUUACAAAGGAGUCUAAGAUGAUGUGAUUUGCCAUCUCUAUUUCUCUGUCUACCUUUCAACAGGGACUACAAAGAGAAAAUUUUCAAUUGAGAAAAACUAUGAACUUCCUGAUGAACAAAUGGACAAGUUAUCACAAUUGGGGCUGAGAGGUUUCGUUGCCCAGAAGUCCUUUUCCAUCCAUCUAUGAUUUCAAAAUAUCUAUUUGGAAUGUAACUACAGAAAGUGUAAAUCUGAAAAUGUGAAAAUAUGCCUCCGGUAUGUACAUACCGAAGGUGCAAAAUGUGGAGAGAAAAAAUAUGCACUACCGGUUUGUAUCUACUGAAUGUGUUGUGAAGGUUAUUUUUGUAUUUUUAGGAGGCCUAAAAAGAUAUUGGAGGGGCCUAAAAAGUAACCUUCCAUUCUUAGAAGAAAAAAAAAUGGAAGCCAACAUCCAAACACAUAAAAGCCCACAAUCAAUUAUAAACAUAAACAAUUUGUUGUGGGGUAAAAAUUUUUGUAGUAGGUUUAAUUGGCAAAAAGUUAGAAGAAGGUUGCCAUCAACAAAUCUGAACCAUUCACUUAAAAUAUUAAUAUAUCAAUGGUUAAAACAUCAACUUUUUUAUGAUGGGAAAAAACUUCACUUUCCCAUUUUAAACCCCACCAGCCAAUAGAGAGAAACUACAUCAAAAGCUACACCACCUCAACAAGAACAAAAAGAUAAAUGGAGAAAAUUGAACCCGAAAUUUAUCAAGGACAGUCUCAAUUUGUGUGUUUUGAUACUUUUGUGUCUCAAAAUAAUUGAAUCAUUUGUAAAAUAAAAAAAAUUGUCUCACAAUAAUUUACUCGUUUCGCUUUUCAAUACAAUAUUAAUUACUUUUUUUUUAUUUAUAACUCUAAUUAAUACUACUUUCAUCAUUCCAAAUUUAAUAUCAAUAUAUUGAAUUUGGAGUAACGUAGAAUGUACAAAUAUUUGACAACACACUUAAAACCAUUUUUCACUCUUUCACUUAUAUAUUUUUUCUUAAUAUAUGUGAAAUGAACAAACGACUCACUUAUAUUAUAAAUCAGAGAAGUAUUUAGUUCAAGACUUUGUAUUGCUAAACUUUGACAUGUCUUGUGUUUAGUUUAGCCCCUUUAUUGAACAGGAAAAAAUACCGCAACUUCAGUAUCCCGGGCUAAAUGCCACCCCCCAUUCCCCAUAAGUUGCCAAAAGAAUAAAUAAACUCUGCUUUUGAUACAUAGACAUCCCUCGUUCCAACCAUCUAUGCAUAAAGACUCAAUAUAACGGCAAUUCAUCGAAGUACAUAAACCAAUUGUUUAAGGUGUACUAUUAGAGAAUCAAACCGAGGAACUAGUGGCGGAGCCAGGAAAUUUAUGGAGCUUGGGCAAAAAAUUAAUCGUAAAUUCACAUGUGACAUAAUAUAUAAACAGUCAUAAAUUGAAAGAAAAAUUUUUUUUUUCCUAAAAAAAAUUGAAAUAAAAGAUGUUUAUCAUUUUGUAAACAAAAGUACAAUUUAAAAUAUGAUUAUUAAUUGAAAUUGACCACGUAAUAUACAUGAAGUCUGAAAAUUGACCCUGCUGUAAUUAAAUAACAUGUAUUCUGACCAUGUAAUUCGAGAUUUUUAUUAUUUAUAACAUGUAAUAUACGCGAAGUCCAAAAAAGCAACCGAGAGAUUUAAUUUUUUCAUGAUUUCCUAGAGGCGAGUUAAGAACGUUAAAAUAUGGCUUUAACAAAAAAAAUAUAAAUUUUCGACAAACGACAAAUUAAUUAUGAUUUUUUAAAGUGUCAAAAGCUCAAAAAACAAAACAACGGAAAUCUCAAUCAAUAAAUCGAAUUUUGAGCUCAUUAUUUGCAGAGAGAUCUAUAAAAAUACAUAAAAAGGAUCUGUAAAGUUUCAUAGCAUUUCGAAGUCGUUUAAAUUUAUUUUGAUUUUUCAACUGAAACAUGUAAAAUUGAAAUUUUGUUUCGCGUAAGCGUAUACUCACAAGUCAAAUUUAGUUCCCUAAUUUUGUAGGCAUGACUAGAACAUGAUAAGAACCUUCACAAUGAAAUUUUGUAAUUUUUAAACUAGAUACAAAUUAAUUAUAAAUUGUUUAAGAAAUUCAUAAUUAUGAUGGAAUAAAAAUUCAUAAUUAAUUUAUCCCUGGUCGAAGAAAUUUAAUUUUGAGUAAAGCUAUAUUUUAACGUGCUAAAUAUGUAUGAAAAAAAUAGUGAAAAAAUUCAACAUGUAGGGCACAUUUUUAGACUACACGUAUAUUAUAGAGUGGUCAAAAUUAAAUAAGAAGAAAUUCAAGUUGCAAUGCUAGAAUAUAUAUUUUUUAUUUUAUUGGGUCAUUUUUCAAACAUAAAGUAUAUUACAAGGUCAAUUUGAACAAUUAACCCGUUAAAAUAAGAGAGAUGAACCCGUCAAUAGCGUACUAAAUAAAAUUUCAAGACUUAUUUGCGUGUGACAAUUUUCAGAUUGCCCAAAUUUUUCUUUUUGUAAAUGUGUUAACGGGCUUUUGGGUUGAGUCUAAUGUGCAAAAAUUAUCGAUCGAGCCCGGGCGAUCGUCUGGGGUCGCCAUACGGUAGAACCGCCCCUGCUAGGAACGAGGGGCGGAUCCACUUAGGUGUUAUGUGGAGCUAAAGCUCCACAUGUUUUUUCCUUUUUUUUUUGUUAUAAUUGAUAAAACGAAAAAGAAGUGACUUAGUAAAUAAUUCUCUCAUUUUCCCUUCUCUCUUAGUCUCGUAAAGUCAUUUCUAGUUUUUACGUGACAAAUUAUUGAGGAUGUCUGAGUUUUAUCCAAAUGAUUUUAUAGAUAUGUCGGAAGUGACGUUACGCACUCAACUUGUGAAUUAUGUUACAAAUGUUUAAAAUUUGCUAAGUUCAAAGGGCUUUUAGAUCUUUAUGCAAAACUUGUGGAAACAAAUAAGUGCAAACAAGAUGUAUGUUAGCACACUACUGUAUAUUAGACUAUUUGAUCUGCGAGUUUUUGUGUUUCUUACACAAUCUCGACGAGAAUAAUAUUUAUCGAUUAACAAAAAAUACAUUUAACUAAUUUGCAUUAUUAUACAAGGGUGAUUAAAUGGAGUAAGCCGAAUAGAGGUCGAAUGAAAUGUAAUAUUGAUGCAUCGUUUCCUAAUAAUGAGAACCGAAUUUGAAUAGGCAUUUGCAUUUGGGAUGAUGAAGGUGCAUUUGUGAUUGCAAUAACAUAAUGUUUAACUUCAAAGUGUGAUGUGCACAUUGAUGAAGCAUUGGGUUUGUUGACAACUCUUCAAUGGGUGCAUGAGUUACAUACAGUUAGGGCCUAUAGAGUUCGAACUUGAUUCCAAAAAAAGUGGUUGAUAGCUUUGGAGCUAAUAGGCAUGAUUCGACGGAAUUUGGAGCUAUUAUUAAUUAUUGUAAAAUAUUGUUUAAUCAUUUAUAUGAAAACUCGAGUGUAGAGUUUGUUCGGAGACAAGCAAAUGGGGUUGUCCAUGAAUUAGCAAAGGCGGCCACAUUAUCGAUUAGUUUCCAUAUUUUGGUUAUGCCACCACAUUGUAUUGAACACAUUUUAAUUAAUGAUAUUCUAUAAGUUUUCCCCUCUAAAAAAAAAACUAAUUUGCAUUAUUAUUUAUAUGAAAUUUUAACUACAUAUAUACCGAAAGUAUAGAUUUGCCCAUGGUAGAAACCCGUCAAAAUUUGUUAUUUCCACCAAUUAGUGAAUACUAUCCAUUUUACAAAGCCAUCAUUCGGUUAAGAAACUGUCAAAUUGUUAUCCUGCAUUCACUUAUAAUAGCAUGUGUCUUUCACUGUUAGACAAACAAACAAAUAUUAACAGCUUAAACUUUUUGAGAAUUUGUACAUAUUUUAAAAAAAUAUCAUAUGAAUAUGUAUUUAAUCUCACUUUUUGUACUUUACUACUAAAGAAGGUUUCAGAUUUCGCCACCAGAAUACUUUCCAUGUACUUCUCUUAUUUUAUCAUCACAUCUCUCACUUUCUUCUUUCAAGGUAGUUUUAUGAUCUAUUAAAAAGUUCACGGGGAAAUAAACAUCUAAGUAGGUUUUAGGCUAUGCCAAACUCUUUAAAAAGUUACGUUAGAUCCUUAAAAAAAGUUAUGUUAGAUCCUUAAAAGAUCAGAUUGAGAGACAAGGAAAGGGGCAUGUAAUUUCUUGGAUUGCUACAUGAAUAUCUACAAGUACAGACAAUUCAAUUUAGGAUUAAUGGUGUUUUUGGAUUAUUAUUGAAGAAGAAGAAGGUGAGGGGGGUACAUUACAACAAGCAGGGCAGUAUCUGAGGCAGGGUCGAAGAGGGCGACCGUCCUAGGUCCCAAAAAAUAUAUACGAAAUUUGGGCCCCAAAAUUUAUUUUUAAGGGUCUAUUAAGCCCUAAAAAAAUUGUUUAGUUUUUUGAAUCAGAUUUGAUGUUUAUAUAUAUUUAUUAGUCAGGAUCCAAAUUGCAGGUUCGCCCUAAGCCACCAUCAGAAACGGCCUUGACAACAAACCCAAUUAUGCUCUCAAAUUUUGGUCUAUGGUAUGGCCAAGGCAAACAUGAAAAUGAUAUAGUUUGGCAUAGAAACUACAUCUUUGCAAUGGUUUUUGGCUAAAUAGAAGGAAGUGCCUUGUUUGUUUCCUGAAUGGUGUUAUAAUUCCUAGAUAUAGAUGAAUAAAUAGACUCUAAGUUGGUGUUAGUAUGUGGUUUGUUUUGUCUCUAUCUUUUCUUUUGAAAUGGUUAGGUUAGCCUUGUACUCUUUAUCAAUAAAAUUUCCAUGCACUUAAAUAAAAACAUGACAAAACUGAUAAAAGAAAAGAAGAAGAAGAAGAAAAAGAUGAUUACUGCUCCAAUCUCGGAUACAAGGUGACAACUAGGGUACUCAUGGAAGAAUGGUGGGUAAUUUACCCCAACCAAUACACAUUAGCCACAUAAACACAUUUUUAAGUGGUAUUAAUGAACUAUCUUGACUCCACCAAUAAAUUUCUCAUUUUCAUUGGUUGGUGGGUAAAUUAUAUAUCCACCAUUCUUCAAAGAUAAUCUAGAAAAAACCCAGAUACAAACAAAACUGGUCAAAUAAAGUCAAUGUAUUUGGACAAAAGUUUGGACCAAAUACAUCAAUAAUAAACUUAGAUCAAAUAUACUUAUAAAUGUUUGUGCUUUUGUUUUAUAAUGUAAUAAACUUUGUGGAUUGCAUUCGUUUCCUUCUGUGAUGGACCAACAUCGAUUAGUCUUAGAACAGGACAACAUAAGUUCUGCCGACAAAUGUAUAUUAUUAUACAGCCAGCAUCCUGCGGAAAUUAAUUAUCUUGAAUGGAUUUUAUUCAUUGAUUUCAAAAAAUGAAUGGGAAAAAAUUGAAAAUCCAAUUGUCAUCUAAUUUGAUGUGCAACUCACAUUAUGUUUCGAUAUUCACUCAUUAAUGAUUUUUUUUAGGGAAACAUAAUAUUCAUGAGUGAAAAUUGAAACAAUUGUCGAAAAAUGUUCCAGUGACCAAAUCCAGAGUAAUAAUCAAACCUAAUUUUACGUAGCAUAAUAAAAAUCAUUGAAAAUGCAGAAAAUACAAAUUCAAGGUAUACAAUAUGUUUACGAUUUUUCUUCACUAAAACUCUUUUACAACUUUGCUUGUGCAGACAAAAUGGUGUUGUUCCAAAGUAUAAAAGUAAACAUAAGUGUAGGAAAGGAGAGAAAAGACGAUGAUUUAAAUACUUGAAGUUGAAGGGAAAGGAGACACUAUGGUCACAAAUAUGUGUAAUGAACAAAAGUAACCCAAAAAAAAACUAACUAUGGUCACAAACUUAAACAAAAUAACCCUUAAAAAAAAAGAACUUCUACGGUACAUGUAACGCCCUCUUUGAAUUAUUUGUUUUAUUUGAUUAUUUUAUUUAGUUUAUAGUUUUUUUGAAUAAUUUAUUUGAUUUAUGAUGAUGUGUGUUAUUUUUGUGUUAUAGGUUGGUGUUUUAGUAGUAUAUUAUCUAGUGUAGAAAUAUAUUUGUUAUAGAAAUAUAUUUGUUAUUUGGUGUAGAAGAAUUAUAUAUAUAUAUAUUAAUAGAAUAUUGAGACUUUGGGGGCUGAUUUGGGAAUUUAGAAGAGUUUAAGAGAAUAAGUGGAGUUAAGAGAAAAUAGAUAGGUUAAGGUUAUAAAAAGAGAAAAGUGAGAAGUCAGAAUAGUUUUUCACGUACAACCAGUUUUUGGAGAAAAAGGAAGAAAACCUAGAGAAGAGGAGGAACGAGAAGAGAACCUUGCAAUCCAUUUCUUAAGGUAAGGGUGGGACUAACAUUCAAUAAUCUUGAGUCUAUGAUUCUNNNNNNNNNNNNNNNNNNNNNNNNNNNNNNNNNNNNNNNNNNNNNNNNNNNNNNNNNNNNNNNNNNNNNNNNNNNNNNNNNNNNNNNNNNNNNNNNNNNNNNNNNNNNNNNNNNNNNNNNNNNNNNNNNNNNNNNNNNNNNNNNNNNNNNNNNNNNNNNNNNNNNNNNNNNNNNNNNNNNNNNNNNNNNNNNNNNNNNNNNNNNNNNNNNNNNNNNNNNNNNNNNNNNNNNNNNNNNNNNNNNNNNNNNNNNNNNNNNNNNNNNNNNNNNNNNNNNNNNNNNNNNNNNNNNNNNNNNNNNNNNNNNNNNNNNNNNNNNNNNNNNNNNNNNNNNNNNNNNNNNNNNNNNNNNNNNNNNNNNNNNNNNNNNNNNNNNNNNNNNNNNNNNNNNNNNNNNNNNNNNNNNNNNNNNNNNNNNNNNNNNNNNNNNNNNNNNNNNNNNNNNNNNNNNNNNNNNNNNNNNNNNNNNNNNNNNNNNNNNNNNNNNNNNNNNNNNNNNNNNNNNNNNNNNNNNNNNNNNNNNNNNNNNNNNNNNNNNNNNNNNNNNNNNNNNNNNNNNNNNNNNNNNNNNNNNNNNNNNNNNNNNNNNNNNNNNNNNNNNNNNNNNNNNNNNNNNNNNNNNNNNNNNNNNNNNNNNNNNNNNNNNNNNNNNNNNNNNNNNNNNNNNNNNNNNNNNNNNNNNNNNNNNNNNNNNNNNNNNNNNNNNNNNNNNNNNNNNNNNNNNNNNNNNNNNNNNNNNNNNNNNNNNNNNNNNNNNNNNNNNNNNNNNNNNNNNNNNNNNNNNNNNNNNNNNNNNNNNNNNNNNNNNNNNNNNNNNNNNNNNNNNNNNNNNNNNNNNNNNNNNNNNNNNNNNNNNNNNNNNNNNNNNNNNNNNNNNNNNNNNNNNNNNNNNNNNNNNNNNNNNNNNNNNNNNNNNNNNNNNNNNNNNNNNNNNNNNNNNNNNNNNNNNNNNNNNNNNNNNNNNNNNNNNNNNNNNNNNNNNNNNNNNNNNNNNNNNNNNNNNNNNNNNNNNNNNNNNNNNNNNNNNNNNNNNNNNNNNNNNNNNNNNNNNNNNNNNNNNNNNNNNNNNNNNNNNNNNNNNNNNNNNNNNNNNNNNNNNNNNNNNNNNNNNNNNNNNNNNNNNNNNNNNNNNNNNNNNNNNNNNNNNNNNNNNNNNNNNNNNNNNNNNNNNNNNNNNNNNNNNNNNNNNNNNNNNNNNNNNNNNNNNNNNNNNNNNNNNNNNNNNNNNNNNNNNNNNNNNNNNNNNNNNNNNNNNNNNNNNNNNNNNNNNNNNNNNNNNNNNNNNNNNNNNNNNNNNNNNNNNNNNNNNNNNNNNNNNNNNNNNNNNNNNNNNNNNNNNNNNNNNNNNNNNNNNNNNNNNNNNNNNNNNNNNNNNNNNNNNNNNNNNNNNNNNNNNNNNNNNNNNNNNNNNNNNNNNNNNNNNNNNNNNNNNNNNNNNNNNNNNNNNNNNNNNNNNNNNNNNNNNNNNNNNNNNNNNNNNNNNNNNNNNNNNNNNNNNNNNNNNNNNNNNNNNNNNNAGAAUCAUUACAUAAAGGAUUGUUAUUACUAAUAGAUGAAGUUAUUUAUGUUGUUAAAUAUAAUUAAUGAAUUAUAUGCUUGAUAUUAUUGUUUUGUGAAAUCUCACCCCUUCUGCUUGGAAAUGUUGCUCUUCGUAUGAGUAACUUGCAGGUGAUCGAGUUUAAGUUGUUGUUAGAUUGUUGUUGUGAGUGAAUUAUCUCUCAUGUGUGUCUUUAGGUGCUCUGAUACAUAACGGGAUGGGAACUUUGUUGCAUGCUUUUCGAUUCCUUACGUAUUGCUUAUGAAUUUACAUAAUUAAGUUGUUAAUUGGAUUUUUAUGAGAUACUUUGAUGAGGCCUUCGUGCCAAAAUUAUUUUUAGAUGUUCGAAUAAAUUCCGCUGCGAAGUAUUAAAUAUUAUGUUAUUGAAUUUUGAAGGAUAAUUAAUUAAUUAUUCCGUUUGUGAUUUUAAGAAAAGAAAUGUGACAUUCCGUUUAUGUGAAUUACUCUGAUUAAAUAAAUGAAAUUUUUACGUUGGGAAAACGGGGUGUUACAGUACACCCGCAAAUUAAGGUGUACCGGUACUCCUACUUCAAAAAUCUUUAAAAUAACUAUUAUUUUUAUGGAAUAAAGUGCUAUUUGUUGAUAUUUUUAUUUUUAAAAAUGUCAUUUCAUAAGAAAAAACAUCAUUUCAUUGUUUAUAAAAAUCAUACUAAUUUUUUUUACAUUUUAUUGUAAAAAAUAAUCAAAAUUCUCUAUUAUGAGUACUAAAAAUUCAGAAAAAUUUUAUUUUAUUUCGUCGACGUUUUUGGUGAAUAAGAUUUAAUUAUAGAUGAUAGAAAAUAACAUUUUUUUUCAAAAAAUAACACAUUUAACUAUUAAUUUAUUGAUUUGAUGUACCAAUACACUCAAAAUUUUGAGUGUACCAUAUAAUUUGCCCAAAAAAAACUUAAACAAAAUUCAGCACCAUCUAUUUUAUAUGUCACUAUCAAAUAGAUCAUUGAUUUUAUGAAUAAUCUAAAAAGAUCUAAGACUCUAUUAAAUUUUUAAAUUGGUCUUUAUUAUUAAACAACUUACAAUCAAUUCAGUACUCAUAUUUUAACAACAUACCGUCAAUUUGGUCCUUAAGUUCAUGCAUUUAUUGUUAAUUAAAUCUCUACCAUAUUCUUUAAAGGACUUCCAUGACUAAAAUUUAAAAGAAUUAAUAACUCUAUUGAAAUUUUCGUAUUGAAACAUAAAGUGGAGAUCUUUUUCAAUGUGAUCUAUGUAACGUCCUUGGCUGACGAAGGUGAGGAGUGGUCGGUCUCGCUCCUGACAACUUUUAGGCAACCGGAUCAUAUUGAAAUGAGAGGGGUUAUGAGACUGUGUAUGUAUGAGAUUGCACGGUUAAAGGAAUGCUUAUAAGAAUUGUUUGGUAUUUUCCUCAACAAAAAAAAUUUGUUUGAUAUUAUCUAUAUCAACAAGAUGCAUCUUAUUUUCACAGGCAAUUCCUUAUUAACUUCAUAAUUAAGCGUGCUUGACUUGGAUGAAUAACCUUCUAUAAAAUUUCUCAAAAACAUGUGAGUGAGGACAAAACACGUCAAAAAAACUCAUGUUGGACUAUAGGAGGAAGGAGGAAGGGUUGGAAUUAGAGGAAAAUUGUGUUGAUGGUUUCACUACAUGAACAUUUUACCAUGACGUGUUGCAGGACUAGGUAUAUCUUUUAUAUGAUAUUCUUUUGUAUUUAUAAUUUGAUAUAAAUCCCUCAUGCAAGACUUAGAAUGCUAUUCAAGGGUUUUGACGUUAUUGCCUUCUCAAACAUCAGAUUGGAUUGGAUUUGAACUUUGAGAUCUCUUGUUAAACUUUUUUUUAAACAAUAAUGUUAUCGUAUUUUAAGUAACAAUAAUGUUAUCUUAACACUCUUUUUUCCCUACUUUAUUUAUUAUACACCUAUGUAAAAGGACAUUUUAGUCGUUUCAUCUUAUGUGAAAGAGAAUAUUAGAUGGGAUGGUAAAGACUAUGGAGAAAGUCUACUUUAGUCACAAAUAUAAAUGAAUAGUGCUUGAACAUACUCACAUCAAAAUAUAUAUUUUUUUUUUUAAAAAAAAUGGAAAAUGCUAGAUAUCAAAAUGAUUUAGUCUUCAAAGAAAAAAGUUUUUGACGUGUGUAUGAUUAAAUACUAUUCAUUUAUAUUUGUGCUCAUACAAAAAUGCUUCUCUCACAUUUGUGUAUAAUGAUUGAUAGAAGAAGUGUGUGCCACCCAUGUACUAAUCUAUUUUUAAAGGAGAUUAUUAAUUAAACUUGAAAAUAUCCCAAAAUCGUAUCUUUUGAGAUUAUUAAAAGUAAAAAAUAAUUAUUUUUUUAUAAAAAUCCAGUAUCCUAAAGUAGUUUGACUCCACGUGUUAAGCUGCAUGUUGAGGUUCACCAUUGCAUGCUGCCACCUUUCCCCUCCAAUCACAUCCCUCAUCUCACCAACCGCCACAACCACCUACAUAAACGCUCUAUAUAUCUCAAACAAACAAGGUCAAAAUCGCCAUUACCCCACCAUCCAAGUUCCGUGGAAGCAAACACCGCAGAAGCAAACAGAGCAAAACAGAGGAAGGUAGCAGCACAGCGAUGGUAACAAAACCAAGCAUGUCUCUCACGUGUUUUGCACGUGUUACCAUCUUCCUCUACGCUCUAACCCUAUCAACUGCGUUUCACCGCCAUGAAAACUUGAUUCAGGACGUGGCUAGAAAGCUUGAGCUCAAAGACAACGAACUUCUCAAAACUGAGAAGAAGUUCAAAGUUUUCAUGCAAGAUUACUCCAAAAGUUACUCUACAAGGGAAGAGUAUUUACUACGCCUUGGGAUUUUUGCCAAAAACUUGGUCAAAGCUGUGGAACACCAAGCACUUGAUCCAACCGCCAUUCAUGGUGUUACUCAGUUCUCUGAUCUCUCUGACGAGGAGUUUGAACGGUUCUAUACUGGUGUUAGAGGUGGAUUCCCCUCGAGUAACGGCGUUGGCGAGGUUGCACCACCCUUGGAUGUGGAAGGAUUGCCGGAGAAUUUCGAUUGGAGGGAGAAAGGGGCUGUUACUGGAGUCAAGAUGCAGGUACAUGAGUUUAACAUUUUAACAUGCAUGUUUGAAAUUUCUAGUUUUUCUUUGUGGUUAUAAAAUUUUGGUUAUUGUUAGUGUCUAGUUGAGAAAGUAUAUAUGUUGAAUAUGAUUUUUUAAAGUUUUGUAUAUGAAGUAUUUGAAAACUAUAGAAUUAGAUAAUAAAAUGAAAACAAUGUGAUAUUUAUAUAGGAAUGAUAAAACUUAGUUUUUGUUUUUUUUUUUAAUAUUGAGGAUAAUACUUGGUUCAAGUUGUUUACAUUUUUACAAUACUAAAAAAAAAGUGAAGUAAUUUCUAUUAUGUUUCUAUAAAAAUUGUUUUUGGUUUUUGUUGUGCUUAAUUUUGAAACAGGGUACAUGUGGAUCUUGCUGGGCUUUCAGCACUACAGGAUCUAUAGAAGGAGCCAAUUUUCUUGCCACAGGAAAACUCCUCAGUCUUAGUGAACAACAGCUUGUGGACUGUGACAGCAAGGUAUAUAAGCAUCUCUAUGUUUAUGACUUUUUCAUUGAAGAUUAACUAUGUUCUAUACUUCAAAAUAUGAAAGAAUGAAUAAAAAAAUUCAAUGUUAUUAAACAAGUUUUAAAUGAAUUUCGCAAUGAUUCAAGCCAAUUAUGCUCUUGCUAAUCUUGUGUUUUAUUGUUCUACUAUUUUGCCUUUGUCAAGUGUGACAUAACAGACAAGACAUCAUGUGACAAUGGUUGUAAUGGAGGUCUUAUGACAAAUGCCUAUAAUUAUUUGCUUGAGGCUGGUGGAUUAGAGGAGGAAAAUGCAUACCCUUACACUGGUGGUAAGGGUGAAUGCAAGUUUGAUCCAAAGAAAAUUGCAGUUAAAAUCACAAAUUUCACCAAUAUACCUGUGGAUGAGAACCAAAUUGCUGCAUAUUUAGUUAAUCACGGUCCACUUGCAAGUAAGUCCCUUUAAUUAAUUAAAUUACAAGUUCUAACAUAUAUGCAUGUGUGAUGAAUUGUGAAACUUAGACGGACACUCACAUUGAUUGAAUGUAAUCACAUGCAACACAUCAGACUCCGACAAACUUGAAGUAUGUGCGACAUUGAUUUGUCGAUCUUUGUUUAAUUAAAUUGAUGUUGAUGAUCAUGAACUCUAAUUUGUGCAGUGGGGGUAAAUGCGGUUUUCAUGCAAACAUACAUUGGUGGUGUGUCAUGCCCUCUCAUAUGUAGCAAGAGAAUGCUGAACCAUGGUGUAUUGCUUGUGGGAUAUAACUCACAAGGUUUCUCCAUUCUUAGGCUUCGCAAGAAACCAUAUUGGAUCAUUAAGAAUUCGUGGGGAGAACGAUGGGGAGAAAAAGGGUAUUACAAGCUUUGCAGAGGGCAUGGUAUGUGUGGAAUGAACACAAUGGUUUCUGCUGCAAUGGUCGCUCAAACACAACCAGCUGAAAACAAAUCAUAUGCUUCCUAUUAGCUAGCUACCUAGUUCUGUUCUUGCUUUGCUAUGGAGACAGAAAAAGUGUGGAGUAUUGGCGAUAAGUUCUUAUUAUUAUAGCAAAAUAGUUCCUUUCCUAUUAGGUUUGAUAUAUGUAAGAGACUUCACCAAAUUGUAAUAAGUUUGCUUCUCCAAUUUAGUUUAAGUUCCCUCUUAAGAAAUGUAUUGUAGUGUGUGGAUGUAAUGUAUACUAUAUGAUAUAUGAUUAGGAAUGUGUGUGUUAUAAGGUGUUAAGACCUAACAAAAUCUUUCUACAUUUGAAAGUGGCACAUUGGGAAUAACCCAAUUCCAAAAUCUAAGAAUAUAGUGUUAAGAUAGAUGGUAGAAAAACCUCAAAUGCAGACAAUUAUAUAUGCUUAAGCUAAAAUGAAACAGUCUCUUUUUUCUCUCAUAUAAGUAACUUUAAGCAAUGUUUUAAAAAGUUGUAUUUUUCAAUGAAAACGUUUAUACUUUUGAGUAUUAAAUUCAAAUUAGAAACAAGAACAGUCAAUUAACUGUUUUACGUGUGUAACAGCUGUGGAAAUAUAUUUUGUGAAAAUAUAUUUUCACAGUUGAUAUGAUAUAAGCAGAUUCUAAAAAAAUGAUGAACAAAAAACAGGGGAAAUAGACAAGUUAGAUCGCGCCUUUAGAAUAUUUCUUAUAUAUAAUUCAAGAACAAUCAUCACAAAUCCGUUGUAGUCUAGUUGGUCAGGAUAUUCGGCUCUCACCCGAAAGACCCGGGUUCAAGUCCCGGCAACGGAAAUUUUUUUUGUUAUCUCGAACAUGAAUUCACACAAAUCAGUUAAUGAUAUUUAUGCUCUUAAUAUUUCCCUUUUUUUCUUUGAGGUGUGCUCUUGAUAUUCAAUGUUCUUGCAAUUUUUUUUUAAGUCUGACAUGCCAGAUAAAUAGAAAAUGGUUGUAAUUUACAUGAAUCGAAAUAUUGUAUUUAGCAUGAAUGAAUUUGGUUCUAAAAUAGGGAUUUGUUAUUUGAAAUGAUUUCACUUAGUAAUCGAACUUUUUUUUUUUUAAGCAAGAUACUUAGUAAUCGAACUUAUUAACCACUUAAAUUGAAUUGUUUGAUUUUUUUUUAAUAAAGUUCAAUUGCUUGAUUAAAAAAUUAAUUAUACUGACUUAAAAUAAUUAUUAUUUAGAUUAAACAGUGGUGUAAAAUAGUAAAUUAUUAUCUUUUUGAAUUACUCACAUAAAAGGAAGAUGCGUUUUAUUACAUGUGAUUAAUUUGAAAUUAGAAAUAAAUCAUCUCGAUUUUAUUUUUUAAAAAGCCAAAAUAAAUGUAGAUAAAAACCCCCUAUCAAGCAUAAGAUAUUCUUAACAAGGGAACAAAAGAGUACAAGUGAUCAAGGAAAACAAAACAAAAGGGUUAGUCCAAUGCAAACUGAAGGGUAAGGCCACGACAUAUGAAAGUCGAAAAAUAAGUUCGCAUUUAGAGCUUUAAACCAUCACCAUAAAUAAAGCUUAACAUGAUCUAAUAGUUGCUUCUUAGAUGAGAUUUUGGCGGAGAAAAAAACUCGGAGAAUUAUACUCCUUUCAGAUGACUUGAAUACAUAUCAUCUAGAUAACAUGAAAACAAUAGCAGAUAUCUUUAUAAAACAAGUGGGAGCCAACAAAUUGAAACACAGGUACCCCAUCACAUCAAUAGGCAAGACACUUUGAACUUCUGACCAACGGAGAACAUCAAUCCAAAAUGUUGUCAAAAAAAACACACACACUCAAAAAGUAUAUGAUUAUUAGUUUUCUCUAUUUUGCAACCCUCUAAGCAUACUAACGAAUUCAGGUGAAUGACGAUGCGACACACCAAAUUGUCUUUGGUAGGAAUCAUCUUGUUCAAAAGCCUCAAAACAAAUAAAAGCACCGCGUUGUUUCAAAUGAUUUUUGUGAAAGAAUCGUGAAUAUGUUGCUCCACUUGGGCAAAUAAAUGAUACACUCAUUUGGUAGAAUCAUGCUUCCAAAUUCAUUUGUCUGACAUGCUAUCCUACAAAAUAACGUUAUCGAACAUAAAAAUACACUCUCCCACAUGAUCCUCCUCCCAAGCAAGUAAUAUCAUCCACCAUGAACAGUCUACCCCCCACCCACCAUCAUCAUCAUCAUAACCUCUUCACUUCGCUGCUGAAACAUUACCUUCUACUGUCAACUCAGACAACCGCCUAACGCUUACCCACAAUGGUACUCUCUGUAACCAAGGAUCAUUUCAAAAAGAUGUGUUUUCACCAUGAUCCACUCGACACACUACUUCAUUUGCGAACAAACCACCCACAUCUGGAUCAACUUUAUCUUUAAUACAACAUAAGUCUUUUCACCAACCCAACACCUUACUACUCCUUUCCUUUUAUACAAAUUUAUUAAUACUUGUGUGCAUGACAAGUUUUAGUAAUUAGUUAUUAGAUUAUUUUGUGUCCUUCUUCUGGGUUCGAACCAGGAUUUUCAACUCUUUAUCACUUAGCACUAGUUAAGCUAUCCGAUCUUACAGGUGGAAAUAGGCUAGGCUUUGCAAGGCCUAAGUCAAUUGUGUAAAAAAAUUUAAGACUUGAGUCUGACUUAUGGCUUGUCGUAAGCUUUUUUUUAGGCCAAAGUCUAGCCUCUUGAAAGUCUAGUAUGACUUUUUAGUCUAUUUAAAAGUGUAUUUCAUAUGAUAUAUGUUUAAAUAGACUAGCAUACUAAUAGAUCAAUGAGAUUAAAUUCUCUUUUGAUAUUUAACAUGAUUUUAUAGAGAAUUCAACUAUAUAUGAUAUCGUAUUUCAGUUCUAAUUUAUAAUAAUACAUUUAAAAAAUAUGUGAACAGUGAAUGUAAACAAAUAAGCUUAAAUUACUAAAAAUGUUGACAAAUUUAUAACUUAUUUCAAAAUACAAAGUUUAAUAUAAUAAUAAACGUGGUAAUAAAUAAUAUCAUUUCUAUUGACUUCCUUUAAAAAAAUAUUAUUAAUAUUGGCUUAAAUAGGCUAACUUCAUAGGUCUUAGAAGCCUUGUUUUUUUUUUUUUUUAAAUUAUCUUUUAUCUACCAUUUUUAGCUAAAUAGAUUUAUUAAAAAGUCUAAGCAUUAUAUAUUUUAAAAAAAGUCUGAUGUAGACUAAUUCGUAGGUCUCGCUAAGUCGGUCUUAUUUAUUUUCACUCAUAUCCAACCCCCAAAAAAGUUUUAUUUAAACUAAAAAUGUACAUGAAUUAAAUCAUUUAGUUGGUAAAAAAUUAGCUCCUACAACUUUUGUCAAAAAUAAAAAUAAAACUUUUUGUCAUAAAAAAAUUCAUAUCAGUAUAUGUAUAUCAUAAAAAAGAAAAUCCAAUGAAGAGACAUUUUAGAAUGAUUUGAUUGAAGCUUUCAUAUCUCACCUUACAAAUUGCAAUCAAUUAUUUUGAUUUGAUUUGUAAAUGCUUAAAUUAAGAUUAAAAGGACUUGAUACACUUUAAAAAUCCAACAAUUUAGCCGGAUAAUAAGGGGUGAAAAUCUUUUACUUAAAUGUUUUGAUUUAAAACCAAUAAAUAAAUUAUCUUGAUUUAAAAUAAACAUAUUUUCUUACUGGUCCACCUAAUCAACCCAGAUUUUCCAAUGUCUCAAACCAAAUAACUCCUACUUGGCCACCACGCCAGCGAAGGUGAAAAGGAAACAGCAUGUGGUUCUAAUCACACAAAACAAAUUUACCAAAACACCCUCAAGCAUCUUUUUUAUCCUUAUCCACUUUUUAUGACUAUUAAUGGUUGGUAAUGGGCAAUGUAGACAUAUCACAAUUAUUACACGUUUCUUCCAAUUUACAACUAACAACUACCGUCCAACAACUCUUACAAUUAUCCAAUAAAAUCCACAAAAUCGAAUAUUCAAAAAACACUUUUUUUUUUUUUUCCUUUUUUACAAGACAACUUGCGACUCGCCCACAGACAUAAAAUUCAACAAAUAAAAACACACAGAGAAGUGAAAAAGAUUGCACCUUUUGUUAAUUCUUGUGGUUUAAUGCUUGUUCUGAAGCAAACCCAUUUUUCAUAAUUGUAUCUUGAUAACGUUUUCAUUUCUUUCUGCUUCAAUUCAUCUCUUUGGUAAGGGUAUUUUUUUUUUUUAUGAAAAGACAUGAUUGAAAAAUCUUAAAUUUAUGUUGUUUUGAUCAUGUUUUGUUUUAUGGUUUCUUGAUUUUGAUUCAGAUCUCAAUUGGGUUAUUGUUUUUGCACUUUUUUUGUUGAAUGCAUUACUCACUGUUUGAAAAUGUUUAUGUCUUUUCUUGUUUUUCUCUGUUUUUUGCUUGGUAGUUUAUGUUUCUUGUGUGCAUGCUAGUUACUAGUUAGUAGUAUUCAUGGUUUUCUGUAUGAAAACGUGUUAUUUAAUAUUUUGAUUAAUUUGAUUAUACAUUUGUAACCGACACAAGGCUUCAAACUAUAUCACUAAUCCGAAAUGCGGGUUCUUGAUUGGUCUAUACAAUUAUUUUGCAGUUUUGUUUAUAUUCAUUAAUUAAUUAAUUACGAAAUUUGGUUAUUUCAAGUGAGGUGGGUUUAAGAUCUUAAAGUAACACAUCUGUGUUCUUCUACUGUGAUUAUUUUAUCUCAGAUCUGGAAAGAAAGUUAGUUAAAUUAGUUAAUGAAAUUCAAGUAUUUGAUGGGAAUAGUACUUUAUAAGGUUUUAGAUAAUUAGGUUAGAUUAUAUAAAUAAAGUUAAUUAAAUUAGAUUAGUAGGGGCUUCAAUGUUAGUUUCUUGACUUAAUCUUAUCUUUUGAAACAAAUUGUUCGGUUAUUGACUGACUAUGAAGCACGGGCAGAGACACCGGACACCCCGACACACCAACACCGAUAAUAAUUUGAGAAAAUGACAUAAUUCAGUGUAACAAUAUGUGUUGGUGGGUGUCGUGUCAGUGUCGGACAUCGGGACACACCUAAUUCGAGGAGUGUCUGUGCUUCAUAGGUUAUUGAUGCAAUUUAAAUUUAAAUCAUACUGCUGUGGAAGAGCUAGGAAAUGUGAUGACGGUUUCUCUUUAUGUAUGAAAUUGUGUAGUUUUUCCCUAUUGAAGCUUUUUUCUUGUUAUGCAGCAACAGCAACACUGACGAGUGAGCAUUAGUUUUUUUCAAAACCCGUGACAUUCGAUUGGCGAUAACUGCUAGGAAGCUUGGAGGUACUUCUAAUCUUUAGAAGGAAAUAAUUAUUAGUAUUCAUUGUAGUAUUAUUGUGGAAUACAAUGGAGGUCUGUGCUGAAAGUACCCAUUGCAAUGGGAAACAGACUUUGAAGCAUUCUAAACCUGCAGAUGAAGUAAAAAGAUCAAGUGAAAACACUUGCAGAUGUUCUCGUCCAAACGGGAAGCAAAAUUUGAAGCAAACUUCCACUUUUGUCAAUCAUGGUGAGUCUUUCAUGAUCAUGGAUUCAUGGUUUUGUAUUUGCUUAUCACAAUGGUUCCACACGAUUAUAAUUUUUACUCUGUUGUUUAAAACCUAAUAUUGGUGAAUAUAUUAUGCAGCUGCAAAUGCUUGGCAUGAGAAUAGAAAAAAGUGGGUUGGCGAUAAGGCUAUGCAUUCACCAAGAACACCUAAGGAUCCAAUUAUUAGGUAUACCCCAAUCCAGCUCCAUUUCUUUUCAUUUACAGCAGUUUCAUUCGUUGUUAACACUAAUGAUGGCAGAUUUGAAUGGUUUUCAUCAUCUGUUUUUAUUUGAGAGAGAAAACAAUAUAAAGAAAAAAAAUGGGAUAGUGAAUUAGAAGGGGUUUUAUCUUUCACAUUUUUCUUGUUUCUGCAUUCAUGUUUAAGAAAUAAAAAUUACUUUGCUAAUUGGAAUCAACAUAAUUCAUUACCCUUCUAAUCAUGCUCCCCUUUUCUGGUCUUACUCUUACUUAAAUACUACAAACUCUAAUCAGGCAUACUCGUAUAGUCUUUUUCAGGGUAAAUUUACUGUUUACUCCCCUCUAGUUUCUCACAUUUUCAAUUCACCCCCUCAAUCUCAAUCCCCCUUUGCAUUGAAGUGAACUGAAACUGUUUAUAAUAUUUUUACAUGCAUAUUUCUUGUUGCUGCGUUGAUUGCAGAUGGCACAAUGUACGUGCCACACAAACGUUUGGUUGCUAAUAGCUUUAUUCAAAUACACAAGAUUUGAAAACAUAAUGUGCCUCUCUUAUCAAGAGCAUUGAUCAAAACAUACUAUGUACUUUUGUUUGAUUUCCUUUCAAGUGAUAUGAUAGUUUUGGGGAUAAUGUCUAAACCCGUGUUUUAGUACAAUUGGUUUAUAGAUAUACUGUAGUAAUGUGCUUUCCAUAAUUUUUAUGCAUUUAUUUGGCUAUCAUUUUAUGACAACUCACAAUUUUAUUUAAUUUAUUUCAGCUGGUCAACAUCAUACGAAGACCUACUUUCUACUCACGAACCUUUUGCUGAACGAAUACCCUUGCCUGUAAGAUGUCAAUACCCUUAGCUUACCUAAAAGAAUACAUGUAAUAUAUUAAAAUAUAUAUGUUCAUACAAAAUCUGCUAAUUGAAGCUGAAGAGAAAGGAAAAUCACUCUUUGAUGCUCUUUAGAGUUAGAUAUUUGCAUACUGUUUGAAGUCAUUGAAUAUGAUGCUGUAGCUUUACCUGCUUUAAGCUUUCUGUAUAUUUUUUUCAAUGUACUGAUUCAUAUUUUAUAUGGAUUUGUGGCUCAUACAGGAGAUGGUAGAUUUCUUAGUUGAUAUUUGGCUUGACGAAGAAGGCACCUUUGAAUAAAUCGUUGACGCUUCUUGUACAACAGUAACUGAAACAAGAAGUGUGUAAUACCCUUUAACCAGCAAUAACCUCAAUUAACCACCUAGCAUAGCUUGAUUUGAUGUAAUAGUAUUCUUCAGGGUUGAUAUUUUUUAUUGUAUUCCUGAUUUUCUUUAUGUGCCUCUCUUAGGAGACUCUGCUCGAGUCUGGUUCCCUAGAGGCUUUUAGUUUUUUUCUUUUGGCCUUUGUUCCUCUUUAUUUAUUCACAAAAAAAAAAAAAAAAUUAUUUUUCCACCAUUUAUCUAGUAAGUUUUAUUGUGAAAAAAGUAAAAAUAUAAAGGUUAAAAAGUUAAAACGCGCCAGGUAGGGGUCGAACCUACGACCUUCUGCUUAGGAAACAGACGCUCUAUCCACUGAGCUACAAGCGCAGUUCUUAUGGUCUGUAUUAUAUAUUUCAUGUUUUGAUCAAUACCACUGAGCUAAAGACGCUCUAUACAACAUUAUGUCAUUGAACAUGUGCCUGAGUAAAGUUUGAAUGUCUUAUUCAUUUGGUCAUGAAACGAUAGAAGAGGAUAAACAAAUAUGUACUGACAUUUGUUCUAUGGACAAGUGGCACCAAAAUUAGGUGUCCUUGAAUAAAUUAUUGUAUUCUACAAACAUUUUAUAAAUAAAUAAUAGAUAUAUUUCAAAACCUUUUUAAAAAUAACUAUUCUAAUUUUGUAAUUAGUCUUCCCUCAAGUAUUAUAAAUUUGUCUUGUGGUUCUCCAAUUCCGUGUAUUUUUUUUAUUUUAUAUAGACUCCAAUUCCGUGUAUUGUUUAGAUAAUAUAACAGUGGUUUGAACAAACUCAGCUUAUUAGUGUAGUUCAAUGGUAAAUGUAUAAACUUUAUGAGAAUGAUAUUAAAAAACAUUAACUUUAACUAAUACUUUUUUAUUUUUUACAUUUUUAAUUAAUUUUUUAAUCACAAACAUUUGUCCCGAUAGUGGUUGAUGGAUUCAUCAUACAUGAUGAUAGUGGUUGAUAUAUGAUUUUAUCGUGUAGCACUCACACAGGAUCUUUUCUCUUCCCUCCAACAAUUUUACAUGACACUUGCUCAACAAGCAAAGCAUGAGUUGGAUUAUUAUCACCAUAAUAAUAUUUUUUUUUUCAUUGUUUAAUUUGUUUCAUGUUUUGAUUAAUUUUUUUGUCGAACUUUAUUUAUUUUUAGAUUAAUAACAAUCGUUAUCCUUCUUUAAAAAAAACAAUUGUUAUCCUAAAUAAUGAACGGUUAACUUGAAAGAAAAAAAGUUAAUAGACAAUAAUAUUAUACUGUUUGUUGCUCUUUUAUUUAUGAUUAUGUCUAUGCCGCCACGUUUGAUAUAAUAGCUCAGUGUUAAGAGUUUAUCCCACUACAGUUAUCUCAAAUAUAUUUAUUUCUUAAAUUUAUGUGAUAAAAAGUAAUAUACCAUUAAAUUAUUAUACAUCAAAUAAAACAUAUUUUUAAUAAAAAUGAAGAAAUGUGAUUUUUUUUCUUCCACUAAACAAACAAUUUCUUCAUUUUUUAUUAAAAUAAUAAUAAUAUAAAAAUGAAAAAUUCCUUCUAUUUUUCUAAGUUCGAACAUAUGAAAAUUUUAACUUGUCAGAUAGAGUUGUGAUCUGUGUGUUUAAAAAAAUAAUUGUUGGAAGAUGUCAGCACCUUAAAUGACAAUCUUUUUUCUUUUUAAUAUUUGCUUUGAGCAAAUAAAUCACAUAAACAAAAGGUAACACUUUUACAAAUAAAUCUCACAAUGCACAAAUGUGUACACCACACUCUAAAGUUGUAUGUUGUAACUCAUUAUGUAGACCACAUUAUAAGGUUGUAACUCAAUAAAAACAUUAUGAGAAAAUAUUACAAUAACAUUCAAAAACAUAAAAUAAGUAAAACUCCAAUCUUCUGUUAUCUCUACAUACAUGUAUUCUAAACUACAAUUUGAUUACAUGUCACCUCACCAAUACCCCCUAACUAAUUUUCUAUAAGCAUUCAACAUAUGAUUCUCUCUUUUUCUUUUCCUUAUUUUCCAUCUAUCUAUUUAUUACUACAUAUUUACAUAUGUCAAGGGAAUAUGAUAAUAAUAAUAAUUUUGUAAAAAAAUUCUGAUAAUAAUAAUAACAAUAAUAAAAUUAUAUUUAAAAGUAUAGUUGAAAACGUGUGGUUAUUUGAUUAUAUGGUACAUUUUUUUGAUAAAUGUCUUUUAUCAAUAUUUCUUUUUUUAGGAGUUAGUACCAUAGAUAUGUUGCUCUCUUUUUUUAGUUUUUUUCAUCAGCCAUUUACAAAUUUAUUUAUUAUAUAUAGAAGUUCAACACAUAGCCAAAUAACCUAAUUAUUAAUUUAUAUAGUAAUAAAAUAUAUAUUUUUCUACUAAAAAAUGAUAUAACGUGUACCAAUAAAAAGAGAUAUCUUAACUUUUAAAAGUUGAAGAAUAAAAUUGAUCAAUAAAUGCUAUAUAGAGGUCAUAGCUUAAAUUAGUCCAAAUAAAUGAGAUAAUAAUAUAUACUAUAAAAACAAAACAAAAAAAAGUGUAAUUGAUCUAAUCAAUUAAAAUAUAUACCUUAAAGAUUAUAAAAACAUUAUUGUUUAAUUACACCAUCAUAAUUGAGUUUACUCCUUAACAUUCCUUCAAAUAUAACUUACAAAGUUGAAAAGUUCAGUGCAUAAUAAAUGCAUAAUUUUUCACAUUCACCCUCAACCUUCAUAGCCACCAGCCCACCACUUACCCAGACAUUUAUUUUCACCCAUUCCCACACUGUGUUUGCUAACACAAAAAAACUAACUUAUAGUUUGUUGGAUUAGCUUAUAAGCUUGUUUUUGUAGAAUGAGACAUGUUUGAUAAAAAAAAAAAUUCAUUAGCUUAUAGCGUUUUUUGAGAAGUUAAUUCAAGUAGCUUUUGAGCUUAUAGCUUAUAGUUUUUUAUAUUUUCUUCCAAAUUUAACCUUUUAUUAAUUUAGUUUAAUUUAAUUUUAAUUAAAAAAACUACCCAUAACUGCCCACGUUUAGCAUCAUGAUAUGGCUUUUCAAUUUUUCUUGUUCACGUUCCUUUUUACAUGCUCUUAAUUCAAUGAUAGAUAAUUUUAUAUAAAAUUUACAAUAAAUAGUGAUGCAAGUUUAGUUGAGUAAAAUUAAUGAAAAGGAAGUUUUGUUAAAUAAAAAUUGUCAAUUGAAUUAAUAAAUACAUUUAUCAUUUAGGAGAUGAAAAUAUUUUGAAAUAAAUUUAAAUAUUUAAAAAGAAAUACAUUAAGUAUUAAAAAUUGUAUAUAUGAUUUAUAAAAAAAAAACACAAACAUGCCCUUUUACGUCAUUUUAUAUUUAUCAGCUACUUCAACAACUAAUUGUACCAAACACUUUUUAUUUUAAUAAGCUAACUUUUCAGCUAUAAGCCAUCAGCUAUCAGCUAGCUUAUCAGCUACCAGCUAGCUUAUAGCUUCUUUUUACCAAAUACACAUUUGAAAAUUUACACUCAUUUAUUGAGUGUUUCUACCAUGGUGCUAUUGAUACUAGGGAAAAUUACACAGACCUCCUACGAGGUCUCUUUAAACAACACAAACACCCUUUUUAGUUUUAUAAUAGACAUAAACCUCUCCUAAGAUCUUUUAAAAUAGAUAAACACCUCCCUUUGUGACUUAACGGAAACUUAACACCGUUUGUUUUUAAUUUUUAUAACUAAAAGGGAUAAAAAUUCUCCUCUCUGAACAAUGUAAACAGCAAACCUCACAAUAAUGAUUCUAUGAUUUUAAACAAGAAAAACAAGUCUUCUGUGAUGGACUGUGAAUCUCAAACCAACCCCUUUCAUGGUUGAGAAGUCUUUAGUUGCAGAAUUUCCUUCCCUUUCAAAGUUAUGUAGAACAAUUAGUGUUGUCGUGAAAUUCAUUGUGAAAAGAAAUUGGGUGUAAAUUUUGAUGACAAUACAUGAUAUCAUAAAAGUGUGGGUGCCUUGGUACCUAAAGAAAUUGUGCUGUGAGAUUUUACCCAAACUCUAUGUUUGGUGAUGUCGUUUUUGUGGAAGAUAUAUUGUGCAAAACAUAAAAGUUUGAGUUGGAAGAUUUCUACUAGAAGAGGUCUCUUUCACUAACGGCACACUGAGAGUAUAACAAAUUUGGUUGAUGAAAUCUUUUUGGUGGAAGAUGAUGCAAAACAUAAAAAGUUUGAGUUUUUCUUUUUAUUUUCCAAUAACGCCAGUUUAACACUGUUACAUUAAAGGGAGGUUAGUGUUAUUUGUGAAAAUAGAGGGGGUGUAAGUGACAUAUUAAUAUUAAUAUACUAAAGGGAGGUGAGUACAAUUUAUCCUUUAUACUAUCAUAUUUAUAUGUACUAAAGUUGUUUGUAUAUUAUUCAUUUGCACUUAAGUAAUUGUAUAUUCAUUAUUUUUUCAGGUUGAGAGAAAUAAAUUUCACCAUAGAUAUGAUGCUAAUAUAUGAAAAGGUAUUCUUGAUUCCUCUUAUAACUAUUGUUCAGUCAAAAUUGAUCUUUCACUUUUUUUGACAGGUACUGAAUUUUGACUUAAGUUGUAAAAAUGGUUCUAAAAACAAUCUCACAUAUAUUAUUAACAACACGCUUUAUUGACAAUUGGAAAAUAACAACAUGCUAAGUUUUAAUUUGGCAUUUUUUUUUAAACAAAAAUGUUAUAUUUGGAAAUGUGAUUUUUUUUCUUCCACUAAACAAACAAUUUCUUCAUUUUUAUUAAAAUAAUAAUAAUAUAAAAAUGAAAAAUUCCUUCUAUUUUUCUUAGUUCGGACAUAUGAAAAUUUUAACUUGUCAGACAGAGUUGUGAUCUGUGUGUUUAAAAAAUAUUUGUUGGAAGAUGUCAGCACCUUAAAUGACAAUCUUUUUUCUUUUUAAUCUUUGCUUUGAGCAAAUAAAUCACAUAAACAAAAGAUAACAUUUUUACAAAUAAAUCUCAAAACACAUGAAUGUGUAGACCACAUUAUAAGGUUGUAACUCAAUAAAAACGUUAAGAGAAAAUAUUACAAUAACAUUCAAAAACAUAAAAUAAAAAAAUAGUAAAACUUCAAUCUUAUGUUAUCCUUAUCUCUAUCUCUAUCUCUAUCUCUAUAUACAUGUAUUAUAAACUACACUUUGGUUACAUGACACCUCACCAAUACCCCUCUUUCUAACUAAUUUUCUAUAAGCAUUCACCAUGUGGCUCUCUCUUUUCCUUUUCCCUAUUUUCCAUCUAUCUAUUUAUUACUACAUAUUUACAUAUGUUAAUUCUUAUAAUUCUUAAAUAUGUAACUGAAAAUAGAGUGAGCUUUGUAACUCCUUCCACUAUUCAUUAAUUAAGGGAAUGUGAUAAUAAUAAUAAUUUUGUAAAAAAAUUACAAUAAUAAUAAUAACAAUAAUAAUAUUGGGUAUUGUUUACACUUUAAUAUUAGCGGAACUUAUUCAAACAUAAGUUUAUUAAGAUUCACAUUCAUGUUUAUAUUCUAAAUUUAAAUUUUAAUAUUUGUUAUUCUUUUAUGAAAAGGGUAAUAUUUGUUUUAUCUAUAAAUCUAAGGCUAUACUUUUUUUUCCUUCCCAUUCUUGCUUCUUCACGUGCGCCAUAUUCGGAUUAUAAAAUCUCAAAAAUUAGAGGAUUUUUGAAGGUAUUUUAAUGUGUUUUGGAGGGUCUAUAGGACGUUUUACAUUGUUCGGAUUAUAAAAUCUGAAACUCAUAUGACCUGUGAGAAACUAGUAGUUUUUCCACCCUCAUUUCUUCUUGUGUGUGCGCGUGAUUAAAAAAUUGACUCAAUUGUAAAGGUGUUUUUUCUUUUUUGCGGGUGGUGACGAGGAAAAUAUGAAAAUAGUUUGGAUAAGAUAAGAUGGGAGAAGGUGUGCUUAAUUAAUGUGUCAAGGUGGGUUUGGUGUCAAGAAUCUGGAGGUUUUCAAUACUUCAUCAUUGUCAAAAUGAUUCGAAGACGCUUCAAGAUAGUAUUUGUGGAAUGCCUCAAAUAUGCACCAUUGACCCUACUUUCUUCUUAAGAAAUUCAUCGAAAGACAUGUCCUUCCACUCUACAAUAGCAUGGGAUAAUUUUUCUGAAAUAUGUCCACCUGAAACCCACCCGGACCGAAGCAUAUCACUAUAAGAAUUCUCUAAGGCUUUGUUUGCAAGUUUGGAGAAGAAGUGAGGGGGUUUUUAGAGAAAAAGAAGAAAGAACAAGUGGAAGAAAUAAAGUACAUUGAAAAGAGAGGGGUUUAGGCGUUAAUUUUUCUUCAUAAUACAAAACCCUCCUCAUUUAGGGAACUAAAGAGUUGUAUUGGAGGAGAGUUUUGGACGGUUUAUAUGAAUUCUUCAAAUUUAAUUUAUACUGUUAUAAUAUUAUUAAUAUUAAAAAUAUACGAAUCAUAAAAAUUCGUUUAUCAUUUUCUAAAAUAAUACUCUUUCAAAAAUAUGUGAAAGAUUUCUCCAUUUUUCUCUAUAAUUUUCACCUCUUAGAGUUUUUCCUUCCCCUCCCCUCCAAACGCUCAAACAAAUUCUAACAGUGAAGUGUUGUCAAAUCUAAAGCCAUCAAGUCUUACCAAUACCAAAUGGAGAAAUAAGUAGAGGGUGACGACAAAACAAGUUUAUCUGAUCUAGCACAUUGGCAACUACAUUGAAACCCCUAACCUUCAUCAUCAUUUGCUAAGGUUCUAUCCAAUCCAUCCAAUGUCUAUAAAAGAAAAAAAUUAUGAUGGCUCAAUCAAUGAAGGUUGUGUGUCUAGUUGGCAAAGAGUUGACAUUUUAAAAUAUAUCAUAUUGUCAUUAAGAUCUUUGACAAUUUAGUAGGUGUAAAAGUAUAUUCUCAGUUUUUAAAGAGUGAUUUGUUUAUAGAAUACAUCAUCCAUCUUAAAUUAUACUUCUUCCGUCCUAAAUUGUAUGACGUUUUGGACAUUUCACACAUAUUAAGAAAUGUAAUUAAUAUUGUGUGGGAAAGAGAUAUUAUGAGUUGUUUUACAAAAUUAUCAUUAAUAAAUGAUAUGGGAAAGAUAAAUGAAAGAAUUGAAAAAAGAAAGAGUAAUAAAUAGUUAAGGAUAUAAUAGAAAAAAUAACAUUAAUGUUUCAUUGGUAUUCUAAAGUGACAUACAAUUUGAGACGAAUAUUUUUUCUAAAGUGACAUACAAUUUUGGACGAAGGGAGUAUGUAGUUUUAAAAAAAAUCAUAAAUUAUAUAUCAUUUUACAAUAUCGACGAAGUAUUAAUGUUAUUUUUUUUAUUAUAUCCUUAAUUAUUAUUACUAUCUCUUCUUUCAAUUAUCUUUCUCGUAUCAUUUAUCAAGGAUAAUUUUGUAAAACAACGCAUAAUACAUUUUUCCAACACAAAAUUAAUUACACUUUAUUAAUAUUUACGUGUGAAAUGCCAAAAUAUCAUAUAAUUUAGUACGGAUGAAGUAAAUGAUCACAGGAAAAGAAAAAGAAAAAAGAUGUUUACAAGGUCAAAUUUAACAAACAAAAAUGCCCAAAUACAUGAACGAAGUACAUGAAAAUGAAAAGAAAACAAUGGCAAAUUACUAUUAAACCCCUGGACUGACUCAUCAAGAGAGAUGAUGCAUGAGCGAGUCUUGAGUCUGACGAAGUAGAGUAACUAACCGUUCUUGCUUCUCCAUGUUAUGACACGUGUCGUAAAAAAUGGAUCUUAAGAAAACAACAAACACCAUCGUUCGUAACCACCUUUUCCCCCCCACUCUCUCUUUCUUCGCAUUUUCAUUUUUUUCAUUUGCACGCAAAGCAACAACACCAUGAUGACGACGUUUUGGUUCUCUCUUGCGGUUGUACUUCUCUUGUGGUCCCCACCGUCUUCCUCCGCCGCUACCAUCAACGAUGAGAUAGCUAAGAAUCUAAUUAGAAACCUCAACCUCUUCCCUUCUCACGAUAUCAACAUACUCGACGCCAAACCCAAUGUGGAGGAGAAUCAGAACAACAACAAGAUCAUCGUUGAGAAGCCGCUUAAGUUUCCAAAUUUCUCCGGCGAAUACGACGAAGGAGUUUGCAUUGAUGACUUGGCUCAUCGUGCUGGAUAUUAUCCCAUUCAACACUCUCAUGCUGCUAAGUAAUUCAUAUUCCAUUUUUUCUCUUUCUCAUUUUCAAUUUUGUUAUUAUUUUAAUUAUUUUUUGCAACUCUUUUUCUUCUGUUUAUUUAAUUAGUAAUUGCUUAAAGUAUUACUUUAUUUAGUGAAUCAUUAAAAUAAUUAUAGAUUAUGUUCUCUAACUGACCCUGGGAUUUGUCUUCAUUGAAUUUAAUUGUUUAAUUUUCUCUGUAUCGUUUUGUGGAAUAGCAAUGUUGGAGAACACACAGAAUUUGUGUAUAUAAUAAUAUAUCUAUGGAUUUUAUUCAAUGUAAAGUUGUUUUAUAAAAUGUUUUGAGUAUUUACACCUUGAAAUUAAAUAGACUCUUGAUUUUGAAUUAUGUUGAGCAACUUGAUCAUUCUGUUGGCUUGUAUCUAAUUUACAGUCAAAUUAGUUACAUUAUUAUCGCAAAUGUUAGACGUGUAAAUGUCCGACCCCCUACAAUUUCAACAGGUGAAUUGGUAAUUUACUUAUGUUUUAUAUUAUCACUGACUCAAUCAUAGUUGUCUCAUAAUUAAUAUUGUUUUUAUUCAUAAUUACUUUCAAAACUGUUCAUGUGAUUGGUUGUGAUUUGUUGAGAGUCUAUACAAAUUUAACUUUUAUUACUAUGUUUUGGUUGUUUAUGUGCAGGAUGUUCUACUUUUUCUUUGAAUCCCGGAAAAACAAGAAGGAUCCUGUUGUGAUAUGGUUGACAGGUGGACCUGGCUGUAGCAGUGAAUUGGCUGUGUUUUAUGAAAAUGGCCCUUUCAAAAUUGCUAACAAUUUGUCCCUUGUAUGGAAUGAAUUUGGUUGGGACAAGGUAUUUAUAUUGUUAUAUUUGUUUGUUGUCUUGUGUUGUGUCAUUCAAUUAACUGUUUUUCCUAUAGUUUUGGUUUCUUGUGAUCAGUAUUUAUUGGACAUAACUAAUUAAUUGGUAACCUUGUAGGUAUCUAACCUCCUCUAUGUUGACCAACCAACUGGAACUGGCUUCAGUUACACUACCGAUAAGCGUGAUAUUCGUCAUGAUGAAGAUGGUGUCAGCAAUGACCUCUAUGACUUUUUACAGGUACUUGUAUUUUCUUCAAGUGUUAUGUUAGUUAUUCAAAACAUCGGUGCAUUGGCCCUUUUUUAUUAGCGUAAACGCUCAUCAUAUUAGUGCUUAUGUAUAGGUUAUUUUUAUAACAAAAAAUAAAAUAAAGUCAAGCAAUUUUCAUAUAAGUCGAAAACAACUUUUGGACAUGUCAUAAGUUGUUUUCAUAAGUUAUCUCAAACAGUCGCACAAGUGCUUAUUUUUAGUAGAUGAGGUCAAACAAGUAAUCCAAACAGAACCUUAAUAUGAUAUACUUGACUUAUAUUUAUUGUUCUAUGAACAUGAGUUGUAUUUACAGACUUGUUUUCAUUUCCUUACAUUUCUUGGUCGCUGUUCUUUGAAAUGCAAAACAUAUUGUUUCUUAGUUAUUGUUAUAUUGGAUAAGAGCACCUUGCUAAGCUUCACCUGUGAUAUCUUGAGAUAACAUGUUUUUUCUUUUCCCUACAGGCCUUCUUUGGUGAACAUCCCGAAUAUGCUACAAAUGACUUUUUUAUCACGGGUGAAUCAUAUGCCGGACAUUAUAUUCCGGCUUUUGCUGCUCGUGUCCACAAGGGAAACAAAGCUAAAGAAGGGAUUCAUAUAAACUUGAAGGUUUGCUACUUUGUCAACCAUUCUAUUUGAGAUACAUAUUGAAGGGUAUGAAAUCUUGUUUAUCUUAUUUGAAAUGGUUGAACAGGGAUUUGCCAUUGGUAAUGGACUCACUGAUCCUGCAAUUCAGUAUAAAGCUUACGCAGAUUAUGCACUAGACAUGGGUGUAAUUAAACAGGCUGACUAUGACCACAUCAACAAAGUGAUGGUUCCAGCCUGUGAAUUGGCAAUCAAACUAUGUGGUAAUUGACACGUGAUGUUGUUUCUUUAUCCUUUCAAUCAAUAUAACGUUUCUUCUCAUAUAUGUAUGCUGGAAACUAAGGUUCUUAUUGAAAUGAACAAACUCAUGCAUUGGAGUAUUUCUUUCUUUCUUUCUUUGAAAUGAAUGUAUUUUGAGUUCAACCUCCUUGCACAGUUCCAAAUAUCCAAUUUUAAAUUUGAAUCUGAACAUAGAUUUUUUAAAUGGAUCAAUCAUAAGGUUCAAUUCAUGCUCAGGCUUGCUAUUUUUUUUUAAGUAAUUUAAAACUUACUACAGUUAUUUUAUUUAAACUGCAUAUAUGACCUAUAUAUAAUUUAACGUGUCUUAUCAUAUAAAUACAUAUUUAUCUUAAUAUUAAAUGUAUAUUGCAAUCCAAAUUUGGUGUAUGAUAGAACACUAUGGCAUCAUUUGAUCCAUGUAGCCAACCCCACUUAGUGGGAUAAGGCUUGGUUGUUGUUGUAUUAAAUGCAUAUUGCUAUUCUUAUAUUGUUAUCUAUUUGACAUUAUAUGAAUUUCUUACAAAAUUUUACAUGUACCGCGUUAUAGUUAAAUGAACUGGUUUACUAUUUCCAGUCAUCAUGGCACCUUAUAGUAAUUUUUACUAUCCUGAUUAUUCAUGUAAUUGAAACAUCGAAGGACCAGAGGUCUCUGCUUCACUCUCAUGGUAAACUAACUAGCUUUUGUUAUGUUUCUUCUUAAUACUUAUUUUAAUCCUUUCAGGCACAGAUGGAAAAAUCGCAUGCACAGCUUCGUAUUUUGUUUGUAAUACUAUAUUCAAUUCCAUCAUGUCACAUGCUGGUGAUAUCAAUGUGAGUAACUCAGUUACUUCAUCUUCUGUGUGGUUUACAUGUCAUAGUACUUUAUUUUGUUAAGUUUACAGUGUGCCGAUGAACCUAAUAAUUAAGAGUAAGUUGAUAUUUGCAAGCCAUCAAUAGCUAAUAAUUAAUUACACAAGAUGAAGCAUGAUCUAAAUUACAAGCUUAUUUGCAGACUUCAUAGAAAUUCUGAUACUGUGUUAAAGAGUCACUCUUCCUAAAAAGCUUUUUGUUGUAAGUGAGAAGUGAAGAAGAUUUUAAUUGUGUCUUGAACAAAUUGUUGCUAUCUGUCACUUUUUGCUUUGCUUCCCAAAAUAAUUUCUUGUGGAAAAAAUAGUCACCCACACACCAUAUUAUGUUGUAGUAACAGGUUAUCAGGUUAUGUUUAACAUGGUUAAACAUGUGAAACAUUUUCCCGCAAUAUAAAUUGUCUUCCUUAUGCUGCUGCUUAAUAUUUAAAUUAUUAGGCAUUUGUCUUGACAUUUAUGGAGAAUGUGAAGUCUUGAAAGAACAUGGAUGUUCCAUAUUUAAAAUUUUGACCAGCAAUUAUUAACUUGUGGUGCAGUACUACGACAUCCGAAAGAAGUGUGAUGGGAAUCUUUGCUAUGAUUUUUCGAACAUGGAGAAAUUCCUGAACCAAGGAUCUGUUCGGAAGGCACUAGGGGUUGGUGAUAUUGAUUUUGUGUCGUGUAGUUCUACAGUUUAUCAGGCUAUGCUGGUGGAUUGGAUGAGGAAUCUUGAAGUCGGUAUUCCUGCCCUGCUUGAGGAUGGAAUCAAUUUGCUUGUUUAUGCUGGGGAAUAUGAUCUCAUCUGCAACUGGCUUGGUACGUAUUUAUCCAUGGCCAGAUUUUAGAUCUGUUUUGAACUAUAACAUUUCAUACUUGAACCUUUAAGGUGUAUUGAUGAUUUUUUUUUUUUUUUUUUCCGGUAAUAUUCAACGAAUAGGUAAUUCGAGAUGGGUUCAUGCCAUGGAAUGGUCUGGCCAGAAAGAAUUUGCAGCCUCAUCCGAAGUUCCUUUCACAGUUGAUGACUCAGAAGCUGGAGUAUUGAAGAAUUAUGGACCUCUUAGUUUUCUAAAGGUAUCAUUCUCUAUAUAACUCUUCCUUUUCUUUUGGUGCAAAAAGAUGGCAAAGCCCAAUCAAAACAUUAUAUAACUCUAAUCUCAAAUGAACACACCCCAUACAUAGGUACAUUACAUAUGUAUGACUGUCUUCCAAAAUCAAAUAGGAAGUUAUCAUUGUUGUGUAAGCUAUCCAUCAAUAUUAUAAGAAAUGUGUCUCUUGAGGUAAGGAGUUUUUGUGUUAUUUGGUUUGCUGUUGCUGUGCUGUGAGGGCAGUCAGGGUGCGAAAAUCCUGCUGGUGUGUGGCUGGUUUUUUGUUUUUUCAAGAGGAGUUCCUUUGCAUCAGUACUGGGAGGUAUAGAGGUGGAGUUUUUGGUGUGGCUGGCUCGGCUAAUAUGCUGUUAGCAGCAGUGCAGUGUUCGUCUUUUUUUCAUCUUGUUUUCGGUUUGGAGUAGUGAGGCACGGGUAUGCUUACGUAUCCGGAUGUUGCCGGGUUGCUACCCGUAUGUAUAUUUUGUCCUCAUUAUUAUCUAGGAGGAUAGGGGUGCUUGGUUUUUGUAGGUGUUCCGUAUAUAUGUGGCACCGUUUGCUUGUAUUUUCCGUUUUUUCCGCGAGUGUUUAUGCUUCUUGCAUUUUCUCGCCGUGAUUAAUAUUUGCCGUUUCAAAAAAACAUAUAGAGCCAGUUUGGAUAAACAUUUCAUCAAGUACUUUUGGAGAAUUAAAUAUCGAAAUAACCUUGUAAUACAAAUAAUGGCAUCUCAAAUAUAAGUUAAAAUUAGUUUCUGCUUCUUAAUUGUUCAGAAACUCUUGUUUAACUUUUUUAUAGCCACAUGUGUUUAUAAAAACGACUCCAUUUAGUGGGAUAAGACUUGGUUGUUGUUGUUGUUGUUGUUGUUGCCGCACAUGCGAUCAUAAAGAACUCUGUCUUUUAGAUGUAAUCUAGACCGUGUCUAUAAUUCAUUUACUACCAAAUUUCCGCAUAGAUUGGUAAAUCCUGACUCAGUUUGGUAUUUGUGUAACAAAAAACAGGUUCGUGAUGCUGGUCAUAUGGUUCCAAUGGACCAGCCCAAAGCUUCCUUACAAAUGCUGAAGAAGUGGACUCGGGGAACCCUUUCCAAAUCUGGAGCUGAUGAGGAAAUAUUGGUUGCAGAGAUGUAAUCUCUUCUUGCAAUUAGUCUAACAUCAAUUUGAUGAAAUGAAAAGAGAACUCCAACUAGUGGGAUGUUUGUUCUACUAAACAAAAUUCAUACCAUCUUAAGUGACAGAAUCAAGGCAAUGCAAGAAAAGAAUGAUUUAUAUAUAAUGUUAUGUCUAUAUAUGGUGUUUUGGUAAAAUCUGAUGUGUAGGUUGCUUACUCCCCAAACUACAAUCUAAUGUUUAAAUAGAAUGCAAACAAUAUAAGGAGUUGACGUAUUUAUUUAAUAAACAAUAUAUUGUUUAAACGUGUUUCAAAGUUAAUAUUUAUAGUAUUAUUUGGGUUGGGUCCGGUGACUGACGUGACUACACUUCAACAAUGUGACGAACCAAUAUUCAAAUUUUGGUUGGGAGAGGUAUUCAUGUUUAGUGUCCAACGUCUCGAUUAGAAUUACCUCCGAUUGAGAAAACUUAUUAAAAAAAAUUAAAAUAGUUGUAACUAUAAGAUAGGUACCAAAUGUUUCACCAAAAAAUGUUAUAAUCUCAUUAUAAGUUUCAGUUUUUGUGUUUACCUAAAUUUUUGUAUCAAGAAAGUACAUAAAAAAAACUAAUAAUUUAUUCAAAAUCUAAAUUUUACCUAACUAUAUUCUUUUAUAACUUAAAUGAUUUAAUUUGUAUGUGCAGUAAUUAUAACUAUGUUUUGUUAGACAUAGAUUCACUCACAUUUUAUUAUAUAAAUAUUUUGAAAACAACAUAACAAAGUGAUAUUAUUAAUCACAAUUUACUAUUUAGAUAUAUUUUUUAGACAAUUUACUUUUUGGAUAUUUUUUAUAGAAUUUUAAGAAAUACAUAGUAUGAUAUAUUUACACGUUUACUUACAAGUUACACAUAUUUUUUGACUGGUUAAUAUGGCAGAGAUUAAACAUUGUUAUUAGAUCACAAUAAAUGGAUAGAUAUAAAACACUGUAAUGUAUUUAUGAGUGUGCACGUAGAAGCAAACGGAUAAAAUAAAAGAAUUUAGGAAAGUUGCAGAAGAAGCAAAAUGAUGAUGUCAUUUGGCCUUGGAAUCUCUACGAACUGCAGCUGGUUGAGAUGUCACGCCCGAAUGCCUCCUUCAUGUUCCAUGUUUUCCCAUGUUUCAAUGUCUUCUUCACCUUCUUCUUGUUCCACCUUCAACUCUAAAUCUAAUAAUAAGCUCAACUGGACUCCAAUAAGAGCAUCCUCUGAAGGUUUGUCUUAUUUGAGUGUAUAACAUAAGUUAUUUUCAGCUUAUUUCCAUGAGUUGGAUAACUUAUGAAAAUAAUUUGACUUUAUACAUAAGAACUUGUAUGAUGUGUACUUCAUGUUAUAAACACUUGAACUUGAUUAAACUAUUUAUCCAAACAUGGAUGGAUGGUCUUGUUGCUUUAGUUUAUAUUCUCAUUCCUUGAAAGUUAUUUGCUUAUCAUGCAGGACUUCCUAAUGAGUUAGUUGAAGAUUCAAAAUUUGUUCCUAUAAAUGUUGAGGAUCCUAGAUACGGUCCACCUGUAAGUCAUGGUUAGUUUUCACUCAUUUGAAAUGUGAUGUUUAUCUGUCAUGACCAAAUGAUUUUCAACAUAAACACUUCUGCAGAAAUCUCAUAUGGGGGAUACUUUGUCCUCACUAUAUGUAUUUACCUUUGAGAGUCUAAUUUGAGUAACUUUUUUUUGUGAAAGAAUUUUCAAUCAAUCUAACUUAAUUAGGACCAAAACUUAGAAUGGUUGUCGAACCCAUUCAUACGUAGCUAAGCGCAGGGGUUUCUUUUAUUUUGCAGGCCUUAUUGUUGUUGGGAUUUGAAGCAGAUGAACAUUUUAAGGUGAUAUUACCAUCAUCCAUGCAAUAGGAUAUGAUAAUCCUUGUAAAGAAAUGUUGUUGUAGAUUCAUAUACUUUGUUAGUCUUGAUAGAUUUUACCUUAAUCAAAUGAUUUAGAAAUGCCUUCAGCUGUGCCUUUUCCUCGAUCUCUCUUUUGUAUCCCGUAAUAUUAAGUGUGUGUCCGUCCUGAUCAACAUACAUGAAUUUCUAAGUCAAUCAUUGCUCUGAUUAUUGUCUAUGCUUUCAAGAUGACCCAAAAUGAUUGAUAGAGCAACUCUUCUUGAAAAAUUUUAUACUAAGGAAAUUUCUACAUGUAAAAUGUUACAAGUACAGCAUGAAGUCUACUUUAUAAUAGUAUUAUUGUUUGCUUAUAGUGAAUUACAAAAUGGAUAUAGGCAGAAGCUUACAAUGAUUAUCUAGUGACAUCUUUCUCUAGAUAUAUUAGCAUUCAAUUACUUAGCCACUAUAUUAUUUUACAUCUUUCCAAAUGGGUCAUUCAAUCAUAGUUUAUUUGAGCUUGUGCAGAUUCAACAGUUUUUGAAAGAGUUAGAGGGUGAAUUCCUGAAGGUAACAAACAUCUUAUUUAAUGUCUUUUAUGUUCAUAUUUUAUUCGCAAAGCAAGAUCAAUAAGUAAAAUCCUAUUAAUAGCAGGGAGAGAGAGAUUAGUUAUUUGAUUAUUAUUUCCAACAGUCUGAAUAAACAAAGAUUUUUCCACUUUAAUGGUCAAAGAUUGUUCCGAUGCAUAACAACUACUUCUUUCAAUCUAUGGUGACUUCUUUGACCUCGAUAAUGCAAUAAGCUACUCUUAAAAAAAUAAUAGAAAAUGUAACAUAUUGCAUUGCAUUGUAGGUCAUCUAUUGUACCAAGGACAUGCUUACGCAUUCACUUUGGGAUGUAAUGCAUACAACACAAGAGAGUUUAGAAGAGGUCAAGGUAGAAUUUUUUGAACACCAAGUGAUGUACUAUUUUCAUCUAACUUGUGCUCCUUCUAAAUCUGUUCAUGAAUUUGUAGUUUUGUACUAACAGAUAUAUUGAUUUGUAGAAAUGAAUUUGUGAUGAGAAUAAGCUUCUCCAUUGUGAUUUUUGACAGCCAUUUCUUAUAAUUUCAUCAUUUAUUUGCAUCAAUUUUUAAGCAGGUGCUCAUGGUUAACUGAUUAUAGGUUUUCCGAUAUCAAAUUUAUGGAGAAUUAUCAUUUGUCUAGAGUGAUUAUAAAAUCUAAUUUUCUAAGCAUACCAAUCAAGAACUUUGUAGCAACGACUAAAUGAUGUUAGUUAAUAAAUAUGUUUCUAAUGUUCGAAGACCUUUUUAGCGUGUAGCAAUAUUUCUCUUUUCUUAAGUAGUGAGAUGACAUCCCUUACAUUCCUAAAUUAUAUUCAAAUCUCUGCACAUGUUCAGCAUUUUGUGCCUUGCAUUGCAGAUAGACAAGUCACUUCCACGAAUAUGUUUCUUAUCUGGUUUAAGUGGAGAGGAGACGAUGAUGUUCGUUGAUGCUUUCCCUGAAACUGGUAUAGAAAAUCUGUUCAGUGCUGAAGUGUUUAAGUUUAACACAUUGAUCUUAUCAAUUAUGCCUUUUGGUCUGUUAACAUUGAAAUCAUAAAUAUUUCUCUCAGUUUGGCACAUUUCUGUGCAUGAAUGAUAGAUCUACUGGUUUAGUGUUCACAUGUAAUUACUGCAAUUUGAAAAUUGUUUUAUGCAGGACUAAAACCAGCCGCGUUUGCGGCUCUUGUUCCCAACAGUGCUAACAAACCACUAUAUGAGUUGAUAGAAGAAAUCACGGGAGAUCAUGAGAUGUUGGUAGGUGUUUAUUUUCUAGUGUCAAUGUUUAUCACUAUCUUCUAGUUUAUAGUUAUGUGAAAUUGUCUUUUAUCAUGUGCAGACCGGAGAACAGUUGUGAUAAAAUUCCCAGUGAAUUCUAGGAGCACACUCGCGGAGCAUACGCAUUAUCAAUAUGAAUGUACUUAGAUUUGAAGUGUAUAAAAAACUAAUUCCAAAGAUUAUUCAAGUUAGCAAUUGAUUGUUUAUGUCUUUAUGAGCAUAUGCCUACUGGAACUGGAAAAUAUGGACGAGUCUUUUGUUAUUUGAAAUUUUCAAAAAAAUUGAAGAUGUUCUAAAUAAAUCUGGGUAUUUAUUUAUUUUAUUUACGAAAUGCUACUAAUAGUCCCUCACUCCUAUACGUCAUCUUAACAAAACUAUCUCAUUUUAUGUCUUUUUACAGUAUAAUGAAGUAUUAGUGUCUCUGUUCCUUUUUGGCAUAAGUAUUAGUGCCUCCUCUUUUUAAAUUUUUGGCAUAGUAUAAUGGAACACUAUAUUUAGUACUUAUGAUAUUAAUUGUAUUUUAAAUUUAUGUAUUGAAACCUUGAACAACUUAUAAUAAGAGAGAGUAUACCAAGAUAUUGAACAAAAAAGAGACAUCAAAUCUUCUAUUGACAAAAGAUAAAGGAAAAUGAUAAAUGGUACGAUUGUAAUGUCUACGAAGUUUCACGAACGAGCGGAUUUUGAAAUGUUUCACCUUAUAUGAGCACCUCUAUAUCAAUCUUGUCGGAUUCUUCCAAGCUAACACAUGUUUUUAAUUGACGCUUUAUAACACAUGAUGAAAUUGAUUUCUAAAAUACUUCUCUUCCAAAUUUCUAGUAAGGUGGUUGUAUUUUUUUAUGUUUAAUUUAAUCUACUUAAUUUUAAAAAAAUAAAAAAUUCGUGAAAUUUCAAAUGAAAGACUUACGUACUAUUUAGCAGUAAAAAUUUGAAUACAUCAUAAGUAUGUUCGUGCUCUAUUCUCUAUUCGUAACAUGUUUUGGCUGGUUUUUAGUAAAGAAUGAACAUUAUCUUAUUGAUUUUUUUUGUGAUUUUUUUUUCCUAUUCUCAUUAUCUUACUAAUUAACUAUUACUCCAUGUUCUUGUUCUUUUAAAUUUGUUUUAGACAAACACGAUUGUAUUUAUUCCAUUUAAAUUUUUUAAAUAUACCCUAAUUUGAUCCACUUAUCUAUUUACUUUCUUUUCAUCAAUAUAGGAUUAAAUAAUUAAUAAAUAUAAAAGUAUAAUUGGUAACAAAGCAACGUAUGGUUGGAUUCAAACUAAUAUUUGAUGAUACAACCAAAAGAGAUCUCUUAUCAUCUCAUUCAAAUGCUUUUGGAUUCUCAGAUGCUCAAUUCAACAUCAAUUUAUCUUGUAAUGAUAAAGAGAGAACGACAAAGUGUAUGACAUUAUUGGUAAUCACUUUGUUUUGGUUGAUAUUUCCUCUACGAUUGUUAACUUGAUUUCAGUACAGUAUUUCGUCUGGGAUGUUUCAAUUGAGGUGAGAAAGAGAUUAUUUUUUCCCCUAGCCACAACAACACCUUCCUUCCAUGUCAUCUUGUUCGUAAUCAUUAAUUAGAAUUUUCCACUUACUGGCGGCUUGCUUUGAAGCAUUCAUGGAUAUUUGAAAUCUGAAGGCAAAUUGGCAAAAUCUUACGAGGCAUAGUUUGUAAACUCAUGAGUGAAUGAGUACAUGGUGAUGGGGAAAAAUGAAACUGAAACAGCGACAACGAAUCGGCAUGGUUUGAGCAAGCUACAUGUGGCAGUGAGAUAUGUUGGGGAGAAAAGAACUAAAGAGAUCGCAUGUACUUAUUUAAUCCAACAGUUAAAUGGAACUUAAUUGAACCGGUAUAUUAGUGAGGGACUUAAUUGAACCCUCACCUUAGAAGCCACAAUUGUAUUCCGUAAAAAAAGAAGUUAAUUCUUGUGUUUUGUGGGCUAAUAUAUCGUGGAGUAAAGUAAUUCUGAAUGUAAAAAAAUAUGUAGAAAUGAAACAAUCAAAACGUUAAUGAAAGGACAUUAAACACUGUGUCCUACAAUCAUUUGCAUAAAUAAAUGCAAUUCUAUGUCAAAAUUUCCUCUGACAAAGCUAAAAAAUACAACCCCAGGAAACCCUGUCACCACUGAAAUAGUUGUGAUUGGAUUGAAUGGACGAAUCUACAUAAUUCCUGUCACAAACAUACAGCACCGCUACAAUAUACAAAGGCCUAGUGGACAAAGGAUGAGGUGAAAUAAUGCCGUGGUCAUCUGAUUCUCUUCCACAUCAGAAUCUCUGUAGUUUUAUGGAUAACGGCUCUAUCAACUAUACUAUACAUUCAAUAUAUAUCCACCCGCAUUAAAAAUUAUGAUUGCAUGCCACAGCAUCAGUGGCAAAUAUGUUCUCAAAAUCUAGGGAAGGAAAGGAAAUUAAUUCCCUUUACCUUAAUCACGCUACAGAGGGUCAAGGGAUCCACUUUUCAGCCGUUCCAUCCGUGCUUGAAGCCCUGACAAAGCUUUUUCAUCUACAGGAUGUACCCCACCUUGUAAAGUAUUUUCAGCUCCAACAUGUUCUGAUGCAAGAGGAAUCUGACUAUGAGGAAGUCCAUGGUUAAAGUUAUCGUUAACACUUGUCAAUGGCCUAGUACCAGAUUCUGUGCUCCCAGCAGCAGCUGCUAAUUGCAUGCUCUUCAUUCUCUCUCUGAUUGCAUCCAAUGUCCCACUUGUUACUGCAGUUGAGUAACCUCUCCAAGUCAAUAUUCUUUCUUUAAAAUAAACAAUUACGAAAAACAAAACUUACCAUACCUCCGGUCAUAAAUUUAUCAUUUCUUUGGUCACCUAAGGUGUAAUCAGAACUUAACACUCUCGAUGCAAAGGCAUUCACAGCCCUAUUCUCCUCACUGUAUGAUGAUGGCGGUAGAUUGAAAUUUGUUGGUUCGGAUUUCACAUUUAAUCUGGCGUCAUUCAAUGAAUUUGCAUUUACAGGAGAGAGGGGUGCAAAAUCUGGGGAAGAUAUAUUUAAAGAUGCUGGUGGAGGAGUCGGCAUUGGCAUGCUUGACGGAGUUCUUCCAGCUGCAGCAUUCUUCGCCAUCUGCCGAAAUGUUAAAAUCAAUUGCCAAUUGUCAAAUACUCAACUGUACUCGUCACAAUCAUAAACAUAGAAAUAAUAAUGCAGGUUCAGUUAAGCACAUAAGUAUUUUCAUCAACCUGGGCAAGACCAUCUCUGAUGUAAGUGCGAAAUGCCUCACUGGCAUUUUGAAGCUGAUCAAAUAUGUCAACCUAUGGUAAACCAAGAACCUUAAUCAAAUAUAAGAUAAAUAAAAGAAUACAAGCCAGAGGUUUAUUGAUAUGUGAAAAAUAACAUGAAACUUGAAUAUACACUUAAUUUGAUACCUCUGGGUACAAUUGAGUAAUCCGAUAAAGUUCAUAUAGACCAAUUGUGCAAGUUUGCUUCUCCCCGAUCUUCUUAAAUAUUGCAGCCAACUCUUGCUGCAAUUUAUUUAUUUUCAAGUAUAGAAACAGAAGACAAUGAAUGUUAGGUCAUUGCAGUUACAAUCAUAUAUGUAAUAACUCAUACAAGCACAAAAAACAGGUAAAACUGAUUAAAUUGAGAUAUAUAGACAUAGAAAGCACAAAGUGGCAUUAUUGUAUACCUAGUAUGCUUUUAAUUACUAAAUUUCCAAGUAUAAUAGCAUAAAAGUUUGAAAAACUAAUUAUAAAAGCUAAAGAUUAAGUACAUCCUAACUUUAUUCAAGAUAAACUUAAUGCAGGGAAUAAAACUAAACAUCGGUGACAAAAAAUUCAAAAAUAUUUCUUGCAUAAAAUAGAUUAUUUUAGUAGACUAUAAUGUGAAGGUUUUUACGACCUUCUAUACAUUAGAAUACAAUCAAACCUAAUUCACACCUUAAGGCAUCAUAAAAUUAUCCAUUAUAUUCAUGUAUAAGAGACGUUUAUACUAUUGAAAAAUUCGUGAUGUAUUUAAUUUACAAAUAGAAAAUGCCAUUGCCUAAGGAAGCAUGCAUGCCAUCCGAGCACUAAUUGUGAUACCCAAAACACUAAGAAAUACCUUCAACUGGGCAUCAGCAGAAUGGGUUCCAGCCGCUGAGUUAUUGGUUGCUGAAUCAUUCCAAUGGUUUGGCCCCCCGGGUCCAGAUGCAGUCAACAUUCUUGCAGCAGCCAAAGUCUGAAGUUUAAGUGUAAGAAAGAACAUAUAUUAACACAUGUAUAUAAAGCCCCCCCAAAAAAAUCAAAUGCCUACCUCAAGAUUAAGUUCAAUGUAAGCAAGGAUGAUGGGUUGAGGUUUCGUAUCGAUAGGAACCAUUGAGAGAUGACCCUUAAUUGCUGCACCACGAAGCUUAACAAGCUCGUGCAGAACAGUUUUCACCAUUCGUAAGGGUUUGUCAUCAGCACCGGCCCUGUUAAAUUGAAACAUUUUAUAAAAAUGAUUUAGUCAAAUAGAAGUAACUCGAUGCAACAACAAUGGCUAUAGCUAUGUACCUUCUCCUAAUUUCCUCCAUUCCCAAGUCUUGCAAGUACAGAUGGAUGCUUUGAAGUAUGCGAUCCAAGUCAACAUCAUAGAUGGUGCUCUGAAGGACCUGAAUUGCAUCAAAAUGCAUGUGAAAUAAUGCAACCAAGUUUUAAAGAUCAAGUCUAUCUGAACGUAAUUUUGUAAAUUUCAGCUGAGUCUUGACAUGAAAAAUUCGGUCAAUUAUCAAUAGAACUGUAUAAUUUAAGAUUUUUGCUACUGGGUGGCAAGUUACCUUUGUAAGCUUGAUAAGGCAUUUCACAACCAGAUCAGAAAACUUCUGGUUUCUGGUAGCAAGUGACUCAUUUGGUGCAGGUGAAGGCCACCUCGAUGGAUCUAGCGGACGUAAAAGAUUAAUUAGGACAACAAAGGAUGAAGUUCGAUCUGCAUUAUCCUGUAAUGAUGAUCACUAGUCAGUAAACUAACUUGCAUUUGUUAUUUUCAGUAUAAAAAAACACAUUAUCAUUACUACCAUGAUAUGAAGUUUCAUUUCAAACAAAAGGGCAAAUAAAAUAAAUCAAUUAAAAGCAAGUCUCUUACCAGAAUCUUAAGCAUCAAUACAUUCAAUGCUUUCAACAACUGGCUUCCAUCAUCCAUGCGUGGAACAUUAUCAUCCAAGAGCCACAGAAGAAGCUCUGUAAUGAGGCUAUCAAGAGUGCUCUCUUUUACAGCAUGUGCUAAUCUUUUAUUUUGAAAAGUCUGUAAAGGGGUUGUAAAUAGAAACAAUUACUAAAAGACGCAAUAAUCUCAAUAUACACUGAAGAAAAACGGAAAAUACAUUUACCUGCAUGAGAGUGUUGAGCACAUAUUUACAGGACCGCGAUGAAGCCCCACUCAAACUGAAAUCAAAAGUUUUUGCAACCUAUUUGAAAUAGCAAAAGAAACAUUAAUACUUCAUGAUUUCUCUCCAAACAAAGGGGAGUUAUCGACAAAACUAUCUUGCCUUAUCUGCAAGGCAUGAAACUAGCCUAUCUGCAUCCUUAACGAGUUCAUCCAUGGCAUUGCCUUCUGGAUCACUAGUCGCCUGAGCCAACUCAUGGCAGACAACUUUCAUUCCUUCAACAGACUGCAUCACAGAAAUUAUUUUGAAAACAGAUGUAAAAGCACCAUUUUCCAAAACCAAAAUGGGAAUAGGAAAAAAACUCCAACAAUGUAUCAUGUAUCUAUAUGUGUGAAAAGAAUUGCCAAUUUUCAAAGUGGAUGACUAAUGCAAGAAUUAUUGUCCCACAAAUAAUAUUAAGAUAUUCAAAAUAACAGCAAGAGGCUGCUAUGUCAUCCACCUGCUCAGGAGAACCGAAAGAAAUAAUGUCAAGUGCUUCAUUCCAAUCAGUGGGGCUACUGGCAACAGCCACAGGACGAGGCAUCAAUUGUCUCUCAAUGUUACUAUCAGGUUGAGCAUAAUUUCUCCUGACAUUAAUAAGCAAGAUGAUUAAGAAUAAUAGAAGCAUUGUACUUUUUUUGGUGGGGGUUGUUAUUUAGGGGUAAAAGAAGGAACAAAAAAACUCAACAACAAUAUUUCCAUACCUCAAUAACGGACCAGGAAGAGAUCUAGCCAUUUCUCCACUUUGCUCUGCGACAUCAGACCUGGUAAUUCAAGCAAGAACAUCUCGAAUAUUAAAUUUAAAUGUUGACCAUAGAAACAGAGAUUAACUUAAUUCAUUUUCUAAUCAUCAUCAUUUUUAAACUAUGAGUGCAAGUUCCAGCUUUUUCUCAUCUAUUCCCUAAUCUUCAGAAUAUUUUAACUUCUUAAGUUGAUAAUCUACAAAAAUUUAACACCUUAAUAAAACUAAAACAUAAGAUUUCAAGAGUAAACAUUCUGGCCUUUUCUAGAACUCAUCGUCACAAAGGAAAAUCAAUCUUCUCACAAAAGCUAGAUAGGGCUCAUACCAAAUAUAUUAACGAAAUAUCAGGGUUCAAAACAAUCUAGUUAUAUUUAUGUCUUCAUUUUAUAUUUGGUGAUCACAAUCAGAAUAUCAAAGCUUAGAAGAUAUAUAAUGCAUUAACUAUACAACAUAAAAUGAAAAGACUUGCCCAUUUUCCCUGACAGAACGCCGUAAAAUAGCCCUAGCUUCCCCUGGCUUUCCUUCCUUCUUCUUUUCCAUCUCCCGGACCUGUCAAAUUACACCACCUUCAUCGGUAAUGCAGCAUAUCAAAAAGAGAGGAGAAAUGUGAAAGGUAAGAACUUACCUUCCACUUAAAUCUAUCAUCUAACAUGCUUUUUUGAGCAUCUGUUAGUUUCCCGACAAAUCUCCAUAUGUCCUCACCUGCAUAGCAAUGUCAUGGAAGGAAAACUACUCAGACAGGCCAAAAGGUAUUAUGAUAAAAAAAUAAUAAUAAUAAUAAUUAAAUAAAUAAAUUUUUGCAUCUUAAAUCUUGAAAAAUUAUCACUUCAUCCAUAGAUAAGGAUAUAAAUGACUGAAUGAGUCGUGUAGUUUAAGUAUAGAGGAGGAAACACGGGAGCCCAAGUCAACUAAAUGAUGCAGAUAUACUUUCUUACAAAUAAAUUUCCUUUUCAACCUCAGAAAAAUAAUAGAAAAGGGCGAGAACAAAUUUUUUACAAGUUCCAUGAAGAUGAAUUUGUGCAGGGUUAUGCCAUACCGAGAAUUUUAUAACCAGUGGCAAGUGCAUUUAAGGCAGCUUUCCUAAUAUCCCCAUCCCGUUCGGCCGUUAAACUUGCAACAAUUUGCAAUGAUUUCAGUUGCCCACUAAUCUGUCCACAUAAUGCAAGGAGUAAAUAUCUAAAAUAAUACUGAAAACAGUAAUUCACUAGAUGUGUUAGCAACGAUACCUCUGCCCCAUGAUGAUCAAGAAUAAAUCCUACAAGAUCAGCACAUUCAAUUCGAGUUCGGUUGUUCUUAGAGCGCAACCCCUCCAAUAUAUAAGGGAAACAUUUGGAUGCGGAAUAAACUACAACAAAUUGUUUAGUCAACUCCCGCAUUUUUUCACGUACUUUCUCAAUGUUAUGCCCUAACUGCAACAAUUACAAAAUAUCAGACUUUUACUUACUUUCAUUUGUAAAUUAAAUUCGUCAUUUUUUGUAGCACCCAAGAAAGUUCGCUACUCACACCUACUUACAUAUACCUAAACCAAAAAUUAAUAAACUGACAAAAACACAAAUUGCUGAGAUAUUGAUGUCUACUGUGAUGCCAACUAUCAAAUUUGUUAAAACAAACCUUCUCUACAAGGCAAGGAAGAAAGAUUGCAACUUCAGACUCUGUCAAAGAAUACCCUUCAUCCUUCAAAGUGUCGAGCAGCUCAGGAAGAAAUUCCAGCACCUGGGUAAUUAAAUUGCAUAAAUGUUACCUGUUUUUAGCUUAUUUCCAUAUGCUCUCCAUGAUAGCGCUUAUUCUUAGAAAUCAUGGUUGGGCCCAACACAACACCACAAAACUGGCUUGUGAGGUGAGGAUGGCCUCCACUUAUAAACACAUGUUCAUGCCAUAUUUUGUCCGACAUAGGACUCUUUUAACCCUUAUGAAAAUAGUUUGACUUUAUUUUAACUUUUGUUAUAGAAAUAGAUUACACAUAUUGAUGAAUGCUUAUGCCAUAAAGGCUUAAUUAAGUUGCUAAUCCAAACAUGGCCAUAAACCCUUCAUAACCAAAGAAGAUAGGAGGAGGAGAAAUUUGAAAGUAACGGUGAAAACAGAAGGGAAAACUAAACUGUACCUUUAAUAGACAUGUUGUGUUUGAUUUGCAGAACUGCAAUACAAACCACCUCAAAAGAAUGUCCAAAACUUCUAUAACUUCCUUAGCAAUGGAUGGAAGUGCCUGUGAUGUGCAGUAGAAGAUUGUAUAGUUAACAGUACAUUCAACACUUGAAAAGCGCACAACUUAUUAAAAAUGUGAAAAGAACGGCACCUUCUGCAGAAUUUCAAGUCCAUCAACUUGCUUCUUAAAAUCUGCACUUAAGAGUCUCCUAUGUAAAUCCUCUCUGAAAUACCUCAUCAUAUCAUUCUGAAAAACGCAACCAUUUAUUAAAAUUCAAUAAUUAUAGGAAACUUGAGUUAUGCAUGAUAACUCCUAAUUCCUCAAACAGGUCACCUCAAGAUCUUGAAUUUGCUCAAUCCGUGGAUCCUCAAACUUAAACCUUCGAACAACCAAUCUCUCUCUAUCAUCCUGCAUGUGAGAAAAUUGGCCGUUAAACCAUAUAUCUAUUGAAGUUUUUAAGUAAUGUUUGGUAAAUACUUCAGCUAACAAUACCUUAUUUGAAUCCUUGGUAUUUAGCAAGGCCUGAGUUUGAACUGCUAUAUCUUGUGCAGAUAUUUGUUCAGAUUUAGUGCCCUUUAUUGCCCCGGCCCGCUAAAUGAUGAAACUACAGUUAGAAAUUCAAACAAACAAAAGAGUAAUCAACAAAGGAAAACUCAACAUACCGAAGAUACAGAUCUAUUUCCAGGUUUUGAAACACCGUUGGCAGUUGAUUUCCCAACCUUCGUAACACCUUUCGAUGUUACUCCCACUGAAGCUGAUCUGGUGGCUGGCUCGAAUGACUCUGAGGACGCACGUUAGGGGUAGGGGGUAAGAAAUUUCAAGUAUAAAAGGCAAAAUAGUUAGCAAUUUAAGCAUCAAACAUGAGUAGGAAAAUAAGCUUGGCUUCCGAAGAACACACCUUGAAAAGCUCCAUAGGGUUUUAGCUUCUCAAGAACAAGUGCCUGUGCUGGUCCAUGAAUAUCUUUAACUAUCUUUUCAAUCUAAAUAAACAAGCAAUUAAAUUAUGUUUGGCAUCACAUGAAUCUUAGGGAAACAAGGAAUGAAAAACCAGCAUUAUUAUCGGACAUACCAUAUCAUGCCCACUAACUCUCAGUAUCUCAUUAAUGCAAGUCUCUGCCGCCUUACGAACAUCAGAGGAUUUAUCCUACACAAAGGAGCCAUCAUAAAUUUAAACCCAAGGAAAUUUUGCAUUAGAACUGAUUAGAUAAUGACGGUCAGGAUUGAGUAACCAGAACAUACUGCCAUUGCAGAAGAGGCUGGCUUCAGCAGUUGUGCAGCUUCAGCAAAAUUGCUUAACCCAGAAAGUUGCCUAGACAACCAAUCAAAAAGAUCUUUACGCCCUUCCGCACCAAGUUUGGAAUCAACCAGAGAAAUUGCAACAUAUGUAACCUACAGUAACAUCAUGUUCAGGCAAAAGACAAAAAAAGAAGAAUAACAGAAUACAAAAUCAGGAGAAAGGAAAGACCAUUUUAUCAAGAUGAACAGCAGCUAGCCAAGAGUCUAGAGUAUUCAGUACACAUUCUCUCAUGUGCUUCUUAUUGUCACCGAGACAUUUCAAUAUAUCAGACAGAAUGCCCUGCAAUAAACCAUUUCAAGAAAGUUAAACAUUUGAAAAAGGAAAUAGAACAUUAACAACUGGAAAGAAAAUACUAAAUCAGAACAGAAAUCACUAACUUUGCUUGAUUUCUCUACAGCUUGACCCAUUGCAGAUGCAACAUUACCAAUUGUAGUCAAGGUAGCCAUGACUAUGUUUUUGUUGCUAUCAAAGAGCCGUCCUCUAAGAGCACCAAAUAACUCACCUGGUAACAACAAUCAUCACUCAGUAACAAUUUCAAAGGUUGACAAAUUUUAAAAUGAACAGGAUAAAACUCAAAAAAUUAAUAAAAUAAAGCAUGCAAGUCUAUGAAGCAGAUGGGAGGGGCAGACAGUCAAAUUUAAAACCUUAAAAAAUACAAUACUAAUGCUAAUGAGUUACCAGUUCCAGUUGCUUGAAUGCGCUUAUUAGCCUCUUCGAGUAUUUUGUUUACAGCAUCAACAGACUCCAUACGAACCUACAUUAAGCAAAAUGUAAUGCAAUUGUACUUGCUCGGUUACUGGCAGUUAAAAACAAGCGAAAAAUACAAAACUAAAGGUGAUCUAAUACAAGAUUGUUUCAAACAAACCUUCCAAUCGGGGCUUUCAAGACUCUUCAAGAGAGUUGGGGUAAUCUUUCCGCUAAUAUCUUCACGAGGCAAGCUAUCCAGCCCACCAGCCACCGCGGAUGAUGAUAAAUCCGAUGCCCUGACAGUCUUUUUGGUAACUGCAGAUGCUCCCUGAAACAAAACAAAUCAAUAAAUUAAUAAAAUUAGUAUUAGAAAUCAUGAUACUGCAUAGAAGAUACAGCACCAAACACGACAUACCUCGAAUGGGUUCUUCUCAUAUUCUGUGUCAAGAGCACUCAGCAGUGCAGGCUUAACGUCGGUGAGAAACCCUUUUAUGUCUACAAGGGAAAAAGCAUUAGAUCUAACCCAAAUAAAUAGUGAGAGAUGGAAAUUAAAAAAGACAACGCAAAGUCACCUGGACCAACAAAUCUAUGCAAAACACCUAAGAGUUUAAUUGAAGCAUUUCUAGUAGCAGCUGCACUUGACUGCAGCCCAGUUUCUUUAAGAAAAUCAAUUAAAUCCUGCAAAAGAGGACUCGCAUCAAAACUUAGAAUUUUUUAUAACCAAAAAAAAAUAAAAAAUCGAAGUAUUUAAAAUACAUGCAAUCACAGAUAACAUAGCUGCAAUUGCCAAAAAAAUAAACAGAUAACAGACCUUAAGCUUUAAAUGUGAUACACCAAAAUCGUCAACAGCAGAAACCAUCCACAAAAUCCCCUCACUAAGAACCUUAGGAUUCUUAUGCUCCUUCAUGAUUUUGUAGGCCUACAAUAAGAAUAACAGUCUUCAUAAGAUAUUCUAAGCAGAAGCAAUAAAAGCAAGGAGUAGACUGCUAUAUUUCAUCUUUUAACAAAAAAAGAAGCCAUUUAUACUAUUAAAAAAUAAAAGGAAAGUAUGCACUUCGACAAAAAAAAUGAUAUUCUAAGCAGAAGCAAUAACCAUAGUCAUGUAUUAAGGACAGAUUAACCUCAUAAAUCUACAGAUAUUUAGCAAUUAUCAAAUAAUAAAAUGAAAAACCUCCUUACAUAAUUUAUCAUAUUUAAAAUAUAACAACUCUAAGGAAAAAUCCAUGCAUUUCAACCCAUGAUCAUAAAUUUUUCAAAUAGACAAGCUUGGAUCACACUUACGCCUAAUAAUUAAAAGACAUUUCCCCUAAAGAACAACCAUACUUACUCUUUCAAAAAUGAAUCCUGGACCAACUGCUUCACAAAAAGUAGUGAGGCAUUUCAUAGCAUGUGCCCGUGUCUUAAUAUCUGCUACACGUUCACUUAAUCCUACACAAAUUGAAAUAGAAAUGUGGCUGUCAAAUCAGAAUGACAUGAUUAUUGGUAAAGUCAAAAUAAAAAACAACAGUACCUACCCGAAAGACAAAGUACUACACACUUCUUCGGGAAUUUAGUUGCAGUUGAAGCUAUAUGAGUGAUAACUUCAAUAACCUGCUGUUGAACCUGCUCAAGAAUGACAAGAGCUAAUGAAAUUCUUGGACUAUCCAUGCUGUUUUGAACUACAGCUAAACAUGUAAAAUCAUUCAAAAUCCAAAAGGAAAUACUUCUGAACCUGAACAUUUUUCUCGCCCCAACCAGGCAAGGUGCACAGUAAUCUAAUCAAUAUUUCUACGGAUUGGUCAAGAUUCUGUAAACCUUCAACUUGCUGUUUCAGCGAAGAAAUAGCUGCAAAAAUCAAAGAUCAGUGGCCUUACCCAUAUGGCAUUUACAAAAAGACAUUGAAGGAAAAAUCAGAAGAUAAAGUUCUGAGAAUGGAUGAGACAGAGACCCAAAUUCAACGAUGCUCAAAACAACAAAAAUAAUUUACUUAUAGAUACCCUAGACGGCUAGACCUAAAAUACAUGUCAACAAAGAAUAAAUUGAAGUAAAUAUGAUAAAUGCAAAACCAUUCUAUUGUACUCCAACUUAUAAAACAUCUUCAAGGCCUAAAAAAUGCCAAAAGAUACUAAGAUCUAUGUUACUUUCACACAAUCAUGAAAUCACUAUCAAGAAAGGCCUAAAUUAUAAAUAAUCAAAACACCUGAGAAAAAUUACAGGAAAAUGUACCAAGAUAUACAAAAGCAAAGCAUAAAUUAUCAAAUUAGUAUGAGGGUGUAAUGACGUUGGAGGUUAGAUCCUCAACCAAGUUAUCGAUCUUACUUCCAACAUCAUUCCUCCUCCAAUGUUUAUAAAACAAAAUCACAAAACUGAAUUGAUGAUUUCCAACCUUCAAGACGCUCCUUCCACACAGCACUUUUCAAUAAAGUGAUGGUAUCUGACUGUAGAAGAGAACCUAUUCGGCUUUCAAUCUCUUCAAGACCCAUCUCAGUGGGCUGCAUGCAUUUAGAUACACAAAGGUUGUAUAAACCGUCAUUAGUAAAUCACGUGAUAAACUGUUGCAGCUGAUUCAAAUCAGAGAGACAGAACACAAACAAAUAUUAUAUUACCUCAACAUCUUCGGGUGUUUCAAUCGAUUUUGAAGCCUUUUGUGAAACUCCGUCUACUUUCUUGCUUGUACCCGACUUUACAGCCCCCCCUUUCUUGGUGACGGGCUGGAAUGUGUAAAAUAUUCAAAAGACUAUGUCACCACAUGCAUCAAAAAUGCUUAAUUACAAGCAAGAAGAUGCUACUUACAGCUGACUGAACAGGUCUCUUUCCACUAAGCAUACUUGCAGCACUUCUAACAGGUGCACCAGUCUGUAUGUAAAUCAAGGAAUAAUGAGUGUACGUCUCCAAAGAAACCUUUACAGUUGUAAACUUCAACAAUUAUAAAUUGUUCAUUUUCUCUUUUUAGAAUGUUCCACAAAUUCCUGUACAACUAACUAGCAUUUGUUUUCCCAAGCACUGUCAACAGCAAAGUCUCACAAUACAUUUUAUUCAUGGUACCAAGUUUUGAAGAGAGGGUGGUAACUAAAUAAAGGAUGUUUGGCAGAAGAAUACUUUAAACAACAUAUUGAAAAACAAACAUCUUGCAUGUCAAAAAAUAAUCACCCAGUACAAUGCACUAAAGAAAUGAAACUAAAACCCAGAUUUAUUAAACUAAAAGAUAAAAGAUACACUCACCUCUGUAGAUGAGGCACUUGCACGUGCAUUUUGCACAGAAACUGAAAUAGCAUUAUCAAGUGUCAGCAAAAAACUCCAACAAGUACUUUAAGUUUCGAAGCAAAUAAUUAAAUUACAAUUAAAAAUCAAGCAAAUUAUAGAAACAAAUAAACUUGGAAGCUUAAAACAAAUUCCAGUUACACAAGAUUUAGUGAAAUUCAUUUUCCAAUGCCGCAGACAAUUGACAAGAACUGCCUUACGCAAUUACAAGUACCUAAUGUCAGAUUGAGGAAUACUUUGAAAUGUGAUGAUCAGAAUAAUUUUAAGAACUUAAUACUUGUUAAUAACAUCACUCCAUAGGGAUUAAAAGGCACAAUAAAGGUCAAUUUGUUCCACCUUCCAACUUGAGAAAGUGGUCCUAAGAAAAGGCACGCAGUGAUCAAAGGGACUAGGCCUUGUAUACUCCAAUAGCCCAAGGUUAUUAGUAAGUGAUACUCACUCAAUAUGACUCUGAAUCUCAUCUCCCUAUUUUGACAAAGAACUCAGCUACAUCAGGUGGUGCAUCAUAGAACAUAUUUCAGGGGAUGCAGGACAAUAUACAGCUUCUAAAUUCAAUUUAAGAGUUCGGGAAAAAUACUUCACACAAAGGUGGGGCAAUUUGGAGCUUGUGGUGGUAUCUUAUUCUGCAUCUCCUUCAAAUCUAUUUUCCUUGAAGUUUCUUGCCAAUAAGGGGGCGCUUUUGCGCAAUUGUUUUACUACUGCUUGUAGGCCCAUGAUGGGUAAGGCAGAAGUUUUAUUUGAAAGGCUAAAUUCCAUCUGUAUUCACCUCAGAUACACAAUCCACUAUCAAUUAGUAAACAAGGAUUGUAAAUUGCAUAGGAUACCCCUGCCUUCCAAGCAUUUAUGGUGAUGGAUGUAGGCUUAGCUUGAAUAGACUGAACUGUUUUAAAAGUUCAAGGCAAGGCCUGUAACAUGUUACAUUUCAUAGGUUUAUCUUAGGCCUGGCAAAACUUCUUUAAGAGCACGGUCUAACCGGUUAGCUGAUUUGAAGACUUAUUUCAUAUAUAGGCAUUUAGAUAUGUCAUUCAUUGUAUCUAAAUGUAGGUAAAAGGAAAAACAAACCAACAAAAUAAAUUCUGCAAACAAACAUCAAACUACAAAAUUCGAAGUGGGAUAAUCUUUUCUAAAAUCAUGGUCUGUCUUAUUUAUAAUAAUACAGGGCUAAGAUCAAUCCUACCCAUUUGAAAUUCUAGCAUAACAUAAAAGUCUCUAAAAAGGUCUUCAAAUAAGACAUAACUUUUCGUUUCAAUAAACUUAUAGCCUCAAGUCUUAUAUGCAGGACGACAUGCAUAAAUCUUUAAAAGGGUAAGUAUAUGAUUUUCACAUAUUUAAAAAUAUAAUUUUAAUAUUAUUUACAUUUACUUUUUUUUACCUAUAAAUAAACUUUGGAAAGUCUUCGCCUGGUUUAUAUAAUAAAUAAGCAUCGCUUGUAGACUAAAGCAUAGACCCCUAUCGGGCAACCUAACCUAUCUGCACUGUCCUCUUUUGCCUGUUCCCCUUCCCAUCCAAUAGUAUUCAAUAUCCUGUGAGAAAAAGUUACAAACCUGUAGAAGAACCACCGGGCACAGCAUCUUCAGAACCUGAAAUCAUUUCUGAAAGCUUUUUCCUUCUAACAUCAUCAAGUUUCUCCAGUGACCUCUCUAGAGGUCUCAUGCCAACCGACUGCAGAAGAAUGAAGAUUACAAUUGCUCAAAACCUCAAUAGCAAAAGCAAUCUAAUAAACAUGCAUGCAAAUUUAAUGGAAAAAAAAAAUUACCUUUGCUAUUGCUGCCAAUGCUGAAAAGGCGGCAUCCCUCACUUCAGGAGUGCCAUCAUUUAGACACUGCAAGAUUCAAAUCUCAGUGUUUGCAAAGUAAUAAACAAAAGUACCAGACAGAAACAAUUACAGCUUACUGAGUUCAACAGAACUUAAUUACCAGCCACAAGACAUAUGAACACAAUUUUAAUCAAAUGAAGCACGGACACUCCUCGGAUUAGGCGUGUCCCGGUGUCGGACACACGUCUUGUCCGACACCGACACUUGUAAUUACACUGAAUUUUGUGAUUUUUUCAAAUUAUUAGAUGUGUCAGCGUGUCAGUGUCCGUGUUGUGUACGGUGUUCGUGUCCGUAUCCGUGCUUCAUAGAAUACAUCUAUUUCUGAACAGUCCUACACUAUGAAAAAGAGGGGUGCUAAACUAGCAUUUAAAUCAAGCGGACUUAAUCUGGUGAACAAUAUUUUUCAAGAAAAUCAUAACCUGUCAACAGAACAAAAAUAUAAAGCACAACAAAACUCACCUCCAUGCAGAUUGGCACAUAAUCCUUAUGCACCUUUGUGAUAAUACCCUUGUUACUUGUUUCAAUGCAAAAUGUAACCCAUGUCAUUGUUGAUGAUCGCACAAGGGGAACUUUGUUUUUUGUGGCUAUCUUAACAUCUAUAACAAAUCAAACACAAAAUACUCAAUAAGAAGCAAAAGUACAACACUAACAGAAAGCAACGACACAAUAACCUAAAGCACAACACAACCAACAGAAUACAAACAAUAACAUGAAACACUCAUCAGGAUCCAGGAGUCAUUGAUAUGGGUACUAAAAUAGCAAUAUAAAUUUAUGGAAUAUAUACAUACAGAUAGGAAUUUACAAUCAUGUUUUCCAAGGAGCACAUACAUCAAAAAUAGAUAUUCUUCGAAUUUCUGGGGUUAAUUGUAGGAUUAAUCAUGUAAUCUUCGGUUUCAGAACUAAUUUUCAUCAGAAAAAAGGGUAAAAUCAUGGACAGGUUUUGUGAAGAAAAAAUAAAGCAGCAGAGUCUAAGUGUCUGUAAAUACAAUAUUCAAUCAUUUAACUAGUAGAAAUUGAAAUUUGAAUUCCAAGCCAAGUAUAAAGCUCGAAAAUAAUCAUGAUGGGGGGGGGGGGGGGGAACCUGCCUUCAACAACAUCAACAAGACUAAUGCAUCCAGCUUUAUGAAUCGCUUGAAGAGUCUGAGACAAUGCCUCGGUCAUGGUAGGUUUUUUCUCUUUCAAUUUUUCCUAUUAAAGAAAGAAACACAUUAAGUAGACAUUAUUUCACAAAGAGGAAUCAACAAUUCAUGCGACAAAAUAACUAUUUACUUUAACAAAAACUUCCAUGAACGAUAGAAGCAUAAUUCCCCUGUUACCACCUCUAAAGGCGUUCAAGACAGAAGACAACCAACUUUCUCAAAGCCAAAAACAAGAUUCAACAUGGUAAUGCAUGUGGGGGAUGUAUACCGGUGAGCAAUUCAAAUCAAAAUGAAAAAAUCAUACUCUCAAAACCAUCACACGUUAACCAGUUAACCAAUUGUUGGAAAAUAAAAAAUGAAUUGAUUACACAGAAAUGUAAUUGAGACACAUCAAAAAUAUGGGUACAAAAUAGAGAACCAACAAAGACAUGAAGUUUCUAAAACUAUUAGAGAAGUGUACUCAACCGGUAAGGUUAAUAACAAAAUAACAAUGGCUGUUGAAUAGUACUUACAAGUAAAACAGGCAAUAAAAAACGAGAGCUCGCAGAAAAAUUGGUUCUUAAUCCACGAGCAAGAUUGCCAAUAGCCUGGACAGCUUCAACAGCAACAGCAAUAUUCACAUCUGUAAUAAGCUGCAAGCAAAAUAUAAUGGGUUAGUUCUAGAAACAUGCAUCAAUGACUGAGCAGAUGCAAGUACAAACACAGCGACAAUAAUGUUCAUUUUUAUUCAAAUAACCUCUGUCUUGCAUAAAAAGCCAGAACAGAAUAAAAUAUUUUACUACAAACUUUAUGGUGCACUCAAAACAAACAACCUUUAAAGCAUUUCAGCCCAGACAAGUUCAAAGCUUCCAUUAGCACAGGCAAGUGCUAACUUUUUAAGAGAAAGGGCUCUCAAAAAGAAACAGCACAGCAAUUAUAAAAAUGGAAAGGUACAAAAUAGCAGAGUACUCUACACAAGUGAAACAUAAAUAGAAUCAAAUUAAAAGAAAAAUGAUGCAGUAACGUCACUAGUAUUGAAAUAUUUUAUGUCUCAAUCCUUUAGAUCAUAUUUCAGUUGCCAAUCUCACUUGAUCUUCAACACAGCAUAUAUUAUAAUUAUCGUCCGAUUCAUUAGAAAUCAGAUACAAUAUUUGAGUGGAAAUGUAGAUCCUACCAAACAAUGUACAAGCUUAACUAGGAAAAAGCCAAACAUUUUCAUUGUCAUUAAACAUGUGUAAUACCUUCUUUAAGGUCCGACAAACUUCAGAAAAAUCACCAGGGGAAAUUCUUUUUGUUGAUGCAAGCUUUGUCAGCUCACCAACAGCCUCCUUCCUUUCAAGCCAUUUGGUAGCUUUCUAAAGAUUUAAUAAGAUUAAAAGGGGAAAAAAAUGAGACAGAUUCAUGUGAUAAAAAGUUAUGUAUUUAGAGAGAGAGAGAGAGAGAGAGAGAUGUAGCAGAGAAGAACUGACCACUCCAUCCCAAAAUCCUGAUUUCUCCAAAGGAGUCAAAAUAUCAACCGGAUCAACAAGCUCGUAUUCAUCUAUUUCUUGAGGAGCUGACAAUAUAAUAGUUGCAAACAGGUAGGUAUGUUAGUGUCACAGAUGAAAAACAAACCAUAUCUGAUAAAAGAGAGCAUGCUCCAUCUAAAACAUCAAUUUACAUACCAUCGGACCCGGAUUCUUCAGCAGGGCCAGCACCCACAACCUCAGAUAUAGUUUCCUGUUCAGGUUCCUUGUCUUGCUCGGAUCUAAAAAAUGGUGGAAUAUAUAUUAAGAUGGUAUUAUCCUCAUAUGGUUAUUAACAAUUAAACACCAACAUAUAGUAAGCAAAAGAUUCAAAUUAGACAAAUGUGUGAUUACAAUCCAGUGGAUCCUGUCAUCAGCUAUUGUAAACCCUUAUCUGGCUAGAUAAAAUGAGUUUCAAUUGUCAGGGAGCAAGUUAAAAUUUUGAGACUUAAUAAAAAAUCACGCCGGAAAUCUGGCUCGAGUGAAAUGUCACAUUUAAAACAGCAAGAAAGUAUUUUUUAAUAGUUUUGUUCAUUGGCAGCAGAUGGUCUAACAUUUAGUUAUUCCAUUUCUUUUAAAUAAUAUUUUAGUAUCUACCGUGGAUAUGCAAAACUUUUAAAGGAAUAAAAUUUAAGUAUGAUCUAUAUUUAGGUCCACAUUGCUCGAUCUCCACUAAAUUGACAAAAAGAUUAAAGACUGUACAAUAUUUUCAUGUUCAGCUCUAGCAUUAAAAAUUGUUUCAAGGGUCCAAACAGCAUUGUGACAUCCACAAAUCUCUGGAAAAAAAAUCUUUUGAAGAUAUGAAGAAAAAAAGAACAAGAAUGGAUGUUAUAAGUGCACUGAAAACUCAGAUAUCUACCUUAUUUUACGGCUUGGCUUUGCUAUUCCCGUAACAUUUACAACUUCCGCUUCCAACUCUUUUUUCUACAAAAAAAAAAUAAAUAAAUAAAUAAAAAGGAAUUGGAAAAUUUACAGUUUAUAUUAGGAGGAGAAUAUAAUAAAUCAAAUAACUAAGAGGAACAGAUAAGCUUACCAUUGUGUCUCUCAUUUUCUCAAACAAGAUUGAUUUAACAUUAUCUUUACCGAUCCAGCGACAAAGUUCAAGAGUCAGCCCUUUAGAGGAUGCGCGAACAUUUUGAUCUUGGUGAUCGAAGAGUUCCGGAAGCAUUUUCAAAAUUCUUUUUGGGGGCACAAUUUUAGAUCCAAAUUCACUAGCAGUGUGAAGACAGAUAAGUAUAUCAUUAUAUGAUAGUAACAAAAUAGAAACAGCUACUAUAGAUUUUGCAACGAGAUUCCAAACCUUAAAGCUUGAAACAUAACAUCUAUUGCAGGCACCACUGCUUUAGCAACUUUGUUCUUUAUCGCUUUCUCCAUUGCAUCCUAAAAUUACCAAGAGCCUUAAUAAUGAAAGGACGAAAAGCAUGACUAGUAGAUGUGAAGUUAUUGGUAUGUAAACUAAACCCCCAAAGUAUCUUAAUAACCCGAAACAUAGAAUAAACUAAAAACAGUGAAAGUGGAAAAAGACUAUAUGAAUUCAACAGUUUGGGGGGAUCAGAGCCUUAAUUAUUUUAUGUAGAAACUUAUUAAGAUUUAAAGUUAAAUAAACUUGUUCACCUCUGCAUCUUAAAAAUUACUAAAAACCAUAAGAAAAGUAGAAAAAGAGAUGUAUGACAAGUGGGUGCAAAGCCAUUUCUUCCUAGCUUAUUUUAGAGCUUAUGCAAGACAGCUUAUACAAAUAAAUGUCUUUAUGUAUUAUUUAUAAGCUUGUUAAUAAAGUUAAUGAAAAAACAGUUGAUGAAGGUACGAUUUUCGUUUGAGAACUUAGGAAUUAAGAUAAAGACUUAUUUAUUUGCAUAAGCUCUUUUUCAUAAGCUCAAUCCAAACGGGGCCUAAGUCAUUAAUCUCUAGAAAUGGAGCCAUAAAAUAUAUAGUUUCAUGGAAAAGAAUUGCCAUAUCGGGGUAAUGGGAAACAGGACUAAUUGAAUUCAAAAGCCAUAUAACCUUGUAAAAUGCAACAGAAAGGGGGCUUUUUUUUUGUGUAUGUUCCAACAGAAAUGGGGCUCUACAAUAUAUAUUUUCGUCAAAAGAAAUGCCAUAUUAUUAAUUGAGACUAACAACCAUUAUUCAAGAGGAUCAAACCUCAACAAUGUCAUCCACUCUCUAGAGAACUGAGACAAUAUACUUUUUCCAUUUAAUUCCUAAACUCGCAUCAGUUUAAACACUCUAGAUUUUGAACAAAAUUACAAAAUAAAUCAAAUGCACCAGUAAACGUCAAAAUAUUUUCACUAUGGGAUAUGAAAUACAAGUUACAGAUUUUGCAAAAACCAGUUACCAGAGACCAAUCACUCAAUUCAAUCAUAAGUGAGGCAGGAACUUAAGAAUACAAUUUUAAUAAGAAUAUCUGACACCGUGAUCGUAAAUGAUAAAUGAAGUCCUUGUAUUGAAUCGUUUGCCAGGAGAUAGAGGGAGAGUUUGUCAUUGUGCAAAUGCCACAAGUGAAAACAAAAUUGGAAAUAAUCAGCUCAAGCAAAACAAACCUCUUCUACCAUCAAACAAACUCACCACAAGUUUACUUCCCCACGAACCGGUACACAACCAAGAUAGGCCGCAAGUUUAUAUUGUAAUCAUGUAUGCAAACAAGUUUUCCACGCACAUUCUAAUUGCUGAAACUAACUACAUUUUAAGAAUCAAAAGUGCAACCCUCGCUACUGAAAACAUAUGAGCAACCCACCAGUCACCUAGACACGAACUCCAAGCAGAAAGGAAUAUAAACAGUAGAAAAUCAUUCAACGGCAAUGAAAUGAAAUACACAUAAAGAAGAGUACCAGAAACGCAUCCACAGCCUCCAAUUCCACCCAGAGCAAGAACACUGCCUGAGCUUUCUCCACUGUCUUUGGCCUUCCUGUCAGACAUUUAGCCACAACCGCGUCGCAUACUUCCUUCCCAAACCUGCUCCAAAAUUCAAAUUCAAAUCCGAACUCACACUAGAACAUGCAAUUAAAUAUGAAGAAUAAUGAUAAACAUUAUGAAAUUAUCACCUGCUAGCGUCAGCAUCUGCAGCUCGCAAGUAAGCAAUCAAUGCAUCAAGUGCCUUCUCUUGCACCGGAGCAUUCGAAUCCGACACCGUCUUUUUAAAAAAAUGACCUAGCAAAUUCAAAAUUCAAAUAAAAAAACACAGAAGUCAAGAUCCAAUUCAAAAUUCACAGCAACAUUCACCAAAUAAAACCGUAUCCAGAUCCAUAAUUCAUAGAUCGAUAAACGCAAAACGAAAAAACCCUAACAAAUGAAAAACAGGAAUUACACUAACCGAAUUCACGGAUGCGAGGGUCUUUAGGAUCGGUGAUUGAGUCACAGAGAGAAGCCAGAUCAAUAUUGGCUUCAUUUCGCACUUUCCAGUUUUUGUGAGAAAGACGAUCCUCCCAUGGAAGUUUCUUUGCUUCCUUCAACAACUUUUCUUCCUCUGAUGACAUUGUUGUUCGCACUCAAACCCUGACGAUCUCGAAGAAUGCGUAACGAAUUGUAGAGAGAGAGAGUGAGAGAGAGUUGGGUUGUUUCGUUUUGAUUUGUAAUCGGCAGGUGCAGUUGCCGGCGAGAGGGAAGAUGAAAAUGAAAUGAAAUAUAAUAAAAAAAGAAAAGGAAAAAAGAGCGUGCAAGUGCAAUUUGGCUUUUUAUCUUCGCUUCAAAAACACUGCAACAGAGAAAAUGAAAGAGAUAGAGAUGGAGAGAGAAAGAAGAGGGAGGUUUUAUUAUUUUUUUAAUUAUUAUUUUACCGUUGGUUUCACGGAACGGAACGGAGCGUGCGUAAGAAUUUGAAUAAAAUGCACUGCUCGAAAAAUAUAAAGAUCAUCGUCGUUUUCUCACAUACUCCUUUUCGUGGCUAAAUCUAACACGUAUAUACGUGGGAAUAAGUUUAGUUCUUUAUAAAGUAAAAAUUACUUAGAUUAAUUAUUGAAUGAUUAGGCUAUGUUUGGAUUGAUGGAGAGUGAUGGAAUGGAAUGGAAUGGAACCAUGUUCCAUUGUUUUGGUUUUAUAAAAAAUGAAUGGAAUGGAAUGGAGUGUGAUGGAACCCAUUCCAUCCAAUACCAUUCAUUCUUCCAAUUUUUCAUUCCAUCUAAUUUGGGGUGUAUCCAAUGGAAUGGAACACAUUAAUAAUUUUAUUACAAUUUUAUCCCUGCAUUUUCUAUUUCACCUCCUCUUUCUUCUUGUGUGUGUGCAACUUGAAUUUUUUUUCUUCCUGUUUCUCUCUCUCUAAUUAGUAUUUUAGGUCACUUAUCUCCAGUUUUUUCUUCCAGAAAGCCUCACGCCUUCCAUGACAUAGUAGUUAUUUAAUGUUCCUCGUUGUGAUACCACAAAGUUCCACAAUUUGCAGAAAAGAAAAUCCAAUCCAUGUAAUAGUCAUAUAACAAACUUGCUGCUUACUAUGCUCUUCUAAUCAUUUCUAUGAACUGAGCCAUCAACCAUUAUUAUUAUAUUGUUUAAUUAAAUAAUAUUUGAACCAUUGGAGAAAAUUAUGCUUCAAGGUUGUGUUUCAUCAUUAGAGGUAGAUAAUAAAACAUCCAUGUUUUAAUUUGCAGCGAGUUCAUAUUCUGGAUGCAUCGUUCUUAUAUGUGAAGCAUUUUUAUUAAAUUAGGUAUAAUACAUUUUUUGAUGUGAAGCAAUUGUGAAGCAUUUUUAAUGUUUUUUUAAAUAAAGGUUAAAAUUGGAAUAAAAAAAUAUAAUACAUUCCAUUCUGUCAACUUUCCAAACAAUGGAGUGGAAAGUUGGCUCUGUUCCAUCGUGAAAUAUCCAAACGAUGGAAUGUAAUCUCUAUUCCAUUCCGCUCCGUUCCAUUCCUUUCCGCUCCGUUAGUUUUAAGUUAUCCAAACAGAGCCUAAGGUUCGUUUGGAUAGGCUUAUUGUUGAACUUAUGCUAAAAAACUUAUACAAAUAAAUUAGUUUUUAUUUUAUCAUUUAUAAGCUUGUCAAAAUAGUUUAUAAAAGAAUACCCGUAAGCUUAGCUGAGUUGAUAGGGAUAUUGCAUUUUAUAUGCAAGGGUCGGGGUUUCCCGGACACUCCACUUCUCCACAAUUAAAUUGUGUGAGCAAUAGCCACUAGACUAGUAAUACAAAAAAAACAAAAAGUUUAUGAAAGAAAAAAAAAACAUUUUGUGAAGAUACAAUUUUUGUUAAUAAGAAUUAUGAAUUAACAUAAGAACUUAUUUAUUUGCAUAAGCUAUUUUUCAUAAGCUUAAAAAUAAGCAAAUCCAAACGGGCUCUAAUUCAUAUGUGACAAUUUGAUUCUAAAAAAAACACCAUAAUACAUCCACUUCUCUCAAAUCAAAAACAAAAAUAAUAUAUCCACUUUGGUUCACCCUAUUAAACAACAUAGUUUGUUUUUUCUUUAUAUUUUUAAUUGAUUAACUAGUGUUCAUUGGACACCACUCUCUCCGUUUCAAAAUACAUAUCCAAGUCAAUCACUUCACAUAUGCUAAUGCACAAUUUUGACCGUUAAUAUCUUUAAUUAUCUAAAGUAAAAAAUUAUAAAAAUUUAAUAUUUUGAAAAUAUUUGUCGAGACAAAUCAAAUAACAUCUUACAUGUUAGUAUUUGUAUUUAUACAUUAGUUAAAAAUUAUGAUCAAAGUAAGUCAAGUGAAUAGGCAAGAAUUUGACAUGUAUUUUGAAACGGAAUGAGUAGUUAGCAUGACAGUUUAUUUAUUACUAACACUAACAUGUUGGUCUUUCAUCUUUUUGUUUUUAUCGACAAUAAACAAUCAAAUUAUAAAAAGGGUUAAACAAUGUCCACCCUAUGUUAUUUUGUCCUGUUUUGGUUUACACUAAAAAAAUUAGAGAUUAUCCCCGUGAACCUAACUCAGUUGGCAGGGACGUUGCAUAUUAUAUGCAGGGGCCGGGGUUCGAAUCCCGGACAACCCACUUAUUCAUCUUUAUAAGAUGAAUUUCUAACCUAGUGGCUACUAGACCCAAAAAAAAAAUCAGAGAUUUCCGUUCAGUGUCGGAUCCAUAAAUUUUAUCGAGUUUCAGUAGGCAUUAUUUAACCCUUUUUAUAAUUUGAUUAAAAAAAAAAAACUUAGCUCUUCUCCUCUCUCUAUCUUCUAUCCCCUCUACCUCCUUAUGUUCCCCUCUUCUUUUUUCAAACAAGAAAAUCUCUUCCUUUUCAAACCCACACUAAAAAAUAAACAAAUAUGAGGUAAUCUGAUAAAAUAUUUGUUGUUGUUUGAUUAUUCAUCGAGCUUUAUCAUCAUCACCGACGACAAUAGAUAUUAUUUGUUUUGAGAUAUUAACUUUUUUUAUUGAGUUUUAGAUUUGAGCAUUUGCAUUUUAGACAUGAAACUUUUUUCUUGAGUUUUGGAUCUCAAUGGUAUAAAUUUGAUCCUGUACAAUUAAGAAAAAAAAUCCAAAUUGAAAAAUAGCGGAAAACAUUGAAGAAAUUUUGAAGAAAAAAUUGAAAAACUUUUGUUGUUGGCUCAUCGUUGGUACGUUUUAGAAGAAUUAAAGCUGGAUUUUUAUGAUCACUGCCAUAUCUUCUUUCCUUUUAAUUUCCUCCUUUAUGAAAGAGUAGAAAUUAAGGGUAAAUCAAAAUCGUGUUUUUUUUUUUUUUUUUUUUAAUUUUUUGGGUUUGAUGAAUUUGAUUAUGAAAUCAUGAAUGUGUACAAAAACUAAGGGAGAUUUUUUUUUUUGAAUUUGCAUUUAUCGAUGACGGUGUUAAAUGAGAAAGAUAAAGAUCAUGGUAGUAGAGAAAAGAGAAAAUAAAAAAUAUUUUGUUUUGCUUUUAAUUUUUUACAUUUAUUUUCUAUAAAAAAAUCUAAUUCAUUUAAUAACGAAAAAGGCAAUCAAAAUUAAAAUAAUUAAUAAUAUCCAUCAAGCAUGCUACAUAAUAAAAAACGACGACUCAACACGCCGCAGAAACUUAAGUGUACAUACAAAUGUCUUGAGGAUCCAAAAUCAAAUAAUAUUCAAAUUGCAGCGGGAGUUUCAAACUUUAUUUUUUUAUAGGGGCUAAACCAAGACUCGCCCACGAUAAGUUUAGUUUAGAGAUAUAACCCGUUUGAUGGUCAUGAUAGAAUAUGAAGUUGAAUAAAGAUAAGAUACGAUACGAACAUGAUAAACAUUUACUCUAUCGUGUAUUUAGCGUGCACAUGAUAAUACAUAUAACCCGUUUGAUGGUUAUGAUAGAAUAUGAAGUUAAAUAAAGUUAAGAUAUGAUACGAACAUGAUAAACAUUUAUUGUAUCGUGUAUUUAAUGCGCACACGAUAACAUUAUUUUAUCAUAUUAAUUGACAAAAUUAUCCUUAUAAUCAAUUAUAUUUUUUAACAUAUUUUAAUAGAUUUUCAUAUAAUAAUACAGAUUACAACAACAUCACAAAAUAGAGGGAAAAAAUGAAAUCCAUAAAAAAUAAAAGAAAGAGGAAUCUAGAAAAUAAAGAGCAUAAAUAUGUCAAAAACAAGAGGAAAAAAUCAAAUCGACGGAAACAAGAUAAUUAUGAUUUUUUUUUUUAAACUGAUAAAAAAAUAAGUAGAUGAUUUUUUAGAAGAAAAAAAGAAGAUAAAUCUAAAUAAGAAAAUUUUAAAAUCGAAAAAAAGAAAAGAAAUAGAAGCAUAUAAAAAGAAGAUGAAAAAAAGCUAUAAAAAAAUGAAAUCGAUAAUUAAUGAAAAAGAUUUUUUUUUUUUAAGAUAGAGAAUAACAUAACGAUGGUACAAGUGAGUGAAAGGAAGAAGAUGAUGGAAAGGGAUGGGAUGGUUCGGGUGGAGAGGUGAAAGAAGACAAAGGCCCCGUUUGGAUAAACAACUUAUAUAGAUGCUUAUAGCAUUAGGGCUUAUAACAUUAGAGCUUACAUCAUAAGCUCUUAUACUUGAUAAGCUAUUUAUAUUUGGAUAUGUACACUGAAAAGUACUUGCAUAAAUUGAAGUGUUUGGAUGUGACAUUACAUAAGCAAUUAUCGAAAUAUUAAAUAUUUUUAAUUUUAAAAAAAUCAAAGAAUCGAACCACAAUUAUCAAGAUUUAUUUUGAUAAAAUUAAUCAAGAUGUAAAAAAACAAUAUUAUAAUAUAUUAAUUAUAAUUAUAUAUAUAGUAUAAUCAAUAUUCGUCCUUAAAAAAAANNNNNNNNNNNNNNNNNNNNNNNNNNNNNNNNNNNNNNNNNNNNNNNNNNNNNNNNNNNNNNNNNNNNNNNNNNNNNNNNNNNNNNNNNNNNNNNNNNNNNNNNNNNNNNNNNNNNNNNNNNNNNNNNNNNNNNNNNNNNNNNNNNNNNNNNNNNNNNNNNNNNNNNNNNNNNNNNNNNNNNNNNNNNNNNNNNNNNNNNNNNNNNNNNNNNNNNNNNNNNNNNNNNNNNNNNNNNNNNNNNNNNNNNNNNNNNNNNNNNNNNNNNNNNNNNNNNNNNNNNNNNNNNNNNNNNNNNNNNNNNNNNNNNNNNNNNNNNNNNNNNNNNNNNNNNNNNNNNNNNNNNNNNNNNNNNNNNNNNNNNNNNNNNNNNNNNNNNNNNNNNNNNNNNNNNNNNNNNNNNNNNNNNNNNNNNNNNNNNNNNNNNNNNNNNNNNNNNNNNNNNNNNNNNNNNNNNNNNNNNNNNNNNNNNNNNNNNNNNNNNNNNNNNNNNNNNNNNNNNNNNNNNNNNNNNNNNNNNNNNNNNNNNNNNNNNNNNNNNNNNNNNNNNNNNNNNNNNNNNNNNNNNNNNNNNNNNNNNNNNNNNNNNNNNNNNNNNNNNNNNNNNNNNNNNNNNNNNNNNNNNNNNNNNNNNNNNNNNNNNNNNNNNNNNNNNNNNNNNNNNNNNNNNNNNNNNNNNNNNNNNNNNNNNNNNNNNNNNNNNNNNNNNNNNNNNNNNNNNNNNNNNNNNNNNNNNNNNNNNNNNNNNNNNNNNNNNNNNNNNNNNNNNNNNNNNNNNNNNNNNNNNNNNNNNNNNNNAAAUAUAUGUUUUGAAAAAGUGGAUCCAGAGAGAAUCGAAGGAGGUUACAUAAAUUCAUAAGCUCCUUGUUAAGCCGGAGGGUAAGCUGAAAAUUUAGGCUUAUUAAAAUAUGACACAAGCAGCUUAUGAAACUAUGAUAAGUUUUUUUUAUUUAUUUACCCAAACACCUUUAAAAAGGCUUAUGGGAGUAGAUAAGCUCACAUAAGCUCAAAAUAAGUCAAUCCAAACGGGGCCAAAAUAAAGAUUCAUUUUUUUAAAUGGGAUAGAUUAAUUUUAACCCAAGCUAAAUUUAUGAUAAAAAUUACAAAGGAGUGAUAGAAUAUAAUAAAUAAUAUUAAUAAUUUAUUUUAUCUCUACGUUGUAUCAAUCAAAAUAUUAAAAUAAUAAAAUAUAUUAAUCGUGUCUUUUUACCUUCACCAUGAAACAAAUUCAUAGAAUCCGUGAACAAGAACAUUUAUGAGUUCAUCUUCUUCUAUCAUUAAUUUCAUGAACGGUUAAUGAUUAUUUAUCUAAUUUUUUUUUCGAUCCAGAUUAUUUGUCUAAUUGGUAAAGGUUCCAUUCAAAUUCUACAUAGACCUAAUGAAGAUUGAUCUUCUUGAUGUGUAAUAUAUAUUAGGCCAAAUAUAUUCCUAGGUCAUUUAAGUUUCACAUUUGUUUCAGAUAGGACCUUUAAUUUUCUAAUGUUUUAGAUAAGUCCUUUAAGUUUCGAGUUUGUUUUGGAUAGGUCAUUUCUGUCAACCUCGGUUAAGCCAAAGUUGUUAUGUCCGUUAAGUCAAAGCUGAUAUGUCCGUUGAGUGGGUGAAAUGGUUCUCUCUGACACUUGGCAUCAAUAUUUUCCCCAAUCAGAUCAAGUUUGACUUAACGGACAUAACAACUUUGGCUUAACCGAGGUUGGCAGAACAAACUCGAAACUUAAAGGACCUAUCUGAAACCUUAGAAACACAAAUGACAUAUCUGAAACAAACUCGACACUUAAAGGACAUAUCUGAAACCUUGGAAAUUUAAAGGAUCUAUCUGAAACAAACAUGAAAUUUAAAGGAUCCAGUAAGAUAUUUUGUCUAUAUAUUAUGUAAUUAUUUUUGUAAUAGUUACAUAAAAAAUCUAAGAACUAAAUUGACCAAUAAAAAAAAGUAUUAUCACAAUUCACAGAUAUAAACUUCAUUGAUCCGAUAAAGUGUAUAUAUAUAUAUAUAUAUAUACAGUGGCGGAGCCCUUCAUGGAUUGGGGUGGGCCACGGCCCACCCAGAAAAAUUAAAAAAUCAAUGAUUAUAGGUCUAUUUUGUGAGAUUUUAUGCAAUUUUGUGUCGGUUUUAUGUUUUGGUUGAUCUAAAUUCCUGCAAAGUGGUGUAGUGGUCCACCCGAAAAUUUAAAUAAUUCAAUUAUAGGUCUAUUUUGCGAGAUUUUAUACAAUUUUAUGUUGGUUUUAGGUUUCGGUUGAUCCAAAUUCCUGCAAAUUGGUGUAGUGGCCCACCCAAAAAAUUUAAAUAAUUCAAUUAUUGAUCUAAUUUGCGAGACUUUAAACAAUUUUUCAAUAGUUAAUUUUAGCGGCCCACCCUAACAUUUUUUUUUGGCUCCGCCACUAUAUAUAUAUAUAUAUAUAUAUAUAUAUAUAUUUUGGUACAUGGUAUAUAUCAUCUUUCAAACUAAAGACACAAGAUGACUAGAUAGAUUAAUAAAAGACAUUCAAAUUUUUUAUAAGGUUGAUAUUUUAAUGAACUACGUGGCAUUCAUUUAAAAACCGAAAUACUAGUUGUUUUUUACAUAAAAGAAUAGGUUGGUUAUUCUAUCUACCAGUUUGAAAAUCAAGUGUUAUUAUCGACUCACGAGAAGGCAACCUACUUGCCUGUUUCCAAGCAAAGUUGCCGUCAGAAACAGCCCACUCAACUCACUUUAAAAUUUCACAAUAAUUGUCUAUCAACAUUUUGUGACCGAUCAUCUAUUUAUUAGUUUUUUUUUUUUUUAAAGAAAUACUAGUGAUUCCAACAUUUUCAAAUAAUAUUGACUUUAUCCUCGUAAGAGUUGAUAGAGUCAAUGCAUAAUAUAUGUAAGGUUAUAGGUUCAAACUUCGAUCACCACAAAAAUAAAUAAAUUAUUUUCGUCUCAUUUUAUAUAUGGUCGUUUUGAUAGUGUGACUCGCAAUAAUUUCAUCUAAUAAUUAAAUUAAUGUUAGAAAACAGUGUUUCUAAAACUCCUGUUUUUUUUUUUCUUCUUUUUUUACAAAAUCAUCUAUUCAUCUAGUUCUUUUAUGACAUCAUUUAUCUAUCUAUCUAUUAAUAUUAAUAACUAUACAAAUAUUUUUAAAUUGCGCGGUUAUUUCAUGUGUUUUAAUUAUACUAAUCGAGACCUAAAAUAAUACUAUUAACUUUAUAAAAAAAAGUCACAUACAAUUUAUAAUAUUAAAAAAAAUAUAUUAAAAAGAUAAAUAAAUCAAAGUACGGACAAAUAUGUAGAAGCAUGCAUACAAGAUAGUCCUGCAUUUGACACGUUAGUAGAUGGAAGAAAUGAUAGUAAUUAUUAGAAUCUCAUGCACAUAAAUGAAAGAUCCAGAAUUCAAGCUCCUAUGAUGAUAUCUUUGUCAUUUUUCCUGGCCAAUCUAACGCGUAUAUACAAAUGAUUGGAUCAACGUAGUUGGUUAACAUUUUGCAUGCUCUACACCGCAAUAAAAUUUUGAAAACUCUAGUCGACACCUUGCGCAGGUUGAAUUGUAAAUCAAUCAACCUGGAUGUCGUAACCUAACUUUCAACAUAAGAAAUUCUUUCAACUGUAAUUUGUGAUUCCGCUUCAAACCGGUGUCGUUGCCCGUGUUUUGAAGUUGUGUUUCGUCUUCCUAUCGAUCUGUUCUAUGUUACUGCCUGUUUUCUUGGUGAGGUGGUUUGACGGCGUAGUUUUGUCUCUAUCUUUGGUUGUGGGUAUAUUCACUGUGGCUGCUUCUUCGGAAUGCUAUGGCGAUGUUGCUGAUUUCCUUGGAGACCUUCAACUUUGUCUUGCUCUUGUUCUUGAUGGUCGUGUUGUAGUGGUGGUGGUGGUGGUGAGGGUGACGCAGUGGUGGUUGUGAUGUUGUGCGGUGGUGGUGGUGGUGAUGUGUGGUGUUGGUGUUGGAGGCCGUCUGUUACUCGGGUCCAUUUUCGGUGUCACUAGCUUUUGCUUGAGUUUUGGGUUGUUUAAAGGUUUUAGGGUGUUCUGUGGAUGCGUGUCCUCCGAGCUGAGCUAUUUUUCCUUUUUGAUUGAUGUUUGCAUCAUCGCUUAACAUGUCGCCUGUCUACUUAUUGUGUGUUGUAUUCUGGUGGACCGGUUACUUUUGAUUCGAGAUCGGGAGUCAGUGUCUAGUUGCAAUCUUGUUUGGCUGACGACAAUGUUUCUUUGGUGUACCGAGGGUUUGGGGUGCCCUUCUGAUUUGGUCAUGUUGUCUGGUGGACCGAUCGCUUUUGAUUUGAGAUCGGGAGUCAGUCUUUUGGUUCAAGUUUUGGUUUUGGGCUUGUUUGGCGUUCUUUCGGCAUACCGGAGAUUGAGAGGUGGUGGAAGCUGAUUGAUCUUUAGAAUAGUGGCUCAACUUUGGUGAUGAGGACGAGGAGUUGCUUUUAUAGGGGUGUUAUCUUGGGUUCAGUAGUGGUGACAUUGGUUAUGGAUACAGUUUUUCAGUGGUCGUUUCGUGAAGGAAUUUGUUUUAGGUGGUGAUGUUUAUCUUGGUGGGGGUUGUCCCCAAGGGUGUUGAAGUUAUGCUUUGAUUAGGUGCUGUGUGUACGAGUGUCUUUAUGAUGUUUAUUUUCGGGUGUUCCGCCUAUAUAUGGCGCCCUUUGUUUGUAUCUGGAAUCACCGGUCUCUAUUCGUCUUGAGCAGAAUCUGGAUUUUAAUAAUAUUUGUCGUUAAAAAAAAAACUGUAAUUUGUGAUGUAUUUAACAACCAUUCAGACAAUUAUAAGCUAAGAGAUUGUUUUUAGAGAGAAUAUAAGCAAAGAACUUGUUGGCUUUUACUUUGCUUUUUGCAGGGGACGCUUCUUUUCCUACUUUGUUGGUAUGUACAAGCGAAUAUUAUAAUGGUUAUGUGUAAAAAAGUACUAUAUUAAAUGUAUAUUUAGUUCUGCGGUAAAUAGAUGUGAGUUGCUUUGUAAAAUUGAUUUUAAUUACAUACAAGUUGAAAGUAAGGCGAUCUAUGUUAAAUACGUAUAUGUCAAAAGUGAUUUUUACAUGGAAAUAUUAUCUGAAUAUUUUUUAUAAACAUAAAAUUUAUUGGGUUAGUUUGGAUUCGAUUUGUUUGGGAAACAAGGAUGGAGGCUUGGGGGUUAUGAAGAUGAGGGAGUUUAAUCCUGCAUUGUCAUAAAAAGUGGUGUUGGAGGAGGUAUGCUGAUAGGGAGUGAUACAGAGUAAGACUUUAAUAUGGCAUAGACUUUGCAGCCACCACCCUAUAUGCUAGCUUUCCAAUUCCACCACCCUACUAUUGACAAUAAGGCCAACAAGCCACCAUGUUUGACAUUUACUAGAUUGUGUUUCCAUUGAUGUAUUAAUUAUCAACACUAUUUCAGCUACCAUAUGACCUCUAGGAUUGCUAUAAAUAAGGCCACUUCUUUCAUGUAUUACCACAAUUUAAAAUAUACAAAACUUGAGUUUCUCAUUUGAGAGUUAGAGAGUGGAUUCUCUCUUGGUUUCUGAGUCAUAUUGGCAUCAGAGUAAGGUUCCAAAUCCGGAGUUGAGUUUGAGUGAAAGAAUCAACGGAAAGUUUGAGUUUUCUAAGGGUGUUCUUGAAGAAAAAGAGCUGCCACCUUCGAAACUCUACUUUGCGGCCAUUUUUUCGCAAAACUAACGCCGCCAUUGCGUUCGGAAGGCCAAAAAACAUUGGAUUGGAGGUUUUUGUCACCAACGGAGCCUCUACGAGCCGCCAAACGACUCGCCAGAGUUCUUGCCGGACCACCACCCGCCGCCACUAACCACCGCCGGAAGUCUAGAGGUUGAAGACGACCGGUCAGCAGCCACAUCAUCUGCCACGUGUCACUUCCAACCAAUAACUCACCGCCACGUGUCAACUUGACACAUCACCACUGACCUGUUCAGUCAUCGACAAGUCAGCCUCCACAUCCCUGCCACGUGUCACCUAGUGCCACGUCAUCACCCGGUUACCCAAAAUUUUCAAAAAUUACAAAUUUGCCCCAAAACUUUCUGAAAUUAGAAAAUUGCCCCUCAACUUUCAAAAAUUGCAUAAUUACCCCUGUACUUUUUGAAAUUGCAAAUUUGCCCCUAUUCUUUCUGGAAUUACAAUUUUACCCUUGUUCAAAAAUUGUGAAUUUUCAGGAAAUCCUUCCUUUUUAGUGCUAUUAUAAUAGACAAUUCCUAUUAUGCUUUGUGGUUGCAGUUUAAUCUGAUCUUCCACAUCAGAAAAGAAUUAUUCUAUUUUAUAGUACUUAUACUCAUUUCACCCUUUAAAAGAAAAAAAUAAAAAAAUAUGCCUCCAAGAAAAAACGACCAAACACUUAGGGAUAUUCAAAUGGAAGAAAUGAGAAGACAAAUCCAACAGUUACAAGAAACUGUAAAUGCACAACAAGCACAAUUGGAAGCCCAACACAUGCAAUCAGACGUUGAUGAAUCAAGUAGCGAAUCAUCAUCAUUAAGAAGUCGUCGUCCACAAAGACAAUCAUUUAGAGACAACGACAUCAAGGUAGAUAUUCCUGAUUUUGAAGGAAAGUUACAUCCAGAUGAGUUCGUUGAUUGUCUCCAAACUGUUGAACGAGUCUUCGAGUAUAAAGAGAUACUUGAAGAAAAGAAAGUCAAGAUCAUUGCUGUCAAAUUAAAGAAGCAUGCUUCCAUUUGGUGGUAAAAUCUAAAAAUGAAGCGAGCCCGUGAAGGAAAAAGCAAGAUCAAGACUUGGGAGAAAAUGCGUCGAGAACUUAGCAAAAAGUUCUUGCCUUCUCACUAUUACCAAGAUAGUUUUAUUCAACUACAGAACCUUCGUCAGAAAAACUUGUCUGUAGAAGAAUACACUAGAGAAUUUGAGAAGUUAAUGAUGAAGUGCGACAUUCAUGAAAGGGAGGAGCAGACAAUAGCUCGUUACCUUGGUGGAUUAAACACUGACGUUGCUCAUCCAGUUCAGCUCCAACAAUACUGGUCAUUAGACGAUGUUGUUCGUUUGGCCAUGCGAGUGGAGAAACAUUUACCCAAGAAGCAUUCUUAUAGGAAUUUUUCCUCCACUGAGAAUUCUUCUUAUCCCCGCAAAACAGACAACGAUCAGCCCAGUACUUCUACAAAACCUUCUCCUAAACCCACUACAGAAAAUAAACCCAAAGCUACCAAGUGUUUCAAAUGUCAAGGUUUUGGACAUAUAGCUUCAAAUUGUCCAACACGAAGAACCAUCACCAUCAUCAAAGGAGAAGCUUAUGAAGAUGUUGAUGAGGAAACAAACCGAGAUGAACCAGAAAAAGAAGAAGUGUUAGAGCCAAUUUAUGAUGAAGAGCUCAUUGUUGCUGAUCAUGGCGAGUCUCUAGUGAUCAGACGAAGCCUACACGCGAUGUCAGCUCAAGAAGAGUAUUGGUUGAGGAAAAACAUUUUCCAUACUCGUUGCACCACUGCUGGAAAAGUUUGUGAUGUUAUAAUAGAUAGUGGUAGUUGUGAAAAUGUGGUGUCGAACUACAUGGUAGAGAAGUUAGAGAGUGGAUUCUCUCUUGGUUUCUGAGCCAGGGAGAGUCUUCGGUAUAGGAAUUGGAUGAAGUUGUCCUUAGUUUAGUUUUUGUUUUGAUAAUGUUUGAUUAGGAUGCUAGAUAAUUUGAUGAUGUUUAUUGCUCAUUUUAUAAUGUUAGCACAUGUAAAGCACCUAGCAAUCUAUGCUCUUAGGGUUCUUCAAGCGUCUCGUGUGUCAAGUUUUAUUUUGCGACAAAACUUUUUUUAUCCCUUUGAAUCAGGGAUGGCAAAGCGGGCUGGCCAACCCAGUUUAGACUCGUCCUGCCUAAGUCUGUUUAAAACGGGACGAGACGAACAAAUUCAAAUUAAGUGACUGAGUUCAAUAUCUCACCCGACCCCGUUUAGUGUCGGACAUACAAGUUGGCAGGCCGUCCGGCCAAAUAAAAAACUUAUUUUUUUAGAGGAAAAAAAAAACUUUUUUUAAUGCAUUUUUUUACAACAUAAUUGUUACAAAAAACUAUGUUGCUUUUAUCAUAAAAAAAUAUAAAAGAAUAGGCAUCAAAUAAAUUUGUGAUAAAAACAAGAUAAUUAACAAAUUGUUGAACUAAACGUCAUACUUAAUAGCAAAAUAAGAAAAAUCCACCAACAUAAAACAAAUUUGCAACAUAAAACAAAUCCCAAAAUAAAUUCAAAAGGAUAAAAUAAGUCUAAAAAAUAAAGAAAAAUGAGUUAAAUGGGCCGGCUCGCCUUACGACAAGCCAACUAUAGGAAGCGAGUUCAAAACCUUGACUCAGCCCACCAAAAAUAGCAGGUUAAACGGGUCGACCCGCCGAGUUGGGAUCGUUUUGCCACCCCUACUUUGAAUCGAAUCAUCUUGCCUUGAAUCUUAUCAUUUUUCUUCUAUGGUCCUGGCUUAUGAUGAUCAUGUCAUUUUGAAUCGAUUCAUGACUUUUUGAUUCGCAUCAUACCUGAAUCGAAUCACAAGUUGUUGAAUCGAAUCAAUUAUAUUAUUUGGUCUUGCGUUUUGCCUUGUUGAAUCAUAUCAAUAUUCUUUGAUUUGUAUCAACCUUCUUCUCAGUUACUUUGAUUUGAUUCAAAUAAUGUUUAAAUCAUAUCAAGCUUUAUAGCUCCAAAUUUAUCCAUUUACACAUGUCUGAGUCGAAUCAUACUUACUCUAAAUCGAAUCAUGUCGUUGUGUUUGUCUAAAAUAUUGAACUUAUCACUCCUGCCUGUAUAUAACUAUACCCAUACACCUUCCAACUCACUGAAUCAAUUGCAAAUACGAAAUAAAAGACAAUUACUUUGUAUCAUACAUUGACAAUGCAUGCCAAUUAAUAUGUAACGGAAAUACAUAAGAGAUCUAGGAGGGCAAAAUUGAAAAGAGAUGACAAAAUAGUAAUUUUAGGCAAUUAGGGUUGGAAAUAGAGUUUGCGCACCAAUCUCCGUUUUAUAAUAGAUAGAUAGAUAGUGUCAAGGUACAAAAGAAAAAGAAAAAAAAAGGACCCAAGAGUAUAGUGGUGUGGUCGGUGACGGAUCCAUAAAUUUUAAAAAGUGGGGGCAAUAUAUAUAUAUAUAUUAAUUGAAAGCAUUAAAUAUAUAUUUAGAAACAAGGCUACGUUGCUAUGUAAGUGUGAGCUAAAAGAGAAAUAUUGUAUUAUAAGUGUAGGUUAUUUGAUCUAAAUGUCAACUAAAAAUUUAAAAUAUUUUGUAUAGGCACAAGCCCGCACCACAACACACAUGCAUCCGUCGCUGGGAGUGGUACAAAAGAUAAGACUUUUUUACUUUUUUUUUUUUUUGGGAACAAGACUUUUUACUUAAAUAUUCCCUCCCUCCCAAAUUGUAUGUCAUUUUAGAAAAAAUAUUUGUCCUAAAUUGUAUGUCGCUUUACAAUACCAAUGAAAAAUUAUUGUUACUUUUCCUAUUAUAUCCUUAACUAUUUAUUACUCUCUCUUCUUUCAAUUCAUUCAUUUAUCUUUCCCAUAUCAUUUAUCGAGGACAAUUUUGUAAAACAACUCAUAAUAUCUUUUUCCCACACAAUAUUAAUUACAUUUUUUAAUAUGUGUGAAAUGUUCAAAACGUCAUACAAUUUAGGACGGAGGGAGUACUUGAAUAAAGUGGUAAAAACUCUUUUUAACGAAAUCAGAUUCUAAAUUUAAAUUCAAUGAGAAUGCAACUGUGUUAAAAAAUUUGAAGAGAAUUUUCUAUCAACUAUGUUAUCCUUGUCAAUGAAUUAGUUUUUACGGUUUCCGCGUAAAAAUAUUUGGUUAAAAAAAAACUUCAAAUAAAAAAUACUAUUAUAUUUUGAUUUCUAAAAUAAAAGAAUUCAAAGGAGUAGAGAGAGAGAGAGAGAGAGAUGAGGGAGUAGACAAAGACAAAGCGAGCUAAACGAAGUUACUGCUGUUGGGGCGUGUGUGUUACUGUCGAGUUCUUUGGUGUGGAUAAAAACCAUAAUAACAAGAGAAGGGUCAUGUGUCUCUCAUCUUAUCUUCUUUUCUGGGUACGUUUUCUCAUCGCUCAAAUUCCUGUAGAGGGUAUUUAAAUCAAUGUUCUCUUAUUCUCAUAUUUUUUUCCCUUUAUAAUAAUAAUUAGAUGAUUUAUCAAGAGGAGCAAAGGUUGCCUUUAUUUAUUAUUUUUUCUUUGUUGACUUGAUUUCAAAUGCUUAUAAUUCUUUAUACUGUACUUUAUAUCUGAAUGUGGUUUAAAUAAACUGUUUCUGAAUAGUGAUACUUAAUUUUGACUUUUCUACUGUCUCUGCACUCUUGACUUUCACAAUUGUGCAUUAUCUGUCUGUAACAUUUUCUAUUUCAGUUUAUCCGGUUGGAACAGAGUUAUUUGCUCUUAUAGACAUGAUAUAUGAUUUUGUUCAUCAUGGCCUUUCUUGUAGGUGUUUGCUUCCUGAUUUUUUAAAGGUGUUUCUCUAAUUGAUGUGUCUAAAGGUUAGACUGAUUUCUCUUCUGUUUAGCCUCAAAUACUAAACCUUCUUAUGAAUUCUUAUACAUUUAUGUAAGAAAAUGUGAGGCUGAGAAUUGUGGGUAUGCUCACUUUUGAACUUUGAAAAGUAGGUACUAGAUAAUUCACAUUUUGUGGCAUAGUACACUUUAUCAUUUUGUUUAACAAGCAUAGUACACUUUAUAAUAUGCUAAGAGAGUUUGCGCGUCUCUCUAGUUUCCACCAUGAUUAUUUUGAUUUCUACACGAAGGUUUCAUCUUGGGAGUGCCUGAUGUUCUUUGAGUGGAGCUACUAAGUUCACGUGAGUGUGCAAACUGUGAAUCAAUCAACUUCAUAAGCUUAUAAGUUUAUCUAAUAGGGAGUAGUUAGGAAAUAGUGCACGUUAUUUUUUCAGGAGCCCAAUGGUAAAUGGAUACAAAGAAAAAUGGUAAUGAUUGUUACUUGAAUUUGAAUAUUCUGUAACUGAAAAAAAUGUUGAUAAAGUAGUAUGAUAGUCUCACAUUCUCUGGAAAUUUAUUUCAAUUGGGAUGGUUCCCAUUUUUGUUAAUGGAAAUAUGUUUGUUCGAAGGAGUCUUCUUUUUUUCAAAUAUUUCCCCCCUGCCUUUAUCAUCUCCCUGAAUUGCACAAUCUCCUUAUUUGCCGGUUCUGUUUUCCCGAAGUUUUGCUUAUGUCUGAGAAUUUCCGGUUCUUUUAGAACCUUUAUGGGUCAGAGAUUUAUGAUUUGGCAUCUUUUUUGGGCUUUUUGACUUCUUUUGUAAAAGCAAAUCCGGUGUGUAGUCGAUAAUUAUAUAAAUACUCCUCUCUAUGUCUAGUCAAUCAUUCAUUUGUUCAAUCUUACACAUAAAUAAUGCAGCAGCCGUAGGCAUAUUUCAAUGUGUUUUGAAGUGUAAGAAUUUUGAUUUAAAUUUUCAGCUCAACAUCACUAGAGUGAUAAAACUUCUCAUGGAAUUCAUUCACGUGCAGAUAUAUAUGUGUUUGAAUUAAUUUUUUGGUAGUCACUAGUCAAACUUAAGUGAAGCUUACUACAAUAAUUUAUCCUCCAAUUAUUCCACUAAAAUAUGAAAUCCUGUCAGUUUAAAAUUCCAUUCUCAUCAUAUAUAAUAUGAUCCAUUCAACUGAAUUUGUUAAUCUGCUGCAACACGCGUUAGGAGUUGAAUCCAGAUUAACAAUUGAAUGUAUCAAUCUAAUGGUUGUCUAAAUUAGCCUUUUGUAUCAGUAAAUGUUGAUUAGGCUUUUUAAUCACUUUUGUUUUACCCUAGUCAACUUACUAUGUUUCUUUCUUGGUCAGUAAUGAACUGUAUUUUGUCUUCAGGAAGAUGCAUGAAUUCUCUACCGUUGAUGGUUUUGUGGAGAUAAGUGAAUGCAUGGCGGAUAUGAUCAAAUACGUGGCUAAUGAACCAUCUGUGGGGCUUUACUUUAUCCAACAACAUGCUCAAAAUGCAGUGCCAAAUGUCAUUAAAGCUGACAAAAAUAUUGUCGAAAAGGUUCACGAAACAACUUUGCACACUGAAGACUUGGAGGACUCUAUUACAGCAGUUCGAUCAAUGAAAGAGUGUGGAUUUUCCAUAGUCAAUGAGAUGAUAGGUGACAUAAACAAAUCUCUGGAAAUUAUGAAAACAAAAAAACCAAAAAAAGGGUCAAUCCAUUCAUCAACAUCAUCACCAAAUUCUCAGACAGAAAGAACUCGUUUUUGGGGCAAUCAUGCUUUUUAUGCUCAGGAAGGUGAUGAUAAAAAGAGUAACUAUUUUUCAAAUGUUUUAAAGUCGGCGAAACAGAAGGUUAACAGUCUCAAGUGGCAACAGCCUGAUGGUAAAGGAUCAGUAGAUUCCAACGAAGAGAAGCUACGAUAUCCUGAUUUGCCAUGGUCAAUCACAUCAGACGGCAUAACUUCAUCAUUACAGGGAACCGAACCUGAUGAUUUGCCUAUAUCGAGUCAGGUUGAAGACGAGUCUCAACACGAACAGACCGAUGAAAGUGAUAUUAGCAUUAAGUUGUUGUCAUUGUCAGAAAGGUUUGAUGACUUCAGAGCUAAUAAAGAAGCUAAACUAGAGGAGUGGCUUGAAGGAACUAGCAAACAUGAUGAUUAUUGUGACGCAGAUGAAGUAGAAAGAGGUUAGUUUGGUUACACUUGAUGAAAACUUCAGCAUACACAUUCACCAAUUGAUCUGCUAUGCUGUAAUACAUUCUUUGAACAAACAUGAUACACCGUUGGAUUAAUCAAUGUAUCACACUGCAUUCUUUUUUCAUGAAAUUUCAAUGUUGAUUUCCUUAUGUCAACAGGUAAGAAGCUUCUCGAGAAUGAUGAGAAGAUAAAUACUGGAAACAGUGGAUUCGAAGGUGAAGUGCUAUUGCAUGCAGUUCAGCCAUGAACCACUAAGAUAAGCCUGGUUGUAACAUGUUACUCAAUUUCAAAGGAUUAUUACAUUUUAGUCCUUAGAGUUUUGGGAAGAUUCAUUCAAGUCUUAUAAAUUGUAAUAGCAAAAUUGACCCUGUUAUAUGAUAUUGUUUUUGAAAUGUUCAGAGGUCCCUCCUUGUUUUAGUCAUUGAUAGACACCACAGUUGCAACAGAAGUGACCCGACAAUAUGAUUUGCAAAGUGAUUUGUUUCUGUUUGUGUUUCCUUUUCAUGUUUUAGUGGCCACAUGUGACAUUUAUGGUGCACUGGUUUAUUAUUAAUAUAAUACUUUUAUUUGUCCAGGCACUUGAUAUUAUCUUUGAGUCUAGUCCAAGUUCACAAGCGAUAUUCACAGUGCAUUAGUUUUCAAGUGAUGUGCACAACACACACAUAUGUUAAUUUUGUUUUUGAAAAGUCAAUGAUUUAUUGAUAAAGGGAUGCAUGAAGAAUUGUUUUUGGUAGUUGAAAAAGUGUUUAUAGGUUCGUCAGUUCAGUGCAUUUCCUUCCCGUGUAUGAAAUAAUUAUUUUUUGUGCAAUAUAUCACGGAUAAUGUACCUUUCAAUUGAAGGCUCGGCUGGAUAUUCAACAUUUUUUUUAUUUUUAUAGAAAUGAUAUUGUCAACCUAGAAGAUUACAUUGGAGUAAGUUGGUUCCACGACAAAGUGGUAAGAAAGAUGGGGAAUGGAAGGAAUACGAGUUUUUGGAAAGUUCCAAGGGGGAAACACCAUUUUAUUUAAAAUAUCCGAGACUUUUUGAAAUAUCAAACCAAAAGGAGGUAACAGCGGAGGAGGUGAAGGGAUUGCAUAAGCAAAUAGUGAAUGAGAAUUUAUAUGGCGGCGGAAUUUAUUUGUUUUGGAGAAUAACCUUCUUAAAAAUUUAUUGAAAGAUUUGGAGGGUCAUAGGUGGUCUCACGAGGAGGAUGGUUGGAUUUGGAGGGCCGAGGAUGGUGAGGCAUGCUGAGGAUAUAGUGGAAGAGAUUAAGGUAACAUCGUGACGUAGGGUUUGAGGUGGGGUUUAGUAUGGGAAAGAGAAGUUGUUUCCUAUCAUGGGAAAGUUUUUUUUACCAUUAGAUUAAAGAGGAGUACUAAUUUUAUCAUAUAACUGCCUACAUCAUAUUUUUUCUCUCUUUUAUGCUAAUUUUUUUUUCUUGUUUAUUAAGAUAUGAAAUUUUAGACCCAGUUACUGCCUACAUCAUGAUAACAAAUUCACUCACGUUACCUGGACUAUAUCACGUUCAUGAAGAUACUUCAAGCCAUUUAAAAUCUGUCAUACCAUUUGAAUCACUACUCAUGGAGGUUGAAUGAGGGUGAGGAGUGAAUUCCAGAUUGUGAGAUUGCUGCAAGUGGUGGGUGAGAGAGAUGGAGAAGAGUGAAAAAAAAAUUAUGUAUUGAGUGUCUAUGAUAAAAGCAUGUUCCUUAUUAAAUCUAAUGGUCAGAAAAAACUUUCCCAUGAUAGGAAACAAGUAUCCUUUCCCAUACUAAAUGCCACCAGUAGGGGUGGGAAUAGGCCAGGCCAGACUUUGAUAGGCCUGAGCCUGACCUACGAAAUAAAUCACAAGCCUGAGCCUGGCCUAUGGCCUAUCAUAGGCCGUUUUUCUAGGCCUGGCCUGACCUAUUUAAAAGUCUGGACUGGCCUGAAAGCCUACUUACAGGCCUACUUCACAUUAAGGCCAUCAAAUAGUUCAUUUGGCCUACUAAAUAGGUUAAACAUGUCUUAAAGCCUACUUAAAAGCCUAUUUCACUACAAGUAAAUUUCAACUAGAUUAAAGCCUAUAACAACAAAGCCUAUUAAGGGACUAAUAGAUAGAGAAAAAGAUGUUUAUAUUUUUAAUAUAUGCAAUUAUUUUAAUAUAAAAAAAAUAUUUUUCAAUAAAUAAGUAUUAAUAGGCCGGCCUAUUAGGCUUAACAGUCUUUUUUUGAAGCUUAAGCUUGACCUAUUUAACUAAACAUGCUUUCUAAAAAGCCUAAGCCUAUCUACUAAACAGUCCAGGCCAGGCUAGGCCGUAGGCCCCUGUAGGCCGGCCUGGCCUAUUCCCAACCCUAGCCACCAGGGUUUGAACAUAUUAAAAAUCCCAACUUGUACUAUGAAUAAUGUUGAAACUCAAAAGGUGGAUCAAAUCAACGAAAUGGCAACAAUGGAGGGAUUAAAAUUUGCAAUUAAGCCUUUUUAACCUCUCCACUGCCAUCGAAAGCAAGAAAAAUCAAAGUACCAUAACCUAGUUUUAUAUAAAAAAAAGUAUCAUAACCUCUUAAUAAAAUAAUGAAAAAAUAGUUUACAAGUCUUAAUUCAAUUGAUUAAAAUAUGAGAAUUAUUAGAUCGAAUGUCUUAAGUGUGUUAAUUUUUGAUUGCUAUACCGUCUAUUAAGACAAAUGAAAAGAAGUUCCAAUAAAUUUUUAACUACUAUAUCCUCCGCGUGCAACUGUCAAGCUCUCAAUAAGAGUUUUAAGGAUGCUGCAGCCUGCAUACCCAAUAGUAAAUUAGACCCACGAAUUUGAUUAAGAUAAAAAAGACUUGCACCCUCCCAUCUUAACGCUAUUGACUUUAAUAUGAAUUUUUAACUAUGCUGUUACAUUAAAAAAAUGAAAAAGAAAUAAAGAAGCUUAUGAGUUUUCAUUGAAGCUUAAAAAAUGACACUGGCCUAUUUAAAAGUAGAAAACACAAAAAACAACUGUCCUUAAAGUGUGUGACACUUGUCUUAACUCCUACACUUCAGUUCUUGUCUUUUGACCCUACAAAACAUAUUAACACUCACACGUCACAUAACUCACACGAUGUUGAAUUGACCACAUGAAUACGAAUAUCCUCUCUUUCUCUCUCACUUUCAACUUUUCCACACACUCGUGAUUUCACCGCUCCACAAUUUCAUAAUCUUAAAUAAACCGUUUUCUCCUUCACUUUUAAUUUAAUAAUAACAAAUCACCGUUCCGCCACCGCGCUUAUUCCAAACGCGCUUUUCCGCUAUGACGAGAAUGAAAAAACUCAGCCUCGCCGCUGGUGCAGUAAUCGCCACCACAUACGGUGGCACUUUGAUCCUUCAAAAUCCCUCAAUCUCCUCCAGCGACUCCGGUUCCCUUCAAGCUCUUCGGCAGAAGCUACACGCUCCGGAUGCCAUUGUUCCGUCGAGGGAAACGCAGCAGUCGGUGUUGAUAGCUGCCAGUAAGGCGAAUCCUCUUGAUGUUCUUGUUAUUGGCGGUGGUGCCACUGGUGCCGGUGCCGCGCUUGAUGCCGUGACACGUGGACUCAAGGUUGGGCUCGUUGAACGGGAGGAUUUCGCUUCCGGAACUUCGUCGCGAUCCACGAAGCUUCUUCAUGGAGGUACGUAACGUGCGCAAGUUUGGUUGCAAAUUUACAAUAUAAUAAUAGUAAUAAUAAUGAAUGAAUCAUGCGUGUUUAGAUAAUGGAUUUUUUUGUUUUUUAUUUGAUAAAUAGUUUUAACGUGUGAUUAUGACUUAUGAUGAUGAAAUCUGUAAUUUAAAAUAUUCAAUUGUAUAUAAUAUAAUUUCUUGCUUAAUGAAUCAACAUGUUUUUUUUUUUUAUUUUUUAUUUUUAAUGAGAGUGCAGUGCAACAUGUGUGAAAAUAUAAACAUCUGGUAACUGAACACAACUAACUAUAUUGUCUUGUAGCACCAAAACUUUUGAUCGAAUACCUGUUAGGACAGAUGUUGGUGUGUUAUAGUGUCACACGACACUGACCCUUGUGAUUACAUUGAAUUAUGCAUUUUUUCAAAUUAUUAUCGAUGUUGAUGCAUUGGUGUGCAUGUCGUGUCCAGUGUAUGUGCCUGUGUCCGUGUUUCAUAUUAUUGUUUCUUUUGGGAUCUGAUUUGUGCCUAAUAAUAUUGUGUUUUGACUGCUGAUGUAUUGAAAACGAGUCUUCCAUAGCAAAUGAUACAAUUUGCACAAUGUGGUGUGGAAAUAUGCAAAUGUAGAAGCACCAACUUGUGUUUUAUAUAAAACCAUUCAUGAACUCUACACCCAAUAAUUUAAACUUUUAUGAAGGUUGAUGACUAGAUUUUUUAUUAUUUUCCCUCUCGCCUUCAACUGAACCCUGUUUGAAAUGAAUUUUGGAUAAUUGAGCCCUUGUUUCCCAUUUCUAAUAUCAGUGUUUUUGUGAACUGUUAGGUGUUCGUUACUUGGAGAAAGCCGUCUUUAAUCUUGACUUUGGACAAUACAAGUUAGUACUUCAUGCACUUGAUGAGCGUAAACGGGUUAUUGAAAAUGCACCACACCUAUGCCAUGCAUUGCCGUGCAUGACACCGUGUUUUAGCUGGUUUGAAGUAGUGUACUACUGGGCGGGCUUGAAAAUGUACGAUUUGGUCGCAGGAAGACAACUGCUGCACUUAUCAAGAUAUUAUUCUACAAAAGAAUCUGUUGAUCUCUUCCCCACUCUAUUAAGGGAGGGAAAGGAUAGAAGCCUAAGGGGCACAGUUGUUUAUUAUGAUGGGCAGAUGAAUGAUUCACGUCUUAAUGUUGGAGUGGCUUGCACUGCUGCUUUAGCUGGUGCGGCAGUGCUUAACCAUGCGGAAGUGGUAUCCUUACUGAAGGAUGAUGCUGGAGAACGAAUAAUUGGUGCACGAGUUCGAGAUAAUUUAACCGGUAAGUUUUCUUUUAAUUUCUAAUUGUUACCACAUCCUCAUCCCAUAAGUGAAUAAACCUCUGCAGUCGGAGGAGAACAGUUGGUCUUAUUGUAAAAUAAAUGUGAAACUCUAGUGUUUGCUUUUGUGUAUACUUCGAAAUAGUUUUUAUAUACAAGGUUUUUAGUUUUAUCGAUAGGCUUUUUUCACUUACUAAGCAAUUGACCAACGUCAUCUAACAAUAGGUAUACUAGUUAAUAUUGACUGAAAGAUGAAUAACUUUCCCGUCAGUGUGGGAUGUAUGAUAAAAUAAAUGCAGCUUCUUUUAAGAAUAAAAAGUAAAAUUUAAUUAUUUUACCCUGAUAAUUAAUUACAUUUGUUUGCUAUUUUCUGUAAUGCAGGAGAGGAGUUUGAUACAUAUGCAAAAGUGAUUGUGAAUGCAAGCGGGCCAUUUUGUGACGCUGUAAGGAAAAUGGUCGACAAAAAUGCAAAAGAAAUGAUUGCUCCUAGCAGUGGUGUACAUAUUACACUCCCUGAUUACUAUUCUCCUGAGGGAAUGGGCUUAAUUGUUCCCAAAACUAAGGAUGGACGUGUUGUUUUCAUGCUUCCAUGGAUGGGACGAACCAUUGCUGGAACUACAGAUUCUAGUACUAGCAUUACAUAUCUUCCAGAACCGCAUGAAGAUGAAAUACAAUUUAUAUUGGAUGCAAUAUCUGAUUACCUUAAUGUUAAGGUAUGUUGUACCUGCCAGUAUAGAUAAUUUUUUUAACUCAUUACGUGUUCUUACUUUCUGAAGAGUCGGUAUGGAUAAAACACAUUGAUGUUGUUUAAUUCAUGUAGCUAAUCCCACCUAUAGGAAAGGCUGUAGUUUUUUUAUUUUUUUUUAAUGUUUUUUUACUCUUAUUUCUGAUGUUUAGAUUAAUAACUACAAGUUCUCUGAGAUAUUACUUGUUUGUAAGUAUGUUAGAUUGUCCUAGAAAAAAAAAUGGAAGACUCUAUUUCUUAUUUAAUUAUGUAUGUCCUUUUGAUUCUUGAUUAAAUGCAAGCCAACUGAUGCUGCUGAGCUGCCAAUCAAUCUAGAUGUCAUUUUAAAAUAUACCCCCUCUGUUCCUAAGUAUAAGACCCUCACGAGUUUUUUCUUUGUUCCUUUCUAAAAGACCAUAUUUGAAUUUUCAACUACAUUAAUUAUUUAUUAACUAGCAUACCCCUAAUUAAGUUACAUCUUUUUCUGCAAUCUCUAAUAAAUACUCUUAAUAUAAACAUUAGCUAAUUCUUUCUCUUGAAGGAUAAACUUGUAAAAACAAUGCCAAUUAUUAACAAAUUUAAUAUACCUACCAACUUCCUUAAUUCCCAUGAUUUACUCAAGGGGAGAUCCUAUAUUUAGGGACGGAGCUAAUAUAUAUACGUGUGUGUGUGAGAGAGAGCGCGUGUGUGUUGCAUUUUCGGUCUUACACUGUUGGCUAACAGGGAAUAAAUAACGAUGGAAAUUUUUUAGGUUCGCCGCGUUGAUGUUCUUUCUGCUUGGAGUGGCAUUCGCCCAUUAGCAGUGGAUCCAACAGCAAAAAGUACUGAGAGUAUCUCAAGGGACCAUGUUGUCUGUGAGGAUUACCCUGGUUUGGUCACCAUCACCGGCGGCAAGUGGACUACCUAUCGUAGGUAAUGAUUUAACAGCAGCUUGUUGAAGUUUGUUUAGAUGUGGUUUCACUGACUAGGCAUGACAUGUCAUUGUACUGGUAAUCUAGUUACUCUAGUUUAUAUUUACAUCACACAAAAGUUUCUAUGCAUAUUAAUAUUGUUAUGAUCUCUGUGUUUCAGCAUGGCAGAAGAUGCUGUUGAUGCAGCUAUAAAGUCUGGAAAGCUGACCCCCGCCAAUGGAUGUGUGACCAACAAUCUCUGCAUUGUUGGUGGUGAAGGGUGGGAGCCUUCUUCUUUUACAGUUCUUGCUCAACAGUAUAAGCGCAUGAAAAGUACAUAUAGUGGUAAAGUUGUCCCUGGGGUAAUGGACUCUGCUGCUGCAAGGCAUUUGUCUCAUGCAUAUGGAACAUUGGCUGAGCGUGUGGCUGCCAUCGCUCAGGUUUGCUUUUAUUGCUUUAUAUUUCUCAUUGUUAUUUUCAUUAAGCAACAAAGCAUUUACAUAUGCAUCUUACAUAAAAUGGACCGGGUGAUUUUGUACCAUCUUCGCUUUGGAGCUAUGUUUACAACUUUUCAGUUACUUUUGGGAUUCUCACACUUUAAAUGAACACAGUGCUCUGCUUUGUGUUUUUCUUUCCAUUUCUUAUAUUUAAUGAUGACGUACCUUUAUCCUUAUGCCACUAUAAUUUCGUUUUAAAAUAGUUCAACGGUUUUCUAUUUUGGUUGAGCUUGUUUGCAUUGUUUUAGAAUUUCAAAAGAAUUUGCCUAAAUGACACCAUUAGUACCGUGGUCAAAAUUGAAAACACUUUUGCAUGCAAUUUGGAUAGAAAUGAUGCAUCAGGUGAAAAUUGAGGUAGCCCCUGUCAUGGAAAAGAUGAUAGAAUUUUGCCUUUGGUGAUUUGGGCAUGUGUGGAAAAGAGCUUAAAAAGCCUCAGUGAGGAGGUUGCAUCAGAUGAAGAGUAGUCUAAUAAUUUAAGGUUGAGGGAAACUAAAAAAAUCGAAUGUUGAACCAUAAAAAAUGAUUUAGAUUUAAACAGUUAAUCAUUAGACAUGAUCUUUUUAAAAGAAUAACCAAUCCCACACAAUUGAAAAAAAAAACCCUUUGCUGUUAUUUUUGUAAGGUGUAUCAUUUUGCCAAGUUACAAGACUUCAUAUUACAGUCUGGUGACGGGUUGAUGUGAUUUUUUAGAUCAUGCUAUUGAUUGUAAAUAAAAGAUCUUGUAAACCAUAGUAAGGCCGUUCAUUUCAAUUCUCUUGCGUUUUUAUGUUUACUUUGGGAGUGGUGGUGUUGAUAUUCCAACAUCCUCUUUUGAGAUAUUUUUGUAGUGUUAUUUAUGGUAAUAAUAAUAAUGUUUAUCAGCUUCAUGGGUGUUAUAGAAGGUUUGUCAGCUUCUGCUUUUCAUAAAAUUGACUACAUUUUGUGUUUCAGAAUGAAAAUUUGGGCAAGCGACUUGCCCACGGUUACCCAUAUCUGGAGGCAGAGGUAGCUUACUGUGCUCGUAAUGAAUACUGUGAAUCUGCUAUCGAUUUCAUUGCAAGGAGGACUCGUCUUGCUUUCCUUGAAACUGAUGCAGCAAGAAGGGCAUUGCCUCGUGUGAUCGAAAUAUUGGCAAAUGAACACAAAUGGGACAAACCAAGGCAGAAGGAAGAGUUGCAGAAGGCUACAGAUUUUUUGAAGACUUUUAAAUCCUCAAAAAAUGCCCAGUUUCAUGAUGGGAAGCACAGUUAGUAAGUGCAAAAAACAACACAUAUCUGUUAACUAUACGUUAAUGAUGGCGCCGUCACAUACCAAACAUUUUGAUAGUGUUAACUAAUUUUUGUGUAAUUUUUCUCAGGUUGAGGACUUUGAUGAACCUGAAAGUUUUCACAUGACAAACAUUUUGGUAUUCAUUUCCGCUGAUCAAUUGGUGAAUAUGCCCACUAUAGAAAGUGGCUAUAUACAUUUAAAAUCAACUUCUACACGAAUUUGUCUCGAAUUUGCCUGCAAAAAUAAUGCUUGCAAGUUGGAUAGAUUUUUUUGCACAGUUACCUGCCAUAAUAAUUUUCUUGAGAUUGAUUAGACUCUCUACCUCGCCAAAGUUGUCCACGAGAUAAGGACUUGAGGGUUAUGUUUUUGGUUUGACUCUGAUCUGUACAUUUUGUUGUCCUUUUCUCCAUAAUAUUUGAUGUCAAUUAACAUUGAAAAUUUACUCAAGCGAAGGAGUGCUUCAUGAUACUUCGAUAUGGAUUGAGAUUAUCUGCAUGUUAAGCUUUGUUACAUUACAUAUAAUAGAAAAAGAUAGUAGGUUAUUUUACUAUGGUAUUUAAGAAAACAGUAUUUUGGAUGGAUAAACAAUUUAUUUGCGGCUUACAGCACAAAAGCUUAUCAUGAUAAGUGCUUAUGUAUAAGCUUGCUUAAACUAUUUUUAUAACGAAACAAAAAUAACAUUAAAUUGUUUUUGUAUAUUCUAUAAGUUGUUUUAUAUUGGAGAGUUUAUAAAAUACGUUGAAAAAAGCUUAAGAAAAUUGUUAUUUUCAUAAAUUCUUCCGGUCUUACAAAACUUAAUGUCGGUAAUUAAAUUCAAACAUGUUAAUCCAAACAGAUCCUAUACGUAAAAAAAAAAUAAAAAAAAUCAUUAUAUAUAAGUUUCUUUAGUCGUAUACAAAUAAUGAAAUUUUAUGAUAUGUUCACUCUUGACUAUCAUUUACUUUUUACUAGACAAACUAAGUUCAUAUUAUUAUUAUCCAACAAAACUAUUUUACUUUACAUUAUGAUUUAUGAUAAAUAAAAGAAAGAGAUAUUAAUAUUUUGUUAUGUCGAGUAGUAAGCUGUGGAAGUAUAAAUGAAUUGAGAGAGAGCUAUCAAAAUAUUACUGAGGGAACCCAUACUAUUCCCCGGGUAUGCAAAGCCAACGGAUAAGAUAGAAAAGAACGAGAGCAGCUACAGAUACAAUUCCCAGUUUUGUUUUGCGGCAAUUUGAAAAAGAAAUGGGUUCAGCGGCAACAAUGGCGAUGACAGCACUCUAUUUCACCACCAUCAAAUCAACCAAACUCACUUCUACCUUCCGCACUCUCCCCCGCUUCACUUGUUCCUCCUCUUCCAAAUUCAACAUCUCUUUCUCUCCCUCUAACCCCAAACCCAAGCCUACUCCUCAGCCCAAAACUCAAACCCCCCACGACGACGAUGACGAAGGUCCUCUCAUGAUUCCGUGGAUUGUUCGCGGCGAAGAUGGCAACUUCAAGCUUCUAUCAGAGCCUCCUCCCAGUUUUCUCAAAGAAAUGGCUAAUGCUCAAACCGGUACCAAAAAAUCAGAGAAGGACCAAAUUACCAAAAACAAGAAGAAGGGUGAAAAAGAAACCAAGAUUCGUGCGGUCACAGCGCCGCCUAAAUAUUCUAAAGCUGCAAGGAGAUUCUAUAAUGAAAAUAUUAAGGACGACUCCGGUACUCGUCUCAGUAAGGUUCUUGCCGCCUCCGGAGGUGAUAUUUCGUUACCAUUUACUUCCAAUUUCUAUAAUGUUUUAACAAAGGCGUGUCCGGUGUUCGACUCAGUCACAACAUUUGUCACAUCUGAUUACAUUCAAUUAUGUUAUUUUCUGUGUCAAUGUCGUGUAUGGUGUCUACGUGUGCUUCAUAGCUUCUAAAUCAUUUUGUAAAGUGUAAAGUUGUUUUAAACUCUUCAUAAUUGUUUAAUAAUAUUCGGAUUGUAUCAGAACUUAAUGUUUUUAUAUGAAACAGAAAUAACAACAUAAUCGAACUUGUUUAGCUUGAAAAGUAGGGAGGCUUAGUUAUUUGAAUUAAAAAAUGCAUCUAAUGAGCCAAAAUAUUGGACUAAAUGUGCGUAGCUAAAUUUGUAAUCGUGCUCUUCUGUUUUCAGUUGCAUCUAGGAGAAGCUGUGAAGACCUUAUUUUUAAAGGCAAGGUUACCGUUAAUGGUUCUGUCUGUAAUACACCUCAGGUUUGUUCCCCGCCGUUAUGAAAUUUCACCAAAUUAGGUUUUUUAGCAGCAUAGUGUUAGUGUUGAUAUACCAUGAUUUCAUUGAUCACUUCAUGGAUUAGAGCUUUUAGGUCCAUUUUAUGUAAGCAGGUAUUAAUCAGAACUAGUCAAUAUUGUUUAAGGUAGUAUACUAGUUGGUUAUGACUAGUUAGAAGUUGGUUAUAUUAGUUAUACGUUAGGAUCACUAUAUAAGGUGCAUCCUAUGCCAUCAUAUCAAUUUUUUAUUCAAUCAUAACUAACUAGUAUACUACCUUAAACAAUAUUGACUACUAAUUCUAAUUAAUAUCUAACUAUAUCUAACAUUGCUUUUAAAAAAGCUAUAUGAUUUUGUUUUUCAGUUUUUCUUCUUCUAGAAACUAAUGUUUUUGGCUUAUGAGAAAAACACUUUUGUGGUGUGUAGACUAAAGUGGAUCCCUCAAAGGAUAAUAUCUAUGUCAAUGGAAGCCGCCUUCCUAAGAGGCAGCCUCACAAAGUUUAUCUUGCCUUGAACAAACCAAAAGGGUAUGUAAAAUGAUAUGAUAUCCUAUGCAAAUGAAUUCAAAAGGGUAUGUAAUAUGAUAUCCUAUCCUGAUAAGUGAUGCAAUUACAUUUUCACAGGUACAUAUGCUCAUCUGGGGAAAAGGAGUCUAAAUCUGUUAUAAGUCUAUUUGAUGAUUUUUUGAGCAGUUGGGUAUGUGUCACUUUGAGCUUUAUUUAUAUUUAAUUAUAGACAGUGUUCUUUCUUUUUUUACUUGGUAGAAAUCUUUUGAGAUGAUAUGUAAUUUUCCGUCUUUUUAGGAUGUAGUUUUAUAUUUCUCCAUUUAUAAUAAUGUUCUCUCCAUCACCUGAAAACAAUUUUAUUUCUAGGAUAAAAAGCAUCCAGGUGUACCCCCACCAAGAUUAUUUACUGUAGGGCGCCUUGAUGUUGCUACUACUGGGUUACUUAUUGUGACUAAUGAUGGUAUGUGGUUUCUUGUGAAAGCAAUUUUAUCUCUGUUGAGUGAACAGUGGUUCUGUUAAUCUAAACAAACAGUUUCAUCUAAUACUUUAUCCAAUGGUUCUUGUUCGCAGGAGAUUUUGCUCAAAAACUUUCACAUCCGUCAUCUAAUUUUUCAAAAGAGUGAGUUAUGAGUUUGACUUGUGUAUUUUUUUUCCUGAACUUUUUCAUUAGUUUGGAUCGGUAUCUUAUCUAUGGGAACAGAAAGAAUACAUCACAAGAUUCGUACUUGGACUUUAUAAAUGCUUUCUAAUUUGAUAUUUUUCUGUGACUUAAAUCAUUAUGAUUUAUGUAUGGCUUAUGUUAUUUUUCGUUUUUGGUCUGUGUUAUUAUUUCUAAGAUAAUUAAAGUUCUCCAUUCCUGUGAAUUCUCUCAUUUUCCAAAACAUUACAUUUGUUUGAUCAGAUACAUUGCAACAGUUGAUGGUCUAGUUCAUAAGAGGCACUUAACAGCCAUAAGUGAGGGAACAACAAUUGAGGGCGUCCAUUGUGUACCUGAUAGUGUAGAGUUACUUCCACGUAUGCCGGAUACACAAAGAUCUCGACUUCGUAUUGUGGUAAAUAUAUCUAUUUUUGAUCUACUAUAUCAAUUAUGCCACCCAACACUGGUUGUGAAUUUUUAACCACCACAUUAGCUGAUUAUGACAUGAUAUCUUGAACUAUAGUUUCCUGAUGCAUAACGUUAAUAAAGUUGUCUUUUAAUCCAUACUUAGUGUUUUAGGAAUAUGGUAUACCGUAAGUAUGAAGUUAUUGACUAUGUUUCAUGUGACACUACUUUGGAUCAAUUCUAGUAGAUGCUGCCACACAUACCUAGAUAUCUCUGCAUUGAAAUUUUGAUUUUCUUUGACUGCAGUCAUAGGUUGAAAUGUUUUAAUAGUUAUAUGAUUUUGAGUAUUUUAAUUUUCCGCCUCUUAUUUAAACUUCAAAGCAAAGGAACUCUCAAGUGAAUAUUUUUUUUUCUUUUUCUUUUUUCUGAAUACCCCAUUUUAUUCCAGAACCCUUGAUGUUCAACACUAAAGAUAGUCUCUUUAAAAAAACUCUGACCAUUAAUGUGAAAAUGGGCAUGUCAUAUGGAAAAAUUGGUUCACAUUUUAGCAAUAAUACAGGCCAUUGACAUCCUUAUAUCUGCAUUAUCAAGAUGGCUUCUUUUUAGUCUGUUCAAUUCAAUAUGCUUGUUAGAGCAUUCAAAUUGUGAGAUGAUGAAAAAACAGUCGAACUUAGUUGACAUAUGCUUGCUUGAUUUAAUUUGGAUUCUCAUAGGUUCAUGAUGGAAGGAAGCACGAAGUUCGUGAACUUGUUAAAAGUGCUGGACUUGAGGUAACCUUUAAUUAUAUAUAUAAUUCGUUAUAUGACCCUCAAAAUGCGAAAAGUUCUAAUGCUUGAGCAUGUGUAAUAUGCAAAAAUGAUGAAAUUUAGUAAACACAAUCCCAAUCAAACUAGACAAUAUUUCGUGUUUCACAUUUUUUAGCAGUUUAUUUAUCAUGUAAUUGAUAUUUUUCUCACAUAUAUUAUCAAAAUUGUUAGAUCCAUAAUAUAAUACUCUCCAUGUUGUUUGAUAUUUUCUUUAUUUUAUGAUGUUGAAUAAAUUCUUGUUAAUAGCCUUGCUUUAUGUUUUGUUUCAUAUUUCAGAUUCAUUCAUUAAAGCGAGUUCGCAUCGGUGGUUUUAGACUUCCACCAGACCUUGGGUAAAUUUUGUGCUUUUAAUUGUCGUCUUUAGCUCUCGCGUGCGGGAGUCUUUUUCAGUAGCAGCAGCAAUAUUCAAAUAGAAUCCCAACAAUAAUAUUUCAAUUGAUUUUUUUUUUUUUUGUACAAACGGGUUAACUAGUUUUCAUCUGUUGUACUCUUAUUUCAGGAUAGGGAAGUAUAUUGAGCUAAAUCCAACAAAUCUGAAAGCAUUGGGAGGAAGAGUUAACAAAGCUAAUUCUUAAUUUGUUGGAGUUGUAAAUCAUCCUCAUGCUUAUUCGUAUUUGGACAAUCUGAAGCUAUCAUCAAAGAGUUGGCCAAUGUUUUUUUGAUUUGAGCUAUUGGAUUCUGAUACACGGGGCAUUACUUGAGAAAUAUUUUGAAUAGCCACAGACUUUCUGGAGCGUUUGACAUCAUGCCACACCGAGGCUCUCGCAAUCAAUCAUCAAACAUAGCUACAUAUUUUAGAAGAAUUGGGUAAAAAAUUUAAACUGGAUGGGAAGCGGAUGAGCUUUUCAUAUGAUCAUGCAUGAGGUCGGGAUAUUGGUGGUAGCUUUAUUAAAUGUAUGUAUUGUAAUUUGUAAAUGGUGAUGCUGUAUAACCUAAUGACGUUAGUUUAGGCAGCUUAUAGCAUACAAGUGAUGUACCAAACAUUUAUGAAUAAAAUUGCAAGCAUCGUAUCAUUACCACUCUCUAACCUAAGCCAAUGAUUCCGGACCGUUCCUCCAACAUUGCCUUUGCCAGGUAUCCACCCACAUCAAGUAGUGCACGCGAGCUGGUUUCAAACCCAGAAAGUUAUCUUUUUUUUUUUUUCUUGUCCAAGAAAUUUUGGCAUGACUAUUACAUCCCCUCUUUCUUUCACGCCCAUACCAAAUUGUCCAACUCGUCUUCCCCUUGAUAACAUGAAAAAGAGGAAGUAACUCGGGAAUUCCUCACCGUUAUUACAAUUUGGGUCUCACAUCCCUUUAUUUGGAUCCAAUAAAGGGAUUCUUUGUAUUAAGAGAAUUGUAAAGGUUAUAUAAAAGCUUAAAAGUAUUUAAGAGAGAGCUUCCAAAUUCGUUCAUUCAAAAGAGAAGCAACAAACAUGGUUACACACGGAAUCAAGAGCUUCCAGAUGAAAAAACAUACAGAACAAUUAUGAUGCAUAUUGGUUUGAUUCUUUUAAAAAUGAAAUGUAAUAUAAUAUUUAAAUAUAUACAUAUUUUACUUUUGUAAAAUUAUAUAUAUUGCCCACAGUCAGUAUUUUUAUACUCUCAGUGGAGAACAACUAUAAAUAUAUACUGCCCAAAAAACCAUUUUAUACCCUCAGACGACUGAAGAUUUUUAUACUCUCGGUAUAAAAAUAAAAAACAAAGACUCUCCCUGAAAUUAUAAAUAGUUUACGCAAAAAAGAAUUAUUACGUCGCCUGAGAGAUUCGAACUCUCGCGGGGAAACCCCAUGUACUUAGCAGGCACACGCCUUAACCACUCGGCCAAAGCGACAUUUUUAUUUAGUGACUUGUUUUAGUGUUAUAUAUUCUUUUUGAAAAAUAGUAAUACGUAUUUUUGUAUAAUGAAUUUGUGUUACAUGAAUUGAACAUAGAACUGAAGAUGCAGAAGUUGAAAUUGAAAUGAUUCUCCAUUGAAUAAUCGAAUCAAAAUUUGGUAAAACGAAGAUUGUAAUUGUUUUUCAACAAUGGCUCAGAUUCCUAACCUUGAUAAUGCUCCCGUUAAUCUCACAUCCAUCAGGUCAAUUUCAAUUCCACUUCAAUUUCACUUUUCAUCUUAAUCUUAAUCUAAAUUUUAAUUUUUUUUUUUGUUGAAUUCAGGGAACAAUCUCAAAAGGAACUCAUCAACAUCCUCAAGAAUGUAUUUUCUUCAGAACUCCGAAAUUUGUUUGAUUUUGCUUUCUAUUCAUUUUACGGCACUGAUCAUUGAUUUCUGAACCGUCUGUGACUUUGCAGGUUCGAGGAAAGAAGUGUUUGGUGAUUGAUCCCAAGCUUGGUGACUCUCUCUCGCUUACCAUACAAACUUCCAUUCUCAAGGCAAUUUUCUUUACUUUAUUUGUCGUUUACUGUUUUUUAUUUUGUUAAUUCUUAUUUUCUAGUUAAUACAAUGCUAGAGUUACAUCAUGUUUCGUUAAAUACCUUAAUUAAGCGUUUAACUUAUAAGUGCUUAUGUAUAAGCUAUUUCUGUAACAAAACAUAAAAUAAAGCAGUAUAUGAAGUGCUUAUGGAAAUUAAGCUGAAAACAACUUAUGAACAUGCCAUAAGUUGUUUCUAAAAGCUCUCCCAGACAGUCUCACAUGUGGUUUUUUCCCCUGUUUAAGUUCAAAUAAGCCAACUGGAACAGACCCUGGUGUUUUUUUAUUGAGUUAUAACAUGAUUUAACAUUUUCGUGUACCCUCAAAAGAAUUAUGACAUUUAACUCAUUAACAGGAGCAAGGAGUUGAGUUGCGGCAUCUUUCAGCUGAGCCAAUUCAAAGUGACUGUAACAAAGUGAUUUUCCUUGUGCGCUCUCAACUUAAUUUGAUGAGAUUCAUAUGCUCUAAUGUUCACGACGACAUAUCAAAAGGACUACAGAGAGAAUAUCAUGUUUAUUUUGUUCCCCGCCGCACUGUUGCUUGUGAGAAAGUAAGCCUUCCUUUGAAAUCAAUCAUUUUACAUUGACUUUAGCAUAAUGUUUUUCUUUUUAAAGCACGAGAUCUUGACGCGGACAAUGUAAAAUGAUUGUUGUUCGUGUGCAGGUUCUUGAGGAUGAAAAAUUACAUCAUAUGAUUACAAUAGGGGAAUAUCCCUUGUAUAUGGUGGCAAUGGAUGAGGAUGUACUAUCAUUUGAACUUGAUCUUUCUUACAAAGUAUGCUGCUACUAUUACGGCUUGUGAUUGAUUUAUCGAGUUUCUUUUAGUGCUAUAUUUUUAAAUUUCAAGUUUCUUGCAUGUAGUAUUUUGCUUAAUUAUUUAUCCUUGUUUGCCUUCUCUAUGUGCUAGGAAUGCCAAGUUGAUGGUGAUGCAAGCUCACUUUGGCAUAUUGCAAAGGCCAUUCACAAACUAGAGGUUGUAGUUUUGAAUCCAUCAUGCUGUUUGUUUUUCUUAACACGGAAGCUUUAACCAUGUAACAUUUAACCUCAAACAAAAAGAGAGAGUCCAAUAGAAUUCUCCCUUGAAUAAACAUCAACUUCAAUUCAACAUAUCAUGAACAUAAGUCUAACAUGAUUCUAAUGUGUUUUGUUAACUGUGAUUUUAUCAUUUAGUUUUCUUUUGGAGUGAUACCACAUGUGAGGGCAAAAGGAAAAGCAUCUGUGCGUAUUGCAGACAUCCUAAACCGAAUGGAAGCUGAGGAACCGAUUAACUCAUCUGAUGUAAUCAUGCACUACUCUGUUUUCUCUUAUAGCCAAAGAAUAAACAAAAGCAAAUUUAUGAAAUUGCAGUCAUUUAAAAUACACAGUAAUCCUAUUAUUGUUUUCUCUUUAUUCAGAUGGCUGUGCCAGAGAUAAAUACAGUAAUCCUCUUAGAUAGAGAGGUAAUUCCUACUUGCACUUUUACAUUUUUAAUUGUAUGUCCUUUUAAGGUCUUGCUAUUACAUUUGUUUGGAUUCAACAUGGAUGAUGGUUAUUUAACUUAUGCUUUGAAUGCAGGUGGACAUGGUUACUCCUUUGUGUUCCCAGUUAACGUAUGAGGGGCUAAUUGACGAGGCAAGUUAAUGCAAAAAUAGCCUACAUCUUUGGAAUGAAUAUUAUUGUAUAAUUUUUUUUAUCACUGUUAUUUUAUUAGGCUUUUCUCUUGAUAAUAUUCCCUAACAAGUUUUUUCAACUUAAUAAACUCUUCCCCUUUGUUCCUUUUUGAUAUUGUAAGUUUGAAUAAGGAAAAUUUUCUAACGGUGUUCGGUCAAGGAGUUUUAAAGUUGUACAUUGGGUUGAUGGAUUAUUGUACUGCCAUGAGUUGGUCAUGAGAAAAAUGUUACUAUACUACGUGCAAAUAGGUUUGAAAACACGACUGUUUUACUUCUAAUUACUGAAUUUGUAUCGUUGCAGUUUCUGCACAUCAACAAUGGUUCUGUUGAGAUUGAUGCAUCUGUUUUGGGUCUUCAACAAGAAGGAAAGAAAACUAAAGUCCCACUUAAUUCAAGGUAGGUUACUUUUAUUCGCUUGCUCAUCUAGUUUGCGAUGUAAUGCAUUUUUUCAAUGACAUAAGGGGUCUAUAUCAUUUUUUUGUUACUCUUCCAAUCCUCAAGAGAGUCAUAAUUUCAGAACCUCGUUUGUUAUGAAAUGAUUCUGAUUACAAUUACAAAUGGUGCCAAUAGUUAUAUAUAGCUGGCCUUAUCAUUCACUAACAAUGACUUAAUCUACAGCAACUCUGCGAGUUAGUUACAGCGAAGUUGGUUGUCACCUUACUAACUACAACUUCUAUAUUCUCACACUUAACGCUUAGGUGUGUGAUUGGGGUAACCCUAGAAGUGCACAUUCCUAUGACUGCCUUACACAAACGACACUCAGAGGGGCUGCAGAAUAGACAUGCAAAAACAAAAAAACACUAGUUUGCUUUGUCAAAUGUUGAAUCCCUCUAGACGCCUGCUGAUACCUAUAUUAUGACUAAUUUCAGAAUGAUUUUCUGCUUAACUAUUUCACGUACCAAAACUCAUGCAUAUACAAUGUUUCAGAAGCUAACUCAAGCAAACAAAGGGAUUACAACUAUAUGUUGCAUUCUUUUUUAGUGCCCAAUGACAUUAAUUAAUCUAUGUUGAACAACCCCACUUAUGGGAUAAGGUCUGGUUUUGGGUAAAUGUUAUUGCUGUAGUAAAAAUGAGUUAACUUUAAGAAGCUUUCGCUUCUAUCAUCCUUUACAUUUUUACUCUUAUUAAAGGAAAUCCAUAUUCACUCCAUAUCAUGAUAUUUAGUAAAAAAGGAUUUUAACCUUUAAUUGUGCUUUCAUUACUAUUAUUCUUUGUUAUGUUAUGGUAUAUGUAUAUUAAAAAGAAAUAUGUGUCUCUAGAUGUGCCCCUUUUCUCUUCUCUGAGACCUCUUUCAAACGAUAGCUCAAAAUCCUCUUUAUUUCUUUACACCUUUUAUUUUUCAUUUUCUUGUAAUAUUCAUUAAAAUAAAAUUUAUUUGCACGGUCUGUGUUAUUAUUAGGGAAAGUAAAGGAAAUGUUUUGAUAUUGAUUGAUAUGAAAAUCUUGAUUUGGAGAUCAAGUUAUGGAGUGUUUAUAAAGAUGCUUAUCCUUCGCCACAGUGAAACUAAUCCUACACCACUGAUAACUAACUUUGAGGCAGUUACAAGCAAUAUGCUGAUGUGGCAUUUGUUCUAUUUUGGCGCUUGUAUAUUUACAGGACACACCUCCAAUGGUGAGGUCUUCAUCAUUUAAGACCCGGUACCUAAUAGGUACCCCCAUUGGAGAAAUUUUUCUUGGGGGUCUUCUAAGACCCAGGGUCUCACUUAAGACCCUUAUUCUUAAGUGGACCCCACACUACUUUUUAUUAAAAUAAUCAUUGUAUUGUUGGAAUGUAAAUGAUGAAGAGUUCGUGGUGGGACCGAUUUAGACCUUUUGUCAGAGGGUCUCCAUUGGAGUGACUGAGUGCUUAUUAGGUACUGUUAUUAAAAAAUUAUAAAAGAGUGAUGUGUACACAUGGGAUCCGUUUAAGAACUCCAAAUUGAGAGUCUCCAUUGUGGAUGCUCAGCUCGCACUGCAAGCUUUGACAGCUAAGCUAGAAAUAGAUCUUUAGUCAGACAUCCAUUUUCUGUUUCUUUACACGUUUUUUUUUUUCAUUUACCUUUUGCUGAUAUUAUUUCUUAAACUAAUAUUUACUUGCAUGUCUGUGUUAGUGACAAGCUUUUUAAGGAGAUACGGGAUCUCAACUUUGAAGUUGUUGUCCAGGUUGAUUCAUUUUUACCUCAUAUAUAUCAUAGUUUUGUCUUAAUCUCUCUCUCCCCAUCUCUCUUUCAAACACACACACACACACACACGUGCUGUAUCUUUGGUUCCCUUGUAGAUCUAUUUUCUUAGUUGCUGUCUGCAGUAUUGCAGAUUUUGCGUCAAAAAGCAACAUCCAUGAAGCAAGACUAUACAGAUAUGACAACAACAGUGAGUAGAUGAUCUUACACUUGAGCCUUGAUUUUACUGUUGAUUUUGUCAAAAUAAAGAAGAAUGUUUUGAGACCCACUUUUCAUGUAAAUUAAUCCCAAUGAAUCCACUCAAGUCUGGUAUUUCCUUUUCUUUCUCUGGAGAUCUUAGACAUCAAGUACUCUUAAUAGUUUUACUGCUAUACUUUAUACAGUUGUAUGCUUGUUUGGUAGAAGCAAUAUUUAAUCAGUGAAACAAAUUGCUGUUUGAGAUUUGAAUAUGGUGUUUGUUCUUUAAAAUUCAGCAAUAUUUAAAUAAGUUCCUUCCUUAAAAAAAAAAAAAAAGUUCUUAUAAACUUUUGAAAACUAAAAUCAAUUUGUAAGUAGUUUCUGAUAUAUUUCUUUUCAUGAUAUCCAGACGCAGUCAGUUUCAGAGUUGAAGGACUUUGUAAAAAAGCUAAACUCAUUGCCAGAGAUGACAGUAAGAAAAAAUAUCAUUAUAAUAUUGAAAUUUCUUUAGCAGGAUCCUCAUAAUAAGAAUCAGAUCAUAAUAUUGUUUACAUUUUUUGCCAGAGGCACAUAAAUCUCGCUCAGCACCUAUCAACGUUCACGUCAAAGCCUUCUUUUCUUGGCCAGCUUGAUAUGGAGCAUACAAUUAUUGAGUCCCAGAGUUAUGACAUGUGAGUUAGUUUUGUAUAGUAUUAUAUUUUAAUUUGAUAGAAUUUAAAUACCUAUAUAUGAUUCGAGCGGGCUAUGGCAAUUUGUUAUCCUGUUUUGGAGGUCCUGAUGCUAAAGUUUAUGAUGGGUUAAUAAACUUAGAGGUGUUCGUGCUUCAUAGUAUUUUAGGAUAUACAUCAUUAAGUAGAGUGAAAGUAAGGUAUAUUUACUUAUAUUUUAAACCAAAAGAUAUGAGCACCCUUUUGCUUAUAUUCUAGACCGGAGGGAGUAUGCAUCAGUGUCUGUGUCCUAUGUUUUUUACUUCUAACUGCUAAUUAGAGUAGUUUAUAUAAAUUAAGUUUUAAAAUUGGAUAUGGCUCUACUCUGUAGUCUAUUUGGCAUGACUAUAAGCUUGUUUAACUAAAUGCUACUUCUCAAGUAGCAUUUGAGCUGUAACUUAUGGCUAUAUUUUUCUCACUUUUACCAUUUUUAUUUUGAUUUUAGUUCUCUUCACCCUCUUUUAAACUAAAAAUAAAAAUAAACUCUACCACUCUC